AACACUCUCUUAGCACUAGUGAUAAGCACUCACCACCGUUGUAUAUGGCCUAACCGGACGCCCGUUCACUCUCGAUUGCCAACACACGCUGCAGCAGCUAGGGUUGGCAGCCGACGCCGCCCGAUCCGGCGACCCGCCGACGCCGCCCCCUCAGCCCCCAGGUACUCUCGUCCCUCCUCUUCACUCCGCCUUGCCCCUCCAUGUCUCCCUUCCUCCUCUGUCCCGAUGCACACGGCCGGCCGACUCCGUCCUCCCCGCUCCUCCAUCCCCUUCCGCCCAGAUCCGGCUGGACGUCCGGCGGCCCAGAUCCGGCUGGACGUCCAGCGGCGCCGGCGCACCAGCCUACUGCCUCCAAUAAUGUUAUAACAGAACAAUAGGUGCUGGACAAUAUGUUAGUUGACGAUCCACCAAUUGAUCAAGAUCCAACCUCCUCUGCCAGGGCUUUCUAUAGGAUGGUUAGCAGUGUUGAUGAGAUUGUCCAUGAGAACACAACACACUCGCGUCUCUCUGCAGUAGCCCGUUUGCUAGCAAUGAAAUCUCAGUAUAAUAUGUCAAUUGCAGAAUAAGAUGAUGUAUUACAAAUCAUCCAUCAACUUAUGCGGUUAUGCCUCCGGGUGCUAACUUGUCCAAGGACUUCUACCAAUCUAAGAAACUCUUAGAAGGCCUUGAUAUGUCUUAUGUCAAGAUUGAUGUGUGUAAGAAUAACAGCAUGUUGUACUAUAAAGAUAAUGAGCAUAAAGAGAAGUGUAACAUUUGUUGUACAUCUCACUACGAGGAAGACCAGAGUAAAGCCCCAUGAAAAAGAAAGAAAAUACAGGGAGUGAAGGGUCCUCCCUCCUCCGUGUCGCUCCCGCGAGCGACCGGGGGAAACCCUAGCUCCCCUCCCCCUCUCCCGGCUCUCCUCCCCCCUCCACUGCCCUGAGGCACCGCCAGGCGUGGGUGGUGGCGGGGCCUGAUUACUCUCCUCGCGUCGUGGUGUCUGGUACGGGAUGGACGUUUGUGAGGAGGCGUCGUAGGGCCUGGCGGAGCGACGGUCGGCUUGCGGGGCGGCAGCCUCUUCCUCAGGAGGCGGAGCGGCGUCAUCUUGGCGCUCGGCUCAGGCACGGCGGCUGCCCGUCAUUCUCCAUCGGGUGGUUGCUUGUGGGACGAUAGGAGUCUGAUCCACUCGCGAAGAUGUUGCGCGGAAUGGGCUGCAUGCGGUCGGCUCCACCAUGGCCGUUGGCUGGUCGAGGGGGCGCUUGGCAGAGGUGGUGGCGGGGCGUGCUCCAGGCGCCGGUGGUCUUGCCAAAUCUGAUCUGGCGUGGGCGGCUCCUCCGGCCGUUGCUUCACAGGCGGCGCGCGGGUGCGUGCCCAGCGGCUUCGACACUUGGAGCUCGUCGGGCGGCGGGUUGGUAGUGGUCCGGUGUGACUGCUGCUCUGGUCGUGGGUGGCUCCACGGCAGCUUUGCAGGUCGGAUGCGGCGGCGGCUGCCAUUUUCUGGCGUCGGCUCGGCUGUAGCCGGCUUGUGUCGGCCCUCGGUCCCUCUCCUCGUUGUCCGGGUUACUUUCGUUGAAGGGUUGGCCCUCUCCCAGCUGCAGUCCAUCGCUCUUCUCGUGCCCGGUACUACAAGACCGACCUCGUCUCGCUGUUGCAUGUCUGACCUUGUCUCGCGCCCGAUGCAACAAGACCGAGCUCGUCUUGUGCCCGGUGCUGCAGGAUGGGUCGAUGGAGGCCAGUUUUGGCCAGCCUAUUGGGUCUUGGUGCUGGGGCCGCCCAGGGGUGCGAAAGGCAGGACCUUUCCGCUCGUCUCUUUGGUUGGGGUGGCGGCGGGUCUCGGGUGAGGUGGUGUCAAGGUCUUGGAUGCUAGGGAAGCGGCCUGGUGGUGGUAGCCCGGUGCUCAUGGGCAAAGCUAGUGGCUUGGUGCAGCCCGAUGGCCAUGGCCAUGUGGGCGGCAUGGUAGCCGGGGUGUGGCGUUCGAUGGCGGUGAGUGUUGGCCGCGGACGGAUUGGCGGCGGCGAAGCUCGUUCCCUUCUUGAAGGCGUCGUUGCGGCUCUCAUUGCCUUUCGUGUUGCUCCAGGGAAAAUUCUGAUCCUCAGAUCGGGUCAUUUCUUCGUGAUGGCGUGUUCACGGUUGAAACCCCUGGUUGCUCUUGUAGUGCUAGGGGUGGUGUUGCUGUGCUCAGCGCUUAUGUAUCCUGCAUUGGGUGUGUGCGUGUGUUGUGGUGGCGUGCAUUUGUCCGGGUUGUUGUUGAUAGUUGCUUUAUAUAUAAAGCGGGGCGAAAGCCUUUUUCGUUAAUAAAGGCCCACAUGAAGUGGUGAAAUCUUGAGAUACCCCCCCCCCCCCCCCUAAAGGCACCCUAUUGAUGGUGAAGCUUGUCAAGGGUUUGACAAGGACUUCCCAGAAUUUGCCGAAGAUUGUAGAAAUAUCCGUCUUGUCAUAGCUGGUGAUGGUUUUACACCAUACAAGUUGAAUGAUGGUACAUAUACUUGCUGGCCUGUUUUUGUAGCUCCAUUAAACCUUCCACCUGGUAUUCUCUUGAAACCAGAGUAUUUAUUCCUUAGCCUUGUUAUGCCUGGUCGUGAACAUCCUGGUAAAAAUUUGAGUGUCCUAAUGCAACCUUUAGCUGAUGAACUGAUGCAGUUGUGGGCGGGGCUUGAAACAUGGGAUACUUAUCACAAGGUAAACUUUCCAAUGAAAGAGGCAUUUCUAUGGUCAGUCCACGACUUUCCCGCCUUUGGUAUGUUUGCUGGGUGGGGUACCCAUGGCAAGCUAGCAUGCCACGAAUGCAUGAGUGAUUCCAAAGCAUUUACUCUUCAAUACGGGUGGAAGCAUUGCUGGUUUGAUUGCUAUAAGUUAGCAUGCCUUUGUCAUUUACUCUUCAAUAAGCCCGACUGACAGGCAAAAGCGAAUUUCCCUGUCAAGCUAUCCCUGUCGUCUUUUCCUGACGGGCGACCGAUAGGAAAUACUUUCCCUGUCAGGUUCCCCCCUUUUCCUGUCUGUUUUCAGCCCACAGAAAUAUUUCAGUUGAUAUCAUCUUGGAAGUAAAAAAUGUUUUACCCUGUCAUAGUUGCAUACCUUAGUUGGCACUGUCUCCAAACCCUAACAUAAACCUUCAGUCCCAAAGUAACAUAUCAAGGAGAAAUAUAGUACAGAUAGUCCCCAAGAAUAAGUUAUAUGUUUCCACACUACCCAUUUCCAUCAGCAUGUUAACAAAGUGGAAAUGAUAAAUCCCAAACGUUCAGGAUUUGACCAUCACAAAUCGAACUUUUUCGAUGGCAGUUUUAGUGAUGCGAGGAUGGCAAGUUUAGUUGACACACACGGCAAUUUUCUGGCAAAAAAUACACUGAGCACGGAGUUACAAUGCUCGCGUCACUAAAAUUGCCAUUGAAAACAUUUGAUUUGCCAUCGUCAAAUCCCGAACGUUCGUGCGUUAUCGGGGUCCUAACAAAACACGCCCGCAUUCCCUCCGCCCUCCCCUUUUCGCUACCGCGAUUGACCUUAUUGUUGAAAAAGCUACCUUCCUAUGGCCUUCAGCAAAGGUUUCCGUCCAGUACUAUGAAUAGAAGAAUAUUCUCUUGGGGAUGAAGAGUUGUCCUUUUUACAAUGGAAAAGCAUGUUACUCCUCCAUCCCUAUUUCCAUGACCGCUUGUUUUUCUUGAAUAAAUUUAAGCACUGGUUUUACCAAUAAUAUAUUAAUUAUAUUUUAUAACUGUUAAAACCUGCAAAUUGAUAUGAAUUUUAUUCCCCUUCAUCCAAACUCUAAAAAGGCCACAUGAUAACUUUACAAGAAAACACAUAGUUUCACAUCGCAUUAUAAGAAUGUCCCUUUAAUAAUGGGCAUGAAUCUUAUGUUAAAGCAAGUUAGAAUCUGCCAGAAGAAAAGAAACAAGUUAAAAUAUUCCUUUGUAGUCCAUUUCCUUCAAGAAACAUUUAAAUGUCCUCAAGAAAUGCAGAACCCCAAUAAUGUUUCAUACUCUAGAAGUUUUUGAAGCAACCUGAACCAAACACUGUCAUAGAUUAGUUUUAAUGAAACUAUUUCAUAAUUUAAAACAUGUACACUACAUGUCUGUUUCCCAUUCCCUGCGAGUAUUAUCACUCCUAGGCUACAAGAACCAUACUCGAAACCGAAAGACAUCAACAAAAAAUCACAGACACUCCUAUCUUUUCAAAAAGAAAAUAUCUUCAUCACAACAACGAUCACAUCUACAAGAGGAAGACACAAAUAAAGAGAACAAACAAGUACAUCACUAAACAAAUUGAAUGUCAUCUUACCACAUCAAUCUUUUAGUCUUCAGGUCUAAGUUCGCGGAAGUCAAUCCCGGGCACAACACCUGUAGUUUCAAACAAACCAAGCAGAAUUAAAAACCAAGAUCCAAAAUUAGGGAUCAACAAGCACAUGUGAGGCUCCGGUUCUCACAUCGAUCUGCUUCUGCAAAUAACAUGGCGGCUUUCUUGAGCCUGUGUGGUGGAUGCAUGCAAUGGAUCGCGACAACGUCGUUGACGAUCUCCUCCACAACAAAGAGCCUCAAGUUUCAUUGUUCUCACUUCAGGCAAUUAAUGUUCAGUCAUGCACCACAACUCAGUGGCGGAACUUGAUGAAGAUUGUUCAGUCAUGCUCCACCACUCAGUGGCAGAACUUGAAGAAGAUUGUUCAGUCAUGCUCCACCACUCAGUGGCAGAACUUGAAGAAGAUUGUUCAGUCAUGCUCCACCACUCAGUGGCGGAACUUGAUGAAGAUUGUUCAGUCAUGCUCCACCACUCAGUGGCGGAACUUGAUGAAGAUUCUUCAGCCAUGCUCCACCAGGGGGGGGGGGGGGGGCAGCGGCCCCCUCAGCAUUGCACAUAGCUCUGCCACUGGCCCCUAGGCUGUCACACUUAUCGCCCUGGCCCAUAGUCAGCCCUUACUUACAGGGUUCUGAAGGGCUGAUGGGUUGAACUUUACCAUCGCUACACUACCAGCAGGGGGGGGGGGGGGGGUCAGUGGCCCCCUCAGCAUUGCACAUAGCUCCGCCACUGGGCCCUAGGCUGCCCAUAAGCAGCCCUUACUUACAGGGUUCUGAAGGGCUGAUGGGUUGGACUUUACCAUCACUAGCACUACCAGCAAGGUGUGCAAGUUGGAUCCNNNNNNNNNNNNNNNNNNNNNNNNNNNNNNNNNNNNNNNNNNNNNNNNNNNNNNNNNNNNNNNNNNNNNNNNNNNNNNNNNNNNNNNNNNNNNNNNNNNNAGAAAACUGCCUUUUUCACUUCACCGGCUGAAGAAACUGACGCUAGGAAGCAUCGAUGUAAAGCACCCUCCGUUGCUAAGACAAGAUUUAUUUUGAGACACAACACUCUCUUAGCACUAGUGAUAAGCACUCACCACCGUUGUAUAUGGCCUAACCGGACGCCCGUUCACUCUCGAUUGCCAACACACGCUGCAGCAGCUAGGGUUGGCAGCCGACGCCGCCCGAUCCGGCGACCCGCCGACGCCGCCCCCUCAGCCCCCAGGUACUCUCGUCCCUCCUCUUCACUCCGCCUUGCCCCUCCAUGUCUCCCUUCCUCCUCUGUCCCGAUGCACACGGCCGGCCGACUCCGUCCUCCCCGCUCCUCCAUCCCCUUCCGCCCAGAUCCGGCUGGACGUCCGGCGGCCCAGAUCCGGCUGGACNNNNNNNNNNNNNNNNNNNNNNNNNNNNNNNNNNNNNNNNNNNNNNNNNNNNNNNNNNNNNNNNNNNNNNNNNNNNNNNNNNNNNNNNNNNNNNNNNNNNNNNNNNNNNNNNNNNNNNNNNNNNNNNNNNNNNNNNNNNNNNNNNNNNNNNNNNNNNNNNNNNNNNNNNNNNNNNNNNNNNNNNNNNNNNNNNNNNNNNNNNNNNNNNNNNNNNNNNNNNNNNNNNNNNNNNNNNNNNNNNNNNNNNNNNNNNNNNNNNNNNNNNNNNNNNNNNNNNNNNNNNNNNNNNNNNNNNNNNNNNNNNNNNNNNNNNNNNNNNNNNNNNNNNNNNNNNNNNNNNNNNNAGAUCCGGCUGGACGUCCAGCGGCGCCGGCGCACCAGCCUACUGCCUCCAAUAAUGUUAUAACAGAACAAUAGGUGCUGGACAAUAUGUUAGUUGACGAUCCACCAAUUGAUCAAGAUCCAACCUCCUCUGCCAGGGCUUUCUAUAGGAUGGUUAGCAGUGUUGAUGAGAUUGUCCAUGAGAACACAACACACUCGCGUCUCUCUGCAGUAGCCCGUUUGCUAGCAAUGAAAUCUCAGUAUAAUAUGUCAAUUGCAGAAUAAGAUGAUGUAUUACAAAUCAUCCAUCAACUUAUGCGGUUAUGCCUCCGGGUGCUAACUUGUCCAAGGACUUCUACCAAUCUAAGAAACUCUUAGAAGGCCUUGAUAUGUCUUAUGUCAAGAUUGAUGUGUGUAAGAAUAACAGCAUGUUGUACUAUAAAGAUAAUGAGCAUAAAGAGAAGUGUAACAUUUGUUGUACAUCUCACUACGAGGAAGACCAGAGUAAAGCCCCAUGAAAAAGAAAGAAAAUACAGGGAGUGAAGGGUCCUCCCUCCUCCGUGUCGCUCCCGCGAGCGACCGGGGGAAACCCUAGCUCCCCUCCCCCUCUCCCGGCUCUCCUCCCCCCUCCACUGCCCUGAGGCACCGCCAGGCGUGGGUGGUGGCGGGGCCUGAUUACUCUCCUCGCGUCGUGGUGUCUGGUACGGGAUGGACGUUUGUGAGGAGGCGUCGUAGGGCCUGGCGGAGCGACGGUCGGCUUGCGGGGCGGCAGCCUCUUCCUCAGGAGGCGGAGCGGCGUCAUCUUGGCGCUCGGCUCAGGCACGGCGGCUGCCCGUCAUUCUCCAUCGGGUGGUUGCUUGUGGGACGAUAGGAGUCUGAUCCACUCGCGAAGAUGUUGCGCGGAAUGGGCUGCAUGCGGUCGGCUCCACCAUGGCCGUUGGCUGGUCGAGGGGGCGCUUGGCAGAGGUGGUGGCGGGGCGUGCUCCAGGCGCCGGUGGUCUUGCCAAAUCUGAUCUGGCGNUGCUUCACAGGCGGCGCGCGGGUGCGUGCCCAGCGGCUUCGACACUUGGAGCUCGUCGGGCGGCGGGUUGGUAGUGGUCCGGUGUGACUGCUGCUCUGGUCGUGGGUGGCUCCACGGCAGCUUUGCAGGUCGGAUGCGGCGGCGGCUGCCAUUUUCUGGCGUCGGCUCGGCUGUAGCCGGCUUGUGUCGGCCCUCGGUCCCUCUCCUCGUUGUCCGGGUUACUUUCGUUGAAGGGUUGGCCCUCUCCCAGCUGCAGUCCAUCGCUCUUCUCGUGCCCGNNNNNNNNNNNNNNNNNNNNNNNNNNNNNNNNNNNNNNNNNNNNNNNNNNNNNNNNNNNNNNNNNNNNNNNNNNNNNNNNNNNNNNNNNNNNNNNNNNNNGGCCUUCAACGUGCCGUCGGCCGCGGAGAUGAAGGCGGCGCUCACGCCGCAAAGGGCGCUCAGGAACUCGGGCCGCAUCAUCCUCGCGCAGAUCAGCGCUGGCUCUGCAAUCCCCCUCGUCGGCGUCCUCCUGCUCGCUCCCGAACAAGCCCGCGACUUUCGCGCACCACGGGGCCGCCAAUUUUGCUGCUGUCCGCCGCCAGAUCGGGCUCCAGCUCGAGGCGGCUUGGAUCUUGUCUAUGGUCAACGCCGGCCUCACGUCUCUAGAACGGGCCGAGUGGCUGCCUCUCUGUCCGCCUCAUCCAGCUCUCGUGACUGCUCAUGCAUCUACCUUCGGCAUGGGAUGCAGUUCCUGCUGCUACGUGGUGCUGCUCCACCUGCAUGUGCUCCUCCUGGCUGGCUGCUGCUCUGUUCCUGCAUGCUUGUCUGCUGCUGCUUCUUGCAUGCGCUGUUUGCAAUCUUGCUGCGUGGUAAUGCGUUCGAUUAGCUGCUGCCUUUCUACAUGGCCGGCUGUGUGCUGCAUCUCGUGCUCCCCAUGGCCGUUUACCAUCGCUUGGCCUGCUCUACUCUGUUUUGGUCUCUGAUUUUUUUUACGCUGCUAUUGCAUCUAGUCUUGAGUUUAUUCUAUGCUUCUAGCUUUCUAUAUUUUUCGGCUGCGUCCAUCAAAUCCGGCUACCUUUGUCAUGUCAUGCUUCUAGCUUUCUAGUCGAUGUUUUGUGUUAUCACGUCAUGCGAGUCCACCAUACNNNNNNNNNNNNNNNNNNNNNNNNNNNNNNNNNNNNNNNNNNNNNNNNNNNNNNNNNNNNNNNNNNNNNNNNNNNNNNNNNNNNNNNNNNNNNNNNNNNNGAGUGGAGGUAACAUCCAACAGUAUUUCAUAUAGUUACUAUACCUUCCCAACGCUCGAACAAUGGAGUGUGUGGUGGGUUUAACCACCAAGUUCGAGAGCUACCUCGAGACAGGGACACUUAUGCAUUUUCUGUCUCGCUCAUGAUGGUGAGGUGAUAAGGAGUAUUCUCGCAUGUGUAGCAACCAAGGGCCUCUCAACUAACAUAUUUUUGGACAUGGUAUGAUGUAAAUCUUCUAAUUCGAUUACUAUGAUAAGUGUGGGUCAAAAAUACGGUCAAACGCAUGAGUGCAUAGAAUCAUGCACAAGUUAUCCUAUUAUAAGAGCAAGGCACAUGACACAAGGGCCAUGGCACAAAUUUGUCUCAUUCAUAUGACCAUGAAGUGCUAAGAGAACACCAAUACUAAGCAUUUCAUCAGUGUGAUUGACAAGGACAUGCAGGAAAUUACAAAGUGGAAAAAGUAUUAUGUUCAUGCAAUGAUGCAACCUACACAGGAUUGACUCUAAUGUUAUACAUGCAUGAAGUAAAUACUUGUUACCGGAAAAGCAUUGGUAUGGCGUAGAAGUAGCCGAGUCCUGUCUUGACUCUAAUUUCUUCAUGACCAGCACCAUCUUCUUCUGAGAAUAAGUCAAGAUAGCAAUGCUUCUCCAAAGUACCUAAACCACCAAUUAAGCACAAUAUGGUCCCCCAAACUUAUUGGGUCCAAAGUAGUUAGUCCAACUACAAUAUAUAUAGGGUAAGAUCACUCAAUUAUGUGCAUAUAGAUAUAAGUUUUACUUUCAAGCACACCUUAACCUUUUAAUGGAUACGUCUGAUUUACCAUAUACAUAUAUUGGAUCAAAGAUACGAUAGACACGCCAUGUGCAUCUACACAUAGUAGAUAUGCCUACACAAGCCUAUCAAAAUCCAAGGAUAUACAAUUUGGACAAAUGAACACAUAAUUGUCAAUUACAGAACAUUCAUGUCGUCCAAAAUGGAUCAGGGUGACAAAUCAACAUAUGAUAGCACCCCAAGUUCAACACAUGAACCAGUAAAGGCAUCAAACCAUGUAAGGUAUGCAUUUUGCACAACCUUACAUGCAUGUCUCACCCCAGUAGAUGUAUAAGUGUAGGUAAUAUGAUUAUAACUCCCACAACAUUAUGAAAUAAAUAGUACGAGCUCAAAGACAUGCAUGGGAUAUUACCGGGAGACACAUGAAUUUCUCGGCAAGUUAUGUAGGUCAAAUGAAGACAAAGCCGAAAUAAAAUGACCAUGAAAAACACUACCAAGCCAGAGAUACCAUGUGUGAGAGAACACAAUGGUAUUUAGAAUUAUCAGUGGUGGUAGAUGCCAAAUGAGCACAAAGAUCGUUUUAUACUCACACAAGUGUGAUAUGGGAGUUAAACCAUAAGCAUAAUGUUUAGAUGUCAUACGUUAACAUCCCAAUUAGUUAGAUCAUAGUGUAGAGAAAUAAUUCGAAAGGCAUGCAUCAACUAUGCCCUUCUUUUAGGUAUGAUCGAGCGGCUAAGCCAUGAGUAUUGGUGUAGUAGGACGUCAUACUCACGCACAUCUAAGGGAUUUAGACACCAACAGGGUUAUUAUGUGAAUUAAUACAUGUGGAGCAUGACACGCCACACAGUUAUAGAAUAACCCCAUGUGGUAGAUUCUGAGUGGCAAUACAUCGGAUGUUUUAUCUUACCAAGGGAUGUGACGUGCACAAAGCAUAUCACACUCCCUUAAUGUGAUAAUCCAUGUAUUUAUCAUACAAGGCAAUCAAUCAUCCAACUAAGCUGAUAAGUGGAUGCCAAUUUGAACUUCGGAUGGCUUUGACAUCAAACGAAUUGAUUGGAUAAUCUUGCACCGUGAAUACUAGAUGGAGUCCAAUACAUAUAUACAUAUUUUGGGUUAGUGAUGUGCGUAGAGCAGAACACUCCCCCUUAAUGUGAUGAGCUAUUAACGUCUCAAAAGACCCACACAAUGGUGCAACUAGGAUGCAAGUAAUGAUCAGGACUACACACAACUAUAUGACAUACAUAACGACCUACACAUGAUAGAUAACACAUAACAAUCAUACUAGUAGGCGCAACAUGUCAAAGUACAUGCUAGGUAUCAAACCUAGACAUGAGAAGGAGUGGGGCAGGCAACUUUCAAUGUAAACAAUUUAAGUACAAGUUACCGCAAAGAGGCACAUUGGAUAUGGGAUAUGGGCUCGAUAAUCCAAAUGACUUGGCUUGAGAUAAUACAAUGAUGAAGAGUCCUCAAAUCUUCAUUGUGUAUCCAAGUCUCCAAUGUCCUCCAAAGUCACCUACUGAUCAAGUUUGAGCUUGUUGGUCCCCAACUACGUUGGGUCCUAAGAGGUUAGUCACAAUAGGCUUGGCAACCCAAAUGGUUCUUUUCUUGACACCAUUUUGACUACCAACAAACUUGGCAAACACAUUGCCAACCUUAUCCUUCCCAAGGGAAUAGCUAUCAUAAAUAGUGAUUGGGUUGGAUAAGUUACCUCUCGUGCAAGACGAAGCGACGUGACCCUUCUCACGACAUAAGUAGCAACAUCUACCCUUUGUUUUCUUCCCACUUGAUUUCUCACCUCGGGGAGUGUUGGCUUGGGUCUUAUUGGGAAGAGGCCUUCCUUCAACUUGUAGCUGAGUAUGUGAUUGAGUUUGUGGCCGCUUCCCUUGUUGCUUGUGACUUUGAGACUUCGUCUUCAGAGGGAAAGAUCUAACAUGGUGCCCUUUAACUUUGCACUUGAAGCAAAUGAUUUUGGCCGAAUUCUUAACUUGUUCUAGGCCACUCUUGUUCUUGUUUGAGUUUACUCCAACAUCAUUUUUGUCAUUCGGAGAUGUUUGCUCACACAGGACGUUGUUGGGUGUGGACAUCCCUUCAUGACACUGUUCCAAGUCUUUCUUCAAAGAAGUGACUUGGGCCUUGAGCUCUUCGAUUUCCUCUGCAUGGUUAGUAUCAACGCAAGUACUAGAGGAAGUGUAAGCUUCAAUGUUAGAUUAACAAGGCAAGGAAAGUAAUUCAUCAAACAAGGUAGCAACAUUAUGAGUAGAUGAAUUACGAGGACUAUCACAUGGAAAUAUAGUACUUUGACUAGAAGUAGUGCCAUUGUCCAUAUGAGGCUCACUUGAUGUUACCUUGGUGAUGGUAGCCUCAUGAGCUAACUUUUGCACAUUAUGGGAUGUUAGAAGAUUGGCAUGAGAGCUUGUGAGCAUUACAUGGUUUUCUUCCAACUUCCCAUAAUUGCUAGUUAGUAAAUGAAGUUGAGCACGUAGCUCAACAUUCUCCUUCAAUGUUGAUACUUCAAAUGAGGUAGAGUUAGAUGUACAAGUAUCAUCAACAAUAUGAGAGGAGUAAGUAGCAGUUAGAGACUUCUCAUGAGUAGAUUGAAGCUCCUCAUAGAUCUUAGAGAUUUUGAUGAGCUCUCCCUUGACACUAUUGCAUUCAAGGAGAAGGACCUCAAAAUCCUUUUUAAGUUUAUCAUGAGCAACUUCAAUCUCCUCUUUUGAAGAUCUUAAGUCUCUACAUGCUUGAUGACUCUUCUCAAGUUCAUGUUCGAGUUGUUCACUUUUAGCUUGUUCAUGAUUAAGUGAAUCAUUACAAUUUUCAAAGUAAGCAAGAACAUCUUGGAAUCUUUGAAGAGCGUUGUUUUUAGCUUUAUGAAGAAUUUUACUGAUCACAUAGAUAUUUUUCAGUCAAGUCAUCAUCAUCAUCCUUAUCGCAAAUAUCAUCGUUAUUGCACAGGGAAGAUGAUACCUCAUUAUUACCUCUUGCCAUGAGGCACAUGUGAACUGGAGGAGUUGAUGAUGAUUCUUUUGGUGAAUCAGAUUCUUCAUUAGUCAAAAGUACUUCAUAUUUCUUGAUUUCCCCUAAAUGAUUAGUCAUAGAGCAACUAGGGAGAAACAAGAUAUUUUGAUCAAGAGGACACGGGAUAGCAGGCAUAUCACCACACACAUUUGUCGAGGGAUCUUUAGGUGAAAUGCAUGACCUAUCAGCACAAUAAUUUACACUAUGUGUGGUGCUAGAUAUGCUCGUGUCCAUAGAGGCUAUGACAUUUUCAUCAACAUAUAUUUCUUCACUCACCGUGUCAUUACCUUGUGAGAUUGAAGAUGCUGAGGUGUGCAAGCAAUCGGAUAUGGAAGUAGUGGUGGACUCUUUAUGAUCGAAAAGAGUGAAGAGCUCAUGCACCAACUCCUUCAUCGUAAUAUCGUCUUUGUCAAGAUUGGACCCACCAUAUAAAUCUUCAAGUUUAGUCCAAACUUCGAACUAACUUGCAAGUCGAGAUAGACUUAAACACCUCAGGACUUAUGGUUCGAUGAAUGGCAAGAAAAGCCUCACAAUCAAGAUACAUUUCAUUAGUAGAUGAAGAUGCAUCAUCCUUUUUGUCGGAAAUCCCUACAAGAACAAUUAUUAAAGUAUUUGGGCCCUGGUCCGAAAGUGAUGAAGCAUAUGAAUUCUCCAUAGGGUAUAAUUUGUGCCAUCAAAGUCAAAGGUGUCAUUGUGCACUAAUCCAAUAGUCGACAUCGAUACUCUCUAGGUCGUGAAACCUAAUUAAAGAGAGACCUUGCUCUGAUAACAAUUGAAAAGACCACGAUGACGCCUAGAGGGGGGUGAAUAGGCUAUUUAAAAACUUCUUCGGAUUUGGCUUAAACCUAAUGCGGAAAUAAACUAAGAGGAUACUUUUCAAGCACAAAUCCUAAAUGCAAUAGGCACCGCAACGUGUACCAACAACACGAUCUACCAAGAUGGACACAAUACGGUUACUAACAAGCACAAAUAAGUUACACAAACUUACUUGAGCUAUAUCACACGACAAGUAGGUGAACGACACAAGAUACUAGAUCACACUAGAGCACAUGAUAUAUCAAAAGCUGCAAGUGUGAACGUGUGGAUAUAGAGGGUAUGCUUGAACGAUUAAUCUUGUACAAAGAAAUAGCCAACAGAAUAUAAUGAGCACAAACAAUAUGCAAUGUAUGUAUGCUCAAGUAACACAAGUAAACCACAAGUAAGGAGUUAGGGUUAAGGAUAACCAAGGUCACUGAGACAAAGAUGUAUCCCGAUGUUCACUUCCUUGGAGGGAAGCUAGUCACCAUUAGAGAGGUGGAUGUUACCACGAAGGCACACCAACGCCAAGAAGACUCACCCUAUUCUCCCUUUGAGAUAACACCACGAAGGCAUUUCUCAACCACUAGUGGUAAGCCUUGCUGGGUAACGUAGCAUAAAUUCAAAUUUUUCCUAUGCCAUAUUCAGAUCUUCCUAUGGAGAGACUAGCAACGAGAGAGGGCUAAGAGCAUAUCCAUACCUUUUAAGAUCGCUAAGCGAAAACGUUACUAGAACACGGUUGAUGGAGUCGUACUCGCAGCGAUUCAGAUCGUGGUGUGAUUCCGAUCUAGUGCCGAACUACGGCACCUCCGCGUUCAACACACGUGCAGCCCGGUGACGUCUCCCGCACCUUGAUCCAGCAAGGAGGAGGGAGAGGUUGGGGAAGAACUCCAGCAGCACGACGACGUGGUCUCCCGGCAGGGCUUCGCCAAGCACCGGCAGAGAGGAGGAGAAAAAAGGGCAGGGCUGCGCCGAGGGAGAGGCAAAACUCUGUCUCCCAAUGGCCAAAAGUGCCCAUAUAUAUAGGGGAAGGGAGGGGUUACGCCCCCUUGAGGGUUUCCCUCUCCUGGGGGGCAGCAGCCCUAGAUGGGGCUGGUGCGGCGGCCAAGGGGGGAAGGAGGGGUGUUGCGCACCCCUGGUGGGCCUUAGGCCCACCUGGCUUCGGGUUUGCCCCCCCCCCCUUCCCUCUCCCCUGCGCAUUGGGCUGAGUGGGGAGGCGUACCAGCCCACCUAGGGGCUGGUUCCCUCCCUCACUUGGCCCAUCUUACCUCCCGGGGUCGUUGCUCCCCUUUGGUGGACCCCCGGGGCCACCUCCGGUGGUCCCGGUGGUCCCGGUACAUUACCGGUGAUGCCCGAAACACUUCCGGUGUCAGAAACCAUCCCUCCUAUAUAUCAAUCUUUACCUCCGGAACAUUCCGGAGCUCCUUGUGUUGUCCGGGAUCUCAUCCGAGACUCCGAACAACUUUCGGUAACCUCGUAUAACAAUUCCCUAUAACCCUAGCGUCAUCGAACCUUAAGUGUGUAGACCCUACGGGUUCGGGAGACAGGCAGACAUGACCGAGACACCUCUCCGGCCAAUAACCAUCAGCGGGGUCUGGAUACCCAUGGUGGCUCCCACUUGCUCCAUGAUGAUCUCAUCGGAUGAACCACGAUGUCAAGGAUUCAAUCAAUCCCGUAUACAAUUCCCUUUGUCUGUCGGUAUAGAACUUGCCCGAGAUUCGAUCAUCGGUAUACCUAUACCUUGUUCAAUCUCGUUACCGGUAAGUCUCUUUACUCGUUCCGUAGCACGUCAUCGUGUGACUAACUCCUUAGUCACAUUGAGCUCAUGAUGAUGUUCUACCGAGUGGGCCCAGAGAUACCUCUCCGUCACACGGAGUGACAAAUCCCGAUCUCGAUUCGUAUCAACCCAACAGACACUUUCGGAGGUACCCGUAGUGCACCUUUAUAGUCAUCCAGUUACGUUGUUAUGUUUGAUACACCCAAAGCACUCCUACGGUAUCCGGGAGUUGCACAAUCUCACGGUCGAAGGGAAAGACACUUGACAUUAGAAAAGCUUUAGCAUACGAACAAUACGAUCUAGUGCUAUGCUUAGGAUUGGGUCUUGUCCAUCACAUCAUUCUCCCAAUGAUGUGAUCCCGUUAUCAAUGACAUCUAAUGCCCAUGAUCAGGAAACCAUGAUCAUCUAUUGAUUAACGAGCUAGCUAACUAGAGGCUUGCUAGGGACACAUUGUGAUCUAUUUAUUCACACAUGUAUUACUGUUUCCUGUUAAUACAAUUAUAGCAUCAACAAUAGACGAUUAUCAUGAACAAGGAAAUAUGAUAAUAACCAUUUUAUUAUUGCCUCUAGGGCAUAUUUCCAACAGUCUCCUACUUGCACUAGAGUCAAUAAUCUAGUUACAUUGUGAUGUAUCGAACACCCAUAGCAUUAUGGUGUUGAUCAUGUUUUGCUCGUGGAAGAGGUUUAGUCAACGGGUCUGCAAUAUUCAGAUCCGUGUGUACUUUACAAAUAUCUAUCACUCCACUCUGGACAUGGUCCUGGAUGGAGUUGUAGCGGUGUUUGAUGUGCUUCGUCUUCCGGUGAAACCUGGGCACCUUGGCUAUGGCAAUGGCCCCAGUGUUAUCACAGAAGAGUGUCAUUGGACCCGACGCGCUUGGAACCACUCCAAGGUCGGUGAUGAGCUCCUUCAUCCAAAUUCCUUCAUGAGCCGCUUCUGAAGCAGCUAUGUACUCCGCUUCACAUGUAGAUGCUGCCACGACUUCUUGCUUGCUGCUGCACCAGCUCACUGCCCCACCAUUCAACACAUAUACGUAUCCGGUCUGUGACUUAGAGUCAUCCGGAUCUGUGUCGAAGCUAGCGUCGACGUAACCCUUUACGACGAGCUCUUCGUCACCUGCAUAAACGAGAAACACUUCCUUAGUCCUUUUCAGGUACUUAAGGAUAUUCUUGACCGCUGUCCAGUGUUCCAUACCGGGAUCACUUUGGUACCUCCCUACCAAGCUUAUGGCAAGGUUUAUAUCAGGUUUGGUAUACAACAUGGCAUACAUUAGAGAGCCCACGGCUGAUGCGUAGGGGACAAAACUCAUCUUCUCUCUAUCUGCUGCCGUUGUCGGCGACUGAGUCUUACUCAAUCUCAUACCUUGCAAAACUGGCAAGAACCCUUUCUAUGAGUUUUCCAUAUUGAACUUCUUAAAUAUCUUGUCAAGGUAUGUGCUUUGUGAAAGACCUAUGAGGCGUCUCGAUCUAUCUCUAUAGAUCUUGAUGCCUAAUAUGUAUGCAGCUUCUCCAAGGUCCUUCAUCGAAAAACUCUUGUUCAAAUAGGCCUUUAUGCUCUCCAACAUUUCUGUAUUGUUCCCCAUCAAUAAUAUGUCAUCCACAUACAGUAUGAGGAAAGCUACAGAGCUCCCACUCACUUUCUUGUACAGACAGGCUUCUCCGUAAACCUGUAUGAACCCAAACGCUUUAAUCACCUCAUUAAAGCGAAUGUUCCAACUCCGAGAUGCUUGCACCAACCCAUAGAUGGAGCGCUGGAGCUUGCACACUUUGUUAGCACCCUUAGGGUCGACAAAACCUUCUGGUUGCAUCAUAUACAACUCUUCCUUAAGGUUCCCGUUAAGGAACGCUGUUUUGACGUCCAUUUGCCAAAUUUCAUAAUCAUAAAAGGCGGCAAUUGCUAACAUGAUUCGGACUGAUUUCAGCUUUGCUACGGGAGAGAAAGUCUCUUCGUAGUCAACUCCUUGAAUUUGUCGAAAACCCUUUGCGACAAGUCGAGCUUUGUAAAUGGUUACAUUACCGUUUGCAUCAGUCUUCUUCUUGAAGAUCCAUUUAUUUUCUAUGGCUCGCCGGUCAUCAGGCAAGUCCACCAAAGUCCACACUUUGUUCUCAUACAUGGAUCCUAUCUCGGAUUUCAUAGCUUCAAGCCAUUUGUUGGAAUCCGGGCCCGCCAACGCUUCUUCAUAAUUUGAAGGUUCACCGUUGUCUAACAACAUGAUUUCCAUCAUGGGGUUGUCGUACCACUCUGGUGCGGAGCGUGCCCUCGUGGACCUUCGCGGUUCAGUAGUAACUUGAUCCGAAGCUUCAUGAUCAUCAUCAUUAACUUCCUCUUCAGUUGGUGUAGGCGCCACAGGAACAACUUCCCGUGCUGCGCUACUAUCCUGUUCGAGAGGGGGUGUAAUUACCUCAUCAAGUUCUACCUUCCUCCCACUUACUUCCUUCGAGAGAAACUUAUUCUCUAGAAAGGAUCCGUUCUUGGCAACAAAGGUUUUACCUUCGGAUCUAAGAUAGAAGGUAUACCCAAUAGUUUCCUUAGGAUAUCCUAUGAAUAUGCAUUUCUCCGCUUUGGGUUCAAGCUUUUCUGGUUGAAGUUUCUUCACAUAAGCAUCGCAGCCCCAAACUUUAAGAAACGACAACUUAGGUUUCUUGCCAAACCGUAGUUCAUACGGUGUCGUCUCAACGGAUUUAGACGGUGCCCUAUUUGAAGUGAAUGCUGCAGUUUCUAAUGCGUAUCCCCAAAAUGAUAGCGGUAAGUCGGUAAGAGACACCAUAGAUCGUACCAUAUCUAAUAAAGUGCGAUUACGACGUUCAGACACUCCGUUGCGUUGCGGUGUGCCAGGCGGUGUCAGUUGUGAAACGAUUCCACACUUCCUUGGGUGUGUGCCAAACUCGUGACUCAAAUAUUCUCCUCCACGAUCAGAUCGCAGACAUUUAAUUUUUCUGUCACGUUGAUUCUCAACCUCACUCUAAAAUUCCUUGAACUUUUCAAACGUCUCAGAUUUGUGCUUCAUUAAGUAGAUUUACCCAUACCUACUCAAAUCAUCGGUGAGAGUGAGAACAUAACGAUAGCCACCGCGAGCUUCAACAUUCAUUGGACCACACACAUCAGUAUGUAUUAUUUCCAAUAAGUCGGUUGCUCUCUCCAUUAUUCUUGAGAAUGGAGUCUUAGUCAUCUUUCCAUGAGGCACGGUUCGCAUGUGUCAAAUGAUUCAAAGUCAAGAGACUCUAAUAGUCCAUCAGUAUGGAGCUUCUUCAUGCGCUUAACGCCGAUAUGACCAAGGCGGCAGUGCCACAAGUAUGUGGGACUAUCAUUAUAAACUUUACAUCUUUUGGUACUCACACUAUGAAUAUGCGUAACAUCACGAUCGAGAUUCAUCAAGAAUAAAGCAUUCACCAGCGGAGCAAGACCAUAAAACAUAUCACUCAUAUAAAUAGAACAACCAUUAUUCUCUGACUUAAAUGAGUAGCCGUCUCGCAUUAAGCAAGACCCUGAUACAAUCUUCAUGCUCAAAGCUGGUACUAAAUAACCAUUAUUAAGGUUUAAAACUAAUCCCGACGGUAGAUGUAGAGGUAGCGUGCCGACGGCGAUCACAUCGACCUUGGAGCCAUUCCCGACGCGCAUCGUCACCUCGUCCUUGGCCAGUCUCCGCUUAUUCCGAAGUUCCUGCUUUGAGUUGCAAAUGUGAGCAACAACACCGGUAUCAAAUACCCAGGAGCUACUACGAGCGCUGGUAAGGUACACAUCAAUAACAUGUAUAUCACAUAUACCUUUAACGUUGCCGGCCUUCUUGUCCGCUAAGUAUUUGGGGCAGUUCCGCUUCCAGUGACCCUUUCCCUUGCAAUAGAAGCACUCAGUCUCAGGCUUGGGUCCAUUCUUUUUCUUCUUCCCGGCAUCUGGCUUACCAGGCGCGGCAACGGAUUUGCCAUCUUUCUUGAAGUUCUUCUUACCCUUGCCCUUCUUGAAACUAGUGGUCUUGUUGACCAUCAACACUUGAUGCUCUUUCUUGAUUUCUACUUAUGCAGACUUGAGCAUCGAGUACAACUCAGGAAUGGUCUUCUCCAUCCCUUGCAUGUUGUAGUUAAGCACAAAGCCUUUGUAGCUUGGUGGGAGAGACUGGAGGAUUCUGUCAAUUAUAGCAUCAUCCGGAAGUUCGACUCCAAGUGAAGUCAGAUGACCGUGUAACCCAGACAUUUUGAGUAUGUGCUCACUGACAGAACUGUUCUCCUCCAUCUUACAGCUAAAGAACUUGUCGGAGACUUCAUAUCUCUCGACACGGGCAUGAGCUUGAAAAAAUAGCUUCAGCUCUUGGAACAUCUCAUAUGCUCCGUGUUGCUCAAAACGCCUUUGGAGCCCCGUUUCUAAACUGUAUAGCAUGCCACACCUAACCAGAGAGUAGUCAUCACUCCGCGUUUGCCAGACGUUCAGAAUGUCCUGGGCUGCUGCGGGAGCGGGAGGGUCACCUAGCGGUGCAUCAAGGCCAUAAGCCUUUUUAGCUGCUUCAAGGAUGAGCUUCAAGUUGCGAACCCAGUCCGCAUAGUUGCUACCAUCAUCUUUCAGCUUGUUUUUCUCUAGGAAUGCGUUGAAAUUGAGGUUGACGUUGGCCAUCUACAAUAUUUAUAAAGACAACUUUUAGACUAAGUUCAUGACAAUUAAGUUCAUUUAAUCAUAUUAACUAUGAACUCCCACUUAAAUCGACAUCCCUCUAGUCAUCUAAGUGAUACAUGAUCCAUGGUGACUAACCCGUGUCCGAUCAUCACGUGAGACGGACUAGUCACCAUGGUGAGCAACUUCAUGCUGAUCGUAUUCAACCAUACGACUCAUGUUCGACCUUUCGGUCUCUUGUAUUCGAGGUCAUGUCUGUACAUGCUAAGCUCGUCGAGUCAACCUAGGUGUUUCGCAUGUGUAAAUCUGGCUUACACCCGUUAUAUGCGAACGUUAGAAUCUAUCACACCCGAUCAUUACGUGGUGCUUCGAGACAAUGAUCCUUCACAAGGGUGCACACUUAGGGGAAUACGUUCUCGAAAUUUUAAGAGGGAUCAUCUUAUUAUGCUACCGUCAUUCUAAGCAAUAAGAUGAAAAACAUGAUAAACAUCACAAUGCAAUCAUACAAUGACAUGAUAUGGCCAUUAUCAUCUUUGCUCUUUCGAUCUCCAUCUUCAGGCAUCGCAUGAUCAUCAUCAUCACCGGCGUGACACCAUGAUCUCCAUCAUCAUGAUCUCUAUCAUCGUGUCUCUGUGAAGUCGUCACGCCAACUACUACUAUCACUACUACUAUAGCUAACCGUUAGCAAUGAAGUAAAAGUAGUAAGCACAUGGCGUUGCAUCUCAUACAAUAAAUUAAGACAACUCCUAUGGCUCCUCCCGGUUGUCAUACUCAUCGACAUGCAAGUCAUGAAACCUAUUACAAUAACAUGAUCAUCUCAUACAUCAUGCAUGCAACAUCACAACUUUGGCCAUAUCACAUCACAUGUCAAACCCUGAAAAAACAAGUUAGACGUCCUCUAAUUGUUGUUGCAAGUUUUACGUGGCUGAUUUGGGUUUCUAGCAAGAACGCCUUCUUACCUACGUGACAGCCACAACGAUGAUAUGCCAAAGCUAUUUACCCUUCAUAAGGACCCUUUUCAUCAAAUCCAAUCCGACUAGAGUAGGAGACACAGACACCCGCUAGCCACCUUUAUGCACGGUGUGCAUGUCUGUCGGUGGAACCAGUCCCACUUAAGCGUACGUGUAAAGUCGGUCCGGGCUGCUUCAUCCCACAAUACCGCCAGAAAAGAAUAAGACUAGUAGCGGCAAGCAAAUUGACAAAUCAUCGCCCACAACUUUUGUGUUCUACUCGUGCAUAGAAUCUACGCAUAGAAAACCUGGCUCGGAUGCCACUGCUGGGUAACGUAGCAUAAAUUCAAAAUUUUCCUACGCCAUAUUCAGAUCUUCCUAUGGAGAGACCAGCAACGAGAGAGGGGUAAGAGCAUCUUCAUACCUUUGAAGAUCGCUAAGCGGAAGCAUUACUAGAACGUGGUUGAUGGAGUCGUACUCGCAGCGAUUCAGAUCGCGGUGUGAUUCCGAUCUAGUGCCGAACUACGGCACCUCCGCGUUCAACACACGUGCAGCCCGGUGACGUCUCNGAUGGGGGUGGUGCGGCGGCCAAGGGGGGAGGAGGGGUGGUGCGCACCCCUGGUGGGCCUUACGCCCACCUGGCUUAGGGUUUGCACCCCCCUUCCCUCUCCCCUGCGCAUUGUGCUGAGUGGGGAGGUGCACCAGCCCACCUAGGGGCUGGUUCCCUCCUCCACUUGGCCCAUCUUACCUCCCGGGGUCGUUGCUCCCCUUCGGUGGACCCCGGGGCCACCUCCGGUGGUCCCGGUGGUCCCGAUACGUUACCGGUGAUGCCCGAAACACUUCCGAUGUCCGAAACCAUCCAUCCUAUAUAUCAAUAUUUACCUCCGGACCAUUCCGGAGCUCCUCGUGUCGUCCGGGAUCUCAUCCGAGACUCCGAACAACUUUCGCUAACCUCGUAUGACAAUUCCGUAUAACCCUAGCGUCAUCGAACCUUAAGUGUGUAGACCUACGGGUUCGGGAGACAGGCAGACAUGACCGAGACACCUCUCCGGUCAAUAACCAUCAGCGGGGUCUGGAUACCCAUGGUGGCUCCCACUUGCUCCACGAUGAUCUCAUCGGAUGAACCACGAUGUCAAGGAUUCAAUCAAUCCCGUAUACAAUUCCCUUUGUCUGUCGGUAUAGAACUUGCCCAAGAUUCGAUCGUCGGUAUACCUAUACCUUGUUCAAUCUCGUUACCGGUAAGUCUCUUUACUCAUUCUGUAGCACGUCAUCAUGUGACUAACUCCUUAGUCACAUUGAGCUCAUGAUGAUGUUCUACCGAGUGGGCCCAGAGAUACCUCUCCGUCACACGGAGUGACAAAUCCCGAUCUCAAUUCGUACCAACCCAACAGACACUUUCGGAGGUACCCGUAGUGCACCUUUAUAGUCACCCAGUUACGUUGUGACGUUUGAUACACCCAAAGCACUCCUACGGUAUCCGGGAGUUGCACAAUCUCACGGUCGAAGGAAAAUACACUUGACAUUAGAAAAGCUUUAGCAUACGAACAAUACGAUCUAGUGAUAUGCUUAGGAUUGGGUCUUGUCCAUCACAUCUUUCUCCCAAUGAUGUGAUCCCGUUAUCAAUGACAUCUAAUGCCCAUGAUCAAGAAACCAUGAUCAUCUAUUGAUUAACGAGCUAGCUAAGUAGAGGCUUGCUAGGGACACAUUGUGAUCUAUUUAUUCACACAUGUAUUACUGUUUCCUCUUAAUACAAUUAUCGCAUGAACAAUAGACGAUUAUCAUGAACAAGGAAAUAUGAUAAUAACCAUUUUAUUAUUGCCUCUAGGGCAUAUUUCCAAUAAGCCUUUGAGGUGGCUUCCAAACCCUCACAAACUUUUCCGGGGGUAAUCACACGGAUUGAUUCAUCUCCGAAGAACUCCUACCACCUAGGAGUCUCCAACCUCCAAGAGUAACAAGAUCACGGGGAAUGCUCAAAACUUGCUCAAAUCUCAAAUAGCUUGGGUUGAGAGGAGGAGAGGGAGACGAUCUAUCUUUUGAUUGGAACAACUCUCAAAGGGGUUCACGAAUGCUCUUGGGAUCUAAGAUUUGGUGUGAGCAAAUGUGUGUGAGGUAGAAAUGUGUUCUUAUGAGGAUAUGGCUGUGUUGGGCACCCUCUCACGAAGUGGGAGGGGGUAUUUAUAGUGGAGAGGGGAAAGUGACCGUUGGGGUCACUUAAGUCUGACAGUGGUCGGACGUCCGGCAGUUCUCGGAUGUCCGGACACCCACAAGGGGUCGGACGUCCGACAACGGUCGAUCGUCCGAGUGAUGUAUAUAUAUCAGGAACCACUGUAUAGACGAACAGGGACCGGACAUCCGGAGGGAGCCGGAUGUCCGAGACUUUGGCUAUGUUCACGGGCACCGGUUUUCUGAAAGCGGUCGGACGUCCGGCCCUCGGACGGCAGGGGGAGGACGGAAGUCCGAGUUAUUUGACUCUGGUUUUCUCUGGUGCAAGGUUCCGGUUUUCCGAAGUGGUCGGGCGUCCGGCCCUCGGACGUCUGGAGGGAGCCAGAAGUCCGAGUUAUUUGACUGUGGAUUUCUCUGGUAUAAGGUUCCGGAUUUCCGAAGUGGUCGGGCGUCCGGCCCUCGGACGUCCGGAGGAAGGCGGAUGUUCGAGGCAUUGGUUAUGUUUUCAAAUAAAAGCAGAGCAGUGGAGAUGUGGUAUGAGCAGAAAAGUAGAGAUGUAGUUUGAGCAAGUUCAUCGCAAAACCUGUGAUCCCCUCUUAAUAGUGCGGGAUCCCUAAAGACUCACGAAUCAUAAAAGGGUACUGAUGAUCCAUACUUGAGUGUAUACUUUUAUUCGCUGAUCAUCACUCUGCACCACUAACGUCAAAGGAACUGAUACCUUUGAGUUAGCCCUUUCACUUGAGCUUGAUGUUGUUGUUCCUUCGUGGCUCAAGUUGAAAGCAAGACAUGAUGAAGUCUUCAAGUAGCUCUCCCAUACACAAUGUGGAAAGCCUGGCUUAUGUAUUCAUCUUCAUUUGUCCACCAUGUGAACAUCCACAAGAAUCAAGCAUGUAGUUCUCAGGAAUGUUUAUCUUGAUCUUGUCCUUGUUAGCACAUGAGCUUGUCCUUAUCAACACGUGAUCAUUAACAACAGCUUAAAGGGGAUUAGUGAUUAGUUAUCUAUAUGUGUGUUGUCAGCAACACCAAAACACGAUUAAGGGCAUGACUGCACUUUGAUGUAUGGCUCCCCAAAAAAUUCCCGCCUACAAUGGUAUCUAGGAUGUACCUAUUCCAAGGAGAAAUCCCAACAUAGAAACUGCGAAGGAGGACGGUAGUGGAUUGCUUACAAGUAGAUCUACUUUGAGCAUUGCAAAUCCUGUACCAAGCGUCCUUUAAAUUUUCUUCCUCAUUCUGCCUGAAAUUGAGAACUUCAUUCUCGGGAGUAUCGUUUGGAGUGGUGGGUCUAGCCAUUGAUGGACUAUCUCACACACAAACGAGCAGGAAGAGAGAGUGAAACGGGCAAAAGAAAACGGCAAAGGAGAAAGGCAAAUGAAAACGGCAAAUGUGAAGUGGGGGAGAGGAAAACGAGAGGCAACUGGCAAAAAAAGUAAAUGCAAGAGAUGAGUUUGUGAGACCUACUUGGAUAGAUCUCUCCUUCCCCGGCUACGGCGCCAGAAAUACUUCUGCUACUGCAACAAAAGACGUUCCAACGGCGCCAGAAAUAGGCGUGUUACGGCACCAAGAAUCCUUCUGCUACGGCUACGCCUUAAGGGACUUCCUAGGCAAAUAUGCAAAGGAUUUCCCCCGUGGCCUUGGAGCCUUGCGUUGGUGUUCCCUCGAAGCGGAAAGGGUGAUGUAGCGCAGCGGUGGUAAGUAUUUGCCUCGGUUUGAGAACCAAGGUAUCGAUCCAGUGAAGGAGUAUCACAAGUGCCUGCACAAACACAAAAAACUUGCUCCCAACGAUAUGAAGGGUUGUCAAUCCCUUAUAGAUUAUUCGCCAAGUGAGAACUGUAAGCAACAAAGUAACAAAGCAAGUAAAAGCGAAAGUGGAAAUGAUAGGUGUGAAUAGACCCGGGGGCCGUAGUGUUUACUAUUGGCUUCUCUCAUGAAAGCAAGUAGACGGUGGGUGAACAAAUUACUGUCGAGAAAUUGAUAGAACCGUGCAAAGUCGUGACGUCAUCUAUGGCAAUGAUUAUAUCUAUAGGCAUCACGUCCAAAACAAGUAGACCGAUACUUUCUGCAUCUACUACUAUUACUCCACACGUCGACCACUAUCCAGCAUGCAUCUAGUGUAUUAAGUCCAAAAGAACAGAGUAACGCCUUAAGCAAGAUAACAUGAUUUAGAUGGACAAUCUCAUAUCUACGACAGAGCCCACCUUGUUACCCUUGAUGGCAACUACACGAUGUGUGCCUUGCUGCCCCUACUGUCACUGGGAAAGGUCACCACACGGUAAGAACCCAAAACCAAGCACUUCUCCCAUUGCAAGAAUCACAGAUCUAGUUGGCCAAACAAAACCCAAGACUCGGAGAGACUUACAAGGAUAUCAAAUCAUGCAUAUAAGAAAUCAGCAAAGACUCAAAUAUAUAUCAUAGAUAAUCUGAUCACAAAUCCACAAUUCAUCGGAUCUCGACAAACACACCACCUAAGAGGAUUACAUCGGAUAGAUCUCCAUGAAGAUCAUGGAGAACUUUGUAUUGAAGAUCCAAGAGAGAGAAGAAGCCAUCUAGCUACUAACUACGGACCCGUAGGUCUAAAGAGAACUACUCACGAGUCAUUGGAGGGGUGAUGAUGUUGAUGUAGAAGCCCUCCAACUCCAAAGUCCCCUCCGACAAGGCACCGGGAUGGGUCUCCAGAUGAGAUCUCGCGGAAACGGAAGCUUGCGGUGGCGGAAAAGUAUUUUUGUGGAUCCCUUGAUUUUUUCUGUAUUUUAGGGAAUAUAUAGGCGAAAGAUCUAGGUCAGGGGGGCGCCAGGGAGGCCACAAGUNNNNNNNNNNNNNNNNNNNNNNNNNNNGGGCUUGUGGGCUCCCUGUAGCCCUCCUGGAUUGGCCCACAAGCCCCCUGAUCUUCUUUCAUUCGGGAAAAAUCAUUUCGGGGAUUUUAUUCCGUUUGGACUCCGUUCCAAAAUCAGAACUGAAAAGAGCCAAAAACACAGAAAAAACAGGAACUGGCACUUGGCACUCAAUUAAUAAGUUAGUCCCCAAAAAGAUAUAAAAGGUACAUAAAACAUCCAAAGAUGACAAGAUAAUAGCAUGAAACCAUCAAAAAAUUAUAGAUACGUUUGAGACGUAUCAGACACGGCCUACCCCCGUGGUCGCGGGGUGGGGGCUUGUGGGCCCCUGAGGCUCCCCUGCCUUGGCUCCCAAGCUUCCUCAUCUUCUUCCAUUAUGAAAAAAAUCUUUUCGGGGAUUUUCUUCCCUUUGGACUCCGAUUUAAAAUCUCCUCUGAAAGGGGUCAAAAACAUGGAAAAACAGGAACUGGCACUUGGCACUGAGUCAAUAAGUUAGUCCCAAAAAAUAUAUAAAAGGCAUGCAAAACAUCCAAAGUUUGACAAGAUAAUAGCAUGAAACCAUCUAAAAUUAUAGAUACGUUGGAGACGUAUGAAGCAUCCCCAAGCUUAACUCUUACUCGUCCUCGAGUAGGGAAGUGAUAAAGAAUGAAUUUUUGAUGUGGAAUGCUACCUAGCAUAGUUGUCCUUUGCAACUUCUUUCACGUGACAUGAAUGUUCAGAUCCGUAAGAUUCAAAACAAUAGUUUGCUAUUAAAAUGAAAACAAUAAUACUUCAAGCAAACUAGCAAGGUAAUCAUGAACUUUCAAAUAACAAGGCCAAGGAAAGUUAUCCCUACAAAAUCAUAUAGUCUGGCUAUGCUCCAUCAUCCUCACACAACUAAUGUAAAUCAUGCACAACCCCGGUAUUGGCCAAUUAAUUGUUUUCGCACUCUUACUUUCUCAAACUUUUUAUAACUAUCACGCAAUACAUGAGCAUGAGCCAUGGAUAUAGCACUAUAAGUGGAAUAGAGUGUGGUGGUGGUUGUGAGACAAAAAGGAGGAGAUGGUCACAUUGACUCGGCAUAUCAAAGGACUAUGGAGAUGCCCAUUAAUAGAUAUCAAUGUGAAUGAGUAGGGAUUGCCAUACAAGAGAUGCACUAGAGCUAUAAGUAUGUGAAAGCUCAAAAGGAAAAUUAGUGGGUGUGCAUCCAACUUGCUUGCUCACGAAGACCUAGGGCAAUUUUGAGGAAGCCCAUCAUUGGAAUAUACAAGCCAAGUUCUAUAAUGAAGAUUCCCACUAGCAUAUGGUCGUGAAGAACAUGGUGCUAUUAUGUAGCACAAGUGUGGAAAAAAGAUAGUAGCAUUGUCCCUUCUCUCUUUUUCUCUCUUUUUUAUUUUUGGGCUCUUUGGCCUCUCUUUUUUUAUUUCCUCACAUGGGACAAUGCUCUAAUAAUGAUGAUCAUCACACUUUUAUUUACUCACAGCUCAAAAUAAUGAUGACUCUAAAGGAAAUGCCUCCAGAAGUAUACCAGGAUGUGCAACAAUCUAGCAUGGCGUAUGACGUUGAAAACAUCUCGCUAGCUAUCUUACGGUCAUGCAAUGGCAAUAUGAGAGUGACGGCACAAGUCAUGAGAAGGAACGGUGGGAGUUGCAUGGCAAUAUAUCUCGGAAUGACUAUGAAAAUGCCAUAGUAGGUAGGUAUGGUGGCUGUUUUGAGGAAGGCAUAUGGUGGGUUUGUGUACCGGCGAGAACUGCGCGGCACUAAAGAGGCUAGCAAUGGUGGAAGGUGGAAGUGCAUCUAUACCAUGGACUCACAUUAGUCAUGAAGAACGCACAUACUUGUUGCGAAAGUUUUUAUUAGUAAUCGAAACAAAGUGCUAAACGCAUACUCCGAGGGGAAGGGUUGGUAGGUGUUAACCAUCGCGCGAUCCCGACCUCAACACAAAGGAUGACAAUCAAUAGAUCAAUUAUGCUCCGACUUCCUAACAUAGCAGUUCACCAUACGUGCAUGCUACGGGAAUCACUAACUUCAACACAAGUAUCUCUAGAUUCACAACACCCUACUAACAUAUCUCUCAAUAUUACCGAAUCCACGUCUCAAAACUAAUUGAGAGGAAUCAAAACUUCUCUUUCUACUCAAUGCACAUGAAGAUGGAGGUUUUUGCAUCCUCUUUGGGUACCUAUCACAUUUGGGACUACUUUCAUAGCAUAAGCCAAUUACCAAAUCACGCACCCCGUGCUCUAAAAGAUAUAAGUGAAGCACUAGAGCAAAAGUAUCUAGCUCAAAAGAUAUAAGUGAAGCACUAUGAGCAUUCUAGCAAAAUCAUGAUGAGUGCAUGUCUCUCUCUCUCAAAUAGGUGUGCAGCAAGGAUGAUUGUGACACAACAAAAAUAAAAGACUCCUACGAUACAAGACGCUCCAAACAAAACACAUAUCAUGUGGUGAAUAAAAAUAUAGCUCCAAGUAAUGUUACUGAUGGAUUGAAGACGAAAGAGGGGAUGCCUUCCCGGGGCAUCCCCAAGCUUAGGCUUUUUUGUGUCCUUGAAUUUGGCUUUGGAUGCCUUGGGCAUCCCCAAACUUGAGAUCUUUCCACUCCUUAUCUCAUCUUCCAUGAGAACAUCACCCAAAACUUGAAAACUUCACAACACAAAACUUAAACAGAAACUCGUGAUAACGUUAGUACAAGAAAACAAACUACCACUUCUUUUGGUACUGUAGCAAACUUGAAUUCCAUCUAUAUUGGUGUUGGUCUACUGUAUUCUCACUUUUCCAUGGCUAGUACUCCCCCCCCCCAAUACUAACCAUAGUUUCAUCAAACAAGCAACCAACUCAACAAAAACAGAAUUUGUCAAAAACAGACCAGUCUGUAGCAAUCUGUAUACUUCGUGUACUUCUCGUACCUCAAAAUAUCUGAAAAAUUACGACUGACUGGGCAAAAAGCAUAUCAACCAGCAGCAAAAAAAUCAACUCAAAAGCUCUUUCUGAAUAAAAAUGAAAAAUCAUCUCGUGAGCGAAAAGUUUCUGUCUUUUUCCAGCACGAUCAAACAACCNNNNNNNNNNNNNNNNNNNNNNNNNNNNNNNNNNNNNNNNNNNNNNNNNNNNNNNNNNNNNNNNNNNNNNNNNNNNNNNNNNNAUCACAACAGAAUUGUGAUGGUGUGGACGCAACAAAACAGAAAGAAAAAAGAUAUAUUCAUUGGGUUGCCUCCCUACAAGCGCUAUUGUUUAAUGCCCUUAGCUAGGCAUAAAAGCGAUAGAAUCACGUAUCGUCGUCUUUGGUGCUCAAACCAUAAGUGGCCCUCAUCAUGGAAUCAUAAGGCAAUCUUAUUUUCUUUCUAGGAAAGUGUUCCAUGCCCUUCCUUGAAAUCAAAUAUUCCCUUCCGUCAUAUCGAUGAUAGCACCGAUAGUCCUUAGGAAAGGUCUACCAAGAAUAAUAGGGCAAGUAGGAUUGCAAUCAAUGUCAAGCACAAUGAAAUCCACGGGUACAUAGUUACUAUUUGCCAUAAUAAGAACAUCAUUGAUCCUUCCCAUGGGUUUCUUGGCAGUAGAAUCAGCAAGAUGCAAAUUAAGAGAACACUCUUCAAUCUCAUUAAAACCCAGAACAUCACAUAAAGACUUUGGAAUCACAGAAACACUAGCACCCAAAUCACACAAAGCAUUGCACUCAUAGUUUUUUAUUUUGAUUUUGAUGGUAGGUUCCCACUCAUCAUGAAGCUUUCUAGGGAUAGAGACUUCCAAUUCAAGUUUCUCUUCAAGAGAUUUUAUCAUAACUUCGACGAUAUGAUCGGUAAAGGCCUUGUUUUGGCUAUAAGCAUGUGGAGAGUUUAACAUGGAUUGCAUCAAAGAAAUGCAUUCAAUCAAGGAGCAACUAUCAUAAUUGAAUUCCUUGAAAUCCACGGUAGUAAUUUCAUUACUACUCAAAGUUUUAACAUCUUCUACUCCACUUUCAAUGCUUUUAGCAUCAAGAUAGAUGGACUCUAAAUCAUUGGGGAACUUUUCAACCAAAGUGGAUUCAUAUCCAGCCCCAUAAUCAUUAGGUUUGACACAAGAAAACAAAGAUUCAAUGGGAGUCACACCAAGCACUUUAAGAUCUUCGUGAUUCUUAUCAUGAGAACACGCCUUUUUAAGCCAUUCAUGUCUAGCACGAAUUUUGGCGGUUCUUUCUUGGCUCUCAAUCAUGGAAACACGCAUAGCUCUCAAAGUUUCAUCCAUGUUUAUUUUGGGAGGAGCACAUCUAACUUUCAAAGCAUCAACAUCACUAGACAUUCUAUCAACGCUCUUAGCCAAAUCGUCAAUUUUGAGUAGCUUUUCCUCUAUGGACGCAUUGAAAAUCUUUUGAGAGUUGAUGAACUCUUUGAUAUUACUCUCUAGAUCAGAGGGUAAUAUAUUGUAAUUUCCAUGGGUAUUGUUGUAGGAGUUGCCAAAAUUAUUAGAGGAGUUACUAGGAAAAGGCCUAGGAACAUAGUUUCCUCUAAAAGCAUUGUUGUUGCCAAAGUUAUUCCUACCAACAAAAUUAACGUCCAAGCUAGCAUUGCUACUCUCAAUCAAAGAAUACAAAGGCAUAUCAUUAGGAUCCAAAGGAGCACUUCUACUAGCAACCAAAUUUAUUAACUCGUCCAUCUUAGCACUCAACGAGUUAAUUUCCUCUAUAGCGUGUACCUUCUUACUAGUAGGUGACCUUUCAGUGUGCCACUGAGAGUAGUUUGUCAUGAUGUUGUCUAAGAGCUUUGUGGCUUCUCCUAACGUGAUUUCCAUGAAUGUUCCACCUAAGGCGGAGUCCAAGAUAUUUCUAGAAGCGAAAUUCAAGCCAGCGUAAAAGAUUUGAAUAAUCAUCCAAAGGCUCAAGCCAUGAGCGGGACAAUUGCUAAUCAUUAAUUUCAUUCUCUCCCAAGCUUGUGCAACAUGUUCAUGAUCAAGUUGCUUGAAAUUCAUGAUAUCAUUCCGGAGAGAGAUGAUCUUAGCCGGCGGAAAAUACUUGGAUAUAUAAGCAUCUUUGCACUUAUCCCAAGAAUCGAUACUAUUUUUGGGCAAAGAAGAAAACCAAGUUUUUGCGCGAUCUCGCAGCGAGAAAGGAAAAAAACUUCAAUUUAAUCACGUCAUUAUCCAUAUCUUUCUUAUUUUUCAUAUCACAAAGCUCAAUGAAGGUAUUGAGAUGGGAAGCGGCAUCUUCACUAGGAAGGCCAGAAAAUUGCUCUUUCAUAACAAGAUUCAGCAAAGCGGCAUUGAUUUCGUAUGACUCCGCACUAGUGGUGGGAGCAAUCGGAGUACUAAUAAAAUCACUAUUAUUAGUAUGCGAGAAGUCACAAAGUUUGGUGUUUUCAUUCAUGGUGACUUCGGCAAGCAAGCAGGCACACAAGCAAACAAAGAGCGGGUGAGAAAAAGGGCGAACGAAAAGGCGAACGAAAAAGGCAAACGAAAAAGGGAAAUCAGUGCAGUGGGGGAGGAAAACGAGAGGCAACUCGCAAACAAAGUAAAUGCAAGAGAUGAGUUUGCGACACCUACUUGGAUGAGUUAUUGACUUGAUCUACCUCCCCGGCAACGGCGCCAGAAAUUCUUCUGCUACGGCAACAAAAGUCCUUCCCAAGCAACGUCGGGAGUUCUUCUUGCUACUUCUCUUGUUUGUGUCAGUUUUUCCCUUGAAGAGGAAAGGCUGAUGCAGCACAGGAGCAGUAAGUAUUUCCCUCAGUUUUGAGAACCAAGGUAUUGAUCCAGAAGGAGGGUCUCGUCAAGUCGAGAGUACCUGCGAAAACACAAACAAGCUUGCACCCAACGCUUCAAAGGGGUUGUCAAUCCCUUCAAGAUUGUUUGCAAAGUGAGAUCUAAAGGCGGAAAGUGCAACGAAGUAAAAAGUGUAAGGCUGAAAAUAUGGUGUGGAGUAGACCCGGGGGCCAUAGUGUUCACUAUAGGCUUCUCUCAAAAUAGCAAAUAUCACGGUGGGUGAACAAAUUACUCUCGAGCAAUUGAUAGAACCGCGCAAAGUCAUAACGAUAUCUAAGGCUAUGAUCAUACAUAUAGGCAUCAUAUCCGAGACAAGUAGACCGAUACUUUCUGCAUCUACUACUAUUGCUCCACAUAUCGACCGCUAUCCAGCAUGCAUCUAGUGUAUUGAGUUGAUGAUGAACAGAGUAACGCCUUAAACAAGAUGACAUGAUGUAGAGGGAUAAUCUCAAACCAAUGAUGACAACCCCAUCUUUUUACCCUUGAUGGCAACAACAUGAUGCGUGCCUCGCUACCCCUUCUGUCACUGGGUGAGGUCACCGCACGGUAUGAACCCAAAACCAAGCACUUCUCCCAUUGCAAGAAUCAUAGAUCUAGUUGGCCAGACAAAACCCACAACUCGAAGAGAAUUACAAGGAUAUGAAAUCAUGCAUAAGAGAGAUCAGAAGAAACUCAAAUAAGAUUCAUAGAUAAUCUGAUCAUAAAUCCACAAUUCAUCGGAUCUCAACAAACACACCGCAAAAGAAGAUUACAUCGGAUAGAUCUCCAUGAAGAUCAUGGAGAACUUUGUAUUGAAGAUCCAAGAGAGAGAAGAAGCCAUCUAGAUACUAACUAUGGACCCGUAGGUCUAUGGUGAACUACUCACGCAUCAUCGGAGAGGUCAUGGUGUUGAUGAAGAAGCCCUCCGUGUCCGAAUCCCCCUCCGGUAGGGCACCAGAACGUGCCCCAGAUGGGAUCUUGCGGAGACAGAAGCUUGCGGCGGCGAAAAAGUGAUUUCGAUGAUCUCCUGAUUUUUUGGGGAUUUUUAGGGAAUAUAUAGGCGCAACCCCUAGGGCAGAGGGCGCCCAGGGGGCCCACAAUCCUUUGGGCCGCGGCCUACUCCCCUCGUCGCAUGGUGGGGGCUUGUGGGGCCCCUGAGGCUCCCCUGCCUUGGCUCCCAAGCUUCCCGAUCUUCUUCCGUUAUGAAAAAAAACUUUUUGGGAAUUUUGUUCCGUUUGGACUCCGUUUCAAAAUCUCCACUGAAAGGGGUCAAAAACAUGGAAAAAACAGGAACUGGCACUUGGCACUGAGUCAAUAAGUUAGUCCCAAAAAUACAUAAAAGGCAUGCAAAACAUCCAAAGUUUGACAAGAUACUAGCAUGAAACCAUCAAAAAUUAUAGAUACAUUGGAGACGUAUCAGUCUGCUACAAUCAGAUCCGUGUGCACUUUGCAAAUAUUCACGUCCUCUCCUUGGACAUAGUCACGGAUGAGGUUAAAGCAUCGCUUGAUGUGUCUGGUCUUCUUGUGAAACCUUGGUUCCUUUGCUAAGGAAAUGGCACCAGUGUUGUCACAUAACAGAGUUAAUGGAUCCAGUGCGCUCGGCACAACUCCAAAAUCUGUCAUGAACUGCUUCAUCCAGACACCCUUCUUUACUGCCUCUGAUAUGUCUCCAACGUAUGUGUAAUUUUUGAUGGUUUCAUGUUAUUAUCUUGUCAAACUUGGGAUGUUUUGCAUGCCUUUUAUUUAUUUUCUGGGACUAACUUAUUAACUCAGUGUCAAGUGCCAGUUCCUGUUUUUUCCAUGUUUUGACCCCUUUCAGAGGAGAUUUUGAAACGGAGUCCAAACAGAAGAAAAUCCACAAAAAGAUUUUUUUCUGGAACGGAAGAAGAUCGGAGAGCUUGGGGGCCAAGCCAGAAGAGCCCCAGGGGCCCCACAAGCCCCCACCCCGCGGCCAGGGGGGCGUGCCAUGCAGGCUUGUGGGCCCCCUGGAGGUCCCCCUGACCUAGAUCUUACGCCUAUAAAUUCCCAAAUAUUCCCAAAAAAAUCAGGGGAGCAUCGUAAUCACUUUUCUGUCGCCGCAAGCUUCUAUUUCCGCAAGAUCCCAUCUAGGGCACGUCCUGGUGCCCUGCCGGAGGGGGGAUUCGGACACGGAAGGCUUCUCCAUCAACACCAUGACCUCUCCGAUGAUGCGUGAGUAGUUCACCAUAGACAUGCGGGUCCAUAGCUAGUAACUAGAUGGCUUCUUCUCUCUCUUGAAUCUUCAAUACAAAGUUCUCCAUGAUCUUCAUGGAGAUCUAUCCGAUGUAAUCUUCUUUUGCGGUGUGUUUGUCGAGAUCCGAUGAAUUUUGGAUUUAUGAUCAGAUUAUCUAUGAAUCUUAUUUGAGUUUCUUCUAAUCUCUCUUAUGCAUGAUUUCGUAUCCUUGUAAUUCCCUUCAAGUUGUGGGUUUUGUUUGGCCAACUAGAUCUAUGAUUCUUGCAAUGGGAGAAGUGCUUGGUUUUGGGUUCAUACCGUGCGGUGACCUCACCCAGUGACAGAAGGGGUAGCGAAGCACAUAUCGUGUUGUUGCCAUCAAGGGUAAAAAGAUGGGGUUUUCAUCAUUGGUUUGAGAUUAUCCCUCUACAUCAUGUCAUCUUGCUUAAAGCGUUACUCUGUUCUUCAUGAACUCAAUACACUAGAUGCAUGUUGGAUAGUGGUCGAUGUGUGGAGUAAUAGUAGUAGAUGCAGAAAGUAUCGGUCUACUUGUCUCGAACGUGAUGCCUAUAUGCUAGAUCAUUGCCUUAGAUAUUGUCAUGACUUUGCGCGGUUCUAUCAAUUGCUCGACAGUAAUUUGUUCACCCACCGUGACAUUUUCUAUUUUGAGAGAAGCCUCUAGUAAACACUAUGGCCCCCAGGGUCUACUCCACACCAUAUUUUCUGCCUUACACUUUUUACUUCUUUGCACUUUCCGCCUUCAGAUCUCACUAUUGCAAACAAUCUUGAAGGGAUUGACAACCCCUUUGAAGCGUUGGGUGCAAGUUUGUUUGUUUUUGCGCAGGUACUUUGGACUUGACAAGGCCCUCCUUUUGGUUCGAUACCUUGGUUCCCAAACUGAGGGAAAUAGUUACUGCUCCUGUGCUGCAUCACCCUUUCCUCUUCAAGGGAAAAACUAACGCAAACCAGAGAAGUAACAAGAAGAAUUCCUACGCGCCAGGGAAGGACUUUUGUUGUCAUAGCAGAAGAAUUUCUGGCACCGUUGCCGGGGAGGAAGAUCAAGUCAAGAACCCAUCCAAGUAAGUGUCGCAAACUCAUCUCUUGCAUUUACUUGUUUGCUAGUUGCCUCUCGUUUUCCUCUCCCCCACUUCACCAAUUCGCCUUUUCGUUCGCCUUUUUGUUCGCCCUUUUCUCUCGCUUGCUUUCUGCUCAUCUAUGUGGGAUAGCCUAUCCUGAUGGCUAGAUCCACCACUUCAAACGAUACUCCCGAGAGCGAAGUUCUCAAUUUCAAACAAAUUGAGGGAGAAAACUUAAAGGACGCUUGGUAUAGGAUUUGCAAUGCUCAGAGUAGAUCUACUCAUAAGCAAUCCACUACCGUCUUGCUUCCUUGUUUUUAUGUGGGUAUUUCUCCUUGGAAUAGGUAUAUUUUUGACACCAUCGUAGGUGGAAAUUUCUUGGGUAGCCAUACCGUUGAUUCUUACGGUGUUGUGAUAAAUUUGGUAGGCUCACCCCCACUCAUGGUUAAUGGAACUACCUUAACUCUGGAACAUGUGAGGCGUAGACUGGACGCUAUUGAAAAUAAAGUCGCUACGAUUGAACUCAUUGAGAAUUUGGAUAAAAAGAUCCAUAAUCAAAUCACUCAUUAUGGAUCCAAGGUGGGAAUGGUUUUGAAAAACUUAAAGGAGAAGGAACCCAUAGUUAGCGAAAAGCUAGGUCAUGACUCUCCUAGGAUUGCAAACUAGAGGAUGUUAUAACCAACAUGGGUUCCGCUCUUGCCGCUGUGCAGAAUACUCCAAAUUUUGCCCACAAUAAAAUCACCAAGUCUGUAUUUGUUCCUAAAAGUAGUGGUGAAUCAUCUAGCAAGAAAGAUGAAAACCUCAAGAUGAUAAGUGAUCAUGCCACUUAUGGUUUGAGCACCAAAGACGACGAUAUGUGAUUCUAUCGCUACUAUGGCUAGCUAAGGGCGUUAAACAAUAGCGCUUGUUGGGAGGCAACCCAAUGAAUUUAUAUUUUUUCUUUCUGUUUUGUUGCGUCCACACUUUCACAAUUCUGUUGUGAUUGUGUUUUUUGUGUUUAUUUUUGUAUUUGAGCCAAGCAAAACCUUUAUGAUUGGUCUUGGUAAUGGUUGUUUGAUCUUGCUGGAAAAAGACAGAAACUUUUCACUCACGAGAUGAUUUUUCAUUUUUAUUCAGAAAGAGCUUUUGAGUUGAUUCUUUUUGCUUCUGAUUGAUAUGCUUUUUCCAUAGACUGUCGUAAUGUUUAAGAUUUUUUGAAGUACCAGAAGUAUACGAAGUAUACAGAUUGCUACAGACUGGUCUGUUUUUGACAGAUUCUGUUUUUUAAUGAGUUAGUUGCUUGUUUUGAUGAAACUAUGGUUACUAUCGGGGAGUACUAGCCAUGGAAAAGUGAGAAUAUAGUAGCUCAUCAUCAAUAUGGAUGGAAUUCAAGUUUGCUAUAGUACCAAAAGAAAUGGUAGUUUGUUUUCCUGUACUAAUGUUAUCACAAGUUUCUGUUUAAGUUUUGUGUUGUGAAGUUUUCAAGUUUUGGGUGACGUUCUCAUGGUGUAACAUCCCAAUUUUCCUAAUUGGGAAUGUUUUACAUUGUAGCUAAGCAUCUAUGAAUGUUGAUUGAAAUAAAUUUAGCACGUGAAUUUCCUUCGUCUUUUGAUUUGCAUUCCCAUUUUUCCUCGCACGAGAAAUGCCCGGAGAAAAUACUCUCUUGCACGCAAGAGAGAGAGCGGAGGAANACAGUUUUCCUAGGGUCUAAUCUAGACCAUACAACUUAAAUCUAACGACUACAAUGAAGAAAAGGAAAAGGAACAGAGAGGGGAGGAGAGCUACCGUGCUGGCCGUGGGGUAGCUCCCGCGACGCCCCUCGCCGGAGCUACCCCACGGCCAGCACGGUAGCUCUCCUCCCCUCUCUGUUCCUUUUCCUUUUCUUCAUUGUAGUCGUUAGAUUUAAGUUGUAUGGUCUAGAUUAGACCCUAGGAAAACUGUUCGGUUUAGAUUAGAAAAACCAACGGUUUUUAGUUCACUUAUGAUUUAGCCAGCGAGUUUUACUAGAGCUAGGCCGUUUUCUCAAAGCUUUGCAGCAAACGCACCCCUCGCCCUAUAGCAACAUGCCACGUGUACCCUCUUUUUUGUACUAGUUAGCUUCAUAUUUUUCUGUCUAAAUUGCAAAAACAGAAAGUUUCUGUUUUGUUUUGGCCACAACUUUUGAUCCCUAAGUCCAAUGACAUUUAUUCUUUUUCCAGUAGCUCACAAAUUUCCUGUAGUCUUUAAAAACAUAUAAUUUGUCUAUAUUUGAAGUUUUCAAAUAUAAGUUAGAUCAGAUUUAGUUUAAACCUUGUUUUGCCUAUUCCAGGAGUUUGAAAAAUGAUUUUGAGUUGAUUCUUUUUGCUACUACUUCCUAGUGAUUAAAUCUUACUGUAGUAGAAGUUUCAAAAAUUUUAAAGUAUUUUUACUGAUGUUCUCAACAGAAACAAGUUUCUGCCAUACCGGCGCAUGAUGAAUUCUUUUACUUAGGCUUUCGCAAAUCCUUACUUGUGAUGUUAUUUUACUUGUUGCAUGAUUGAAGUGCUUAUGGUGUGCUUUGUGUUUGUAUCGGUAGAUCAUCCGGAGUGCGAAGCGUGUUACUUAGAAGCGCUCGAGCAAGACAACUAUCAUCAAGGCAAGUCAUUUUGAUCAUGUUAUUUUCCUAUGUUUUCAAUGCAUGGUAGAUCACCUUUCUUUGCCCAAUUGCAUGCUGCCUAGGUACUUGGAAAAUUUAGCAUAAGUUAUAGUAUCUUGUGGUAGGCACACAACAACCCCGAUACUUGGCCCCGGGACGACAAUUUUAUUUGCUACGCUUGAGUAGACGGGUUUUCGGUUGAGUGCAUAUCACGAGUGAUGCGAGGUUGAUUAAAUAAUCAAGACCGGUUAAGACAAGAUUUUCAAGACCUCGGACGCAAUGCAACUCUGGGUGAAGGAUGGUUGAUCGGCUCCCUGGAGAACCCAGUGGAUGCCCGGGAUGCUGGAGAGGCCAUGUCAUCCUGCGGAAAGCUUCACCCAGGCUCGAAGAGACGGACGGAGACUUCAAGACUCAAGGCUUACCUGCACAGCCACAAGUCAUUAUGGGCUCUGGCUUGGUUGGACAACGCGGCGACUCUGGAUAGGCGGUGCUAGCAGAUGUAGAAGAACGAUAGGAUUGGAUGGGCACCGACAGGGAUUCAGAGGGACCUGUUGAAAGACCAUGUUUUGAUCAUCCGGUCUUCAAACACCCUGAAGUGCGAGGACAAACCCGGAGGCGGUCAAAUCUUGUGGGGAACGUGUGCAAAACUCUGCAGAGUGCCCAACCUAAUCGAUUAGUCGUGUCCACGGUCAUGGACAACUUGAGCCGAAGGCAUUGAAUUUCCCCUGAACUCUCGACACCACUUAAUAAUGAUGUGGGUGUUAACAACUAUUCGGGCACGAGAAUUGGUUGGCGGAACCAUCUCGUUAACAACAAACAAUGUAGUAAUAUUUUGCUUCCAACCCCUCUUGUGGUAGGAUAAAACUGGCUUUAUGCAAAACUUAGCUCCACCAGGCCAAAUAUGCAUGUAGAGAUAGUUGAUUAUUAUUUUACCCCCCUCUCUUUGAUGACUUGUCGGCAUAUUCAAUAUGCUGACCUACACGGCUGCAACGUAUCAUGUUGCAGAGUACUUUUCCAACCAGGAGUGAGGCUACGAUCUAUGCUCAGCGACAUGCCCUUGGAGUCGGAUGGACUCGUCUACCUGAUGCUUCCGCUAGUCUUCGUUAGAUAUCUCAUGAGUUGGCCUUCAGCCACUUUAUUGUAAUCCUUUAUUGUAAUAAAGUACUCUUUAUGAGAUUUCGAUUAAUAAAGCUGUGUGAUUGAACUCUUGAAUAUAUACAUUAUGUACUGUGUGUGUACCAGCAUGAUCUUGGGAUGGUACGGAAACACUAGAGGCUUGACUCGUCUUGAGUCGGGUCGCUACACAUGGACAAAGAGAUAAGAAGUGGAAAGAGCUCAAGCUUGGGGAUGCCCAAGGCCCCCCAAGCCAAAUUCAAGGACACCAAAAAGCUUAAGCUUGGGGAUGCCCCGGGAAGGCAUCCCCUCUUUCGUCUUCAAUCCAUCGGUAACAUUACUUGGAGCUAUAUUUUUAUUCACCACAUGAUAUGUGUUUUGCUUGGAGCGUCUUGUAUCAUAGGAGUCUUUUGUUUUUGUUGUGUCACAAUCAUCCUUUCUGCACACCUUUUUGAGAGAGAGAGACAUGCACUCAUCGUGAUUUUGCUAGAAUGCUCAUAGUGCUUCACUUAUAUCUUUUGAGCUAGAUACUUUUGCUCUAGUGCUUCACUUAUAUCUUUUGAGCUAGAUACUUUUGCUCUAGUGCUUCACUUAUAUCUUUUGAGGUAGACACUUUUGCUCUUGUGCUUCACUUAUAUCUUUAGAGCACGACGGUGCGUGAUUUGGUAGUUGGCUUAUGCUAUGAAAGAAGUCCCAUGUGCUAGGUACCCAAAGAGGAUGCAAAAACCUCUAUCUUCAUGUGCAUUGAGUAGAAAGAGAAGUUUCGAUUCCUCUCAAUUAGUUUUGAGGCACGGAUUCGGUAAUAUUGAGAGCUAUGUUAGUAGGGUGUUGUGAAUCUAGAAAUACUUGUGUUGAAGUUAGUGAUUCCCGUAGCAUGCAUGUAUGGUGAACCACUAUGUUAGGAAGUCGGAGCAUAAUUGAUCUAUUGAUUGUCAUCCUUUGUGUUGAAUUCGGGAUCGCGCGAUGGUUUACACCUACCAACCCUUCCCCUCGGAGUAUGCGUUUAGCACUUCAUUUCGAUUACUAAUAAAAACUUGUGCAACAAGUAUGUGAGUUCUUUAUGAAUAAUGUUGAUUCCAUGGUAUAGAUGCACUUUCACCUUCCACCAUUGCUAGCCUCUCUAGCGCCGUGCAAUUCUCGCCGGUGCACAAACCAACCAAAUUCCUUCCUCAAAACAGCCACCAUACCUACCUACUAUGGCAUUUUCAUAGCCAUUCCGAGAUAUAUUGCCAUGCAACUACCACCGUUCCGUCUAAUGACUUGUGUCGUCACUUUCAUAUUGCCAUUGCAUGAUAAUACUAGAUCGUUGCACAUCCCGGUACACUGCCGGAGGCAUUUCCUAUGGAGUCAUCAUCAUUAUAAUUUUUGAGCUUUGAGUAACUAAAAGUGUGAUGAUCAUCAUUAUUAGAGCAUUGUCCCAUGUGAGGAAACAAAAAAAAUAAGGGGCCAAAGAGCCCAAAAACAAAAAAUAAAAAAAGAGGCCUAAGAGCCCAAAUAAAAAAAUGAGAGAAAAAGAGAGAAGGGACAAUGCUACUAUCUUUUUCCACACUUGUGCUUCAUAAUAGCACCAUGUUCUUCAUGAUUGAGAGCUUCUUGCUUUGUCACUACCAUAUGCUAGUGGGAAUCUUCGUUUUAUAACUUGGCUUGUAUAUUCCAAUGAUGGGCUUCCUCAAAAUUGCCCUAGGUCUUCAUGAGCAAGCAAGUUGGAUGCACACCCACUAGUUUUCCCUUGAGCUUUCACAUACUUAUAGCUCUAGUGCAUCUCUUGUAUGGCAAUCCCUACUCAUUCACGUUGAUAUCUAUUAAUGGGCAUUUCCAUAGCCUAUUGAUACGCCGAGUCAACGUGACCAUCUCCUCCUUUUUGUUUCAUAACCACCACCACACUCUAUUCCACCUACAGUGUUAUAUCCAUGGCUCGCGCUCAUGUAUUGCAUGAUAGUUAUAAAAAGUUUGAGAAAGUAAGAGUGCGAAAACAAUUACUUGACCAAUUCCGGGGUUGUGCAUGAUUUACAUUAGUUGUGUGAGGAUGAUGGAGCAUAGCCAGACUAUAUGAUUCUGUAGGGAUAACUUUCUUUCGCCGUGUUAUUUUGAAAGUUCAUGAUUACUUUGCUAGUUUGCUUGAAGCAUUACUGUUUUCAUGUCAAUAGCAAACUAUUGUUUCGAAUCGUACGGAUCUGAAUAUUCAUGCCACGUGAAAGAAGUUGCAAAGGACAACUAUGCUAGGUAGCAUUCCACAUCAAAAAUUCGUUCUUUAUCACUUCCCUACUCGAGAACGAGUAGGAGUUAAGCUUGGGGAUGCUUGAUACGUCUCCAACGUAUAUAUAAUUUUUUAUGGUUUCAUGCUAUUAUCUUGUCAAACAUGGGAUGUUUUGCAUGCCUUUUAUUUAUUUUCUGGGACUAACUUAUUAACUCAGUGCCAAGUGCCAGUUCCUGUUUUUCCAUGUUUUUGACCCCUUUCGGAGGAGAUUUUGAAAUGGAGUCCAAACGGAAGAAAAUCCCCGAAAAGAUUUUUUCUGGAACAGAAGAAGAUCGGAGAGCUUGGGCGCCAAGACAGAAGAGCCCCAGGGGCCCCACAAGCCCCCACCCCGCAGCCAGGGGGACGCGCCAUGCAGGCUUGUGGGCCCCCUGGAGAUCCGCUGACCUAGAUCUUGCGCCUAUAAAUACCCAAAUAUUCCCAAAAAUAUCAGGGGAGCAUCGUAAUCACUUUUUCGCCGCCGCAAGCUUCUGUUUCCGCAAGAUCCCAUCUGGGGCACGUCCUGGUGCCCUGCCGGAGGGCGGAUUCGGACACGGAAGGCUUCUCCAUCAACACCAUGACCUCUCCGAUGAUGUGUGAGUACUUCACCAUAGACCUACGGGUCCAUAGCUAGUAACUAGAUGGCUUCUUCUCUCUCUUGGAUCUUCAAUACAAAGUUCUCCAUGAUCUUCAUGGAGAUCUAUCCGAUGUAAUCUUCUUUUGCGGUGUGUUUGUCGAGAUCCGAUGAAUUGUGGAUUUAUGAUCAGAUUAUCUAUGAAUCUUAUUUGAGUUUCUUCUGAUCUCUCUUAUGCAUGAUUUCAUAUCCUUGUAAUUUUCUUCGAGUUGUGGGUUUUGUUUGGCCAACUAGAUCUAUGAUUCUUGCAAUGGGAGAAGUGCUUGGUUUUUGGUUCAUACCGUGCGGUGACCUCACCCAGUGACAGAAGGGGUAGCAAGGCACGUAUCGUGUUGUUGCCAUCAAGGGUAAAAAGAUGGGGUUUUCAUCAUUGGUUUGAGAUUAUCCCUCUACAUCAUGUCAUAUUGCUUAAAGUGUUACUCUGUUCUUCAUGAACUCAAUACACUAGAUGCAUGUUGGAUAGCGGUCGAUAUAUGGAGUAAUAGUAGUAGAUGCAGAAAGUAUCGGUCUACUUUUCUCGGACGUGAUGCCUAUAUGCUAGAUCAUUGCCUUUGAUAUCGUCAUGACUUUGCGCGGUUCUAUCAAUUGCUCGACAGUAAUUUGUUCAUCCACCGUGAUAUUUGCUAUUUUGAGAGAGGCCUCUAGUGAACACUAUGGCCCCAGGGUCUACUCCACGCGGUGAAUACAUGCAUGAACUCCUCAUACUAUGGUCAUCUCCGGGAGUGGUUCCGGCUAUUGUCACUCCGGGGUUGCCGGGUCAUAACACAUGGUAGGUGGCUACAACUUGCAAUAUAGGAUCUAAAACACACAUAUAUUGGCGACAACAUAAUAGGUUCAGAUCCGAAAUCAUGGCACUCGCGCCCUAGUGACAAGCAUUAAGCAUAGCCAAGUAGUAGCAACAUCAAUCUAGAACAUAGUGGAUACUAGGGAUCAAUCCCCGUCAAGAACUAACUCGAUUAUAUGAUAGAUCUCAUCCAACUCAUCACCGUCCAGCAAGCCUACGAUGAGAUUACUCACGAACGAUGAAGAGCAUCAUGGAAUUGUCGAUGGAGAAAGGUUGAUGAUGACGAUGGCGACGAUUUCCCCUCUCCGGAGCCCGAAACGGAGUCCAGAUCUACCCUCCAGAUGAAGAACAGGAUGUGACGGUGCCUCCGUAUCGCAAAACGCGAUGAAACCUUCUCUCUAAUUUUUUUCCAGACGAAACGAAAGAUAUAGAGCUGAGUUUGGGGGCCCCACAAGCCUGCACGGCGCGGCCAUAGGGGGUGGUCGCGGCCUGCGGGCUUGUGGCCCACUGGCAGGCCCCCUCUGGUGGAUCUUUGCACAGGUAUUUUUUUCUUUUAUUCCAGAAAAAAUCUCCGUAAAUUUUCAAGACAUUUCGAGAACUUUUAUUUCUGCACAUAAACAACACCAUGGCAAUUCUGCUGAAAACAGCGUCAGUCCGGGUUAGUUCCAUUCAAAUCAUGCAAGUUAGAGUCCAAAACAAGGGCAAAAGAGUUCGAAAAAGUAGAUACGACAGAGACGUAUCAACUCCCCCAAGCUUAAAGCCUUGCUUGUCCUCAAGCAACUCAGUUGACAAACUGAGAGAGACAAAAGAAAAACUUUGACGAACUAUGUUUUAUCUUGUUGUUGCAACUAUGUCUAACUCAUAACCAGAAUUUCAGCAAGAUCACAAUCAAACCACAUAAGAAAAUGACAUCUAGGUCUCACGGUAAACUCAUAUCAAUGGCAUAAUCAGCUAGCGAGCAAAUAAUAAUAAGCCUCAAAUGUCAACACUUCAAUCAAAAAAAGCAUGAAGCAGUACGAAUAGAUGGUAUCUCGCUAGCUCUUUCUGAGACCGCAAAACAUAAAUGCAGAGCACCUUAAAAGACCAAGGGCUGACUAAACAUUGUAAUUCAAGGCAAUGAAGAUCUAGUCAUAGUCAUACUCAACACAGUUAAAAGCAAAGCAUAAAAAUGACAGAGGUGCUCUCUAAUUGGUGCUUUGUAAGAGGAGGAUGACUCAAUAGGAACAUAAAUAGACAGGCCCUUUGUAGAGGGAAGCAUUGAUUUGCACAGGUGCCAGAGCUCAACCUUUCAAAACAGAGAUAAUAAUUUUGGGUGGCAUGCUUUCAUUGUCAAUGCAAUGACUAAGAGUGCUCAACAUCUUCCACGCUACACAUGCUUUAGGCGGUUCCCAAACAGAAAAGUAAAGUUUUGACUCCCCCACCACCAAUCAAUCACACUCCAUGGCUAGCCGAAUCCUCGGGUACCGGCCAAACCAACAUCAAUCCUAGGGGAGUUUUGUUUGCAAUUAUCUUUUCGAUUUGAGCAUGGAACUGGGAAUUCCAAUUACCGGCCCCUUUCCUGUGAAUGAUAGUGAAUAAACACAUAUCAAGGAUAAUACGCCUAGCAUGGAAGAUACCAAUAGCCCCUGUCACCACAUGAGCGGUUCGGGCAUGCAAAACAGAUUAUUUCUUGAAGGUUUAGAGAGUGGCACAUGCAAAUUUACUUGGAACGGCAGGUAGAUACCACAUAUAGGUAGGUAUGGUGGACUCAUAUGGCACAACUUUGGGUUUAUGGAAGUGGAUGCACAAGCAGUAUUCCCACUUAGUACAAGUAAAGGCUAGCAAAAGACUGGGAAGCGACCAACUAGAGAGCGAGAACAGUCAUCAAAAUGCAUUGAGAUCAACUAACAUUGAGUGCAAGCAUGAGUAGGACAUAAAUCACCAUGAACAUGAACAUCAUAGAGGCUAUGUUGAUUUUGUUUCAACUACAUGUGUGAACAUGCGCCAAGUCAAGCCACUUGAAACAUUCAAAGGAGGAUACCAUCCUAUCACACUACAUCAUAGUUAUCUCAACAUUCAUGUGGGCAUCCAAGACAAACCAUUAUAAGCUCCUAGCUAAGCAAACAUGUUUCUCUCACAACAAAGCUGAAUUAGGCAUGAUGACCUAGUCAUAUUUACAAAAACAAAAUAGAUCGAGUUCAUACCAGCUUUUCCAGGCUCAGCCACUUCAUCAUAUAUCGUCAUUAUUGCCUUUCACUUGCACGGCCGAACGAUGUGAACAAUAAUAAUCGUGCUCGUGCAUUGGACUAAAGUUGGAAUCUGCAGGCAAACACAAAGGAGAAGACAAAGUAAUAUGGCUCUUUGAAAGCUAAACAGUUAUGCAUGCAAGAGCCACUAAACAUUGUAACCAAUAUCUUCUACCUUGACCCAAAUAAAAAGAAAACUAUUUACACGGGAAAGCUCCCAACAAGCAAAAGAAGAAACAGGAAAUCUUUUUGGGUUUUCUCAAACUAGACAGACACACGAAAAGAAAACGAGAAAAAGAAAAUAAACUAGCAUGGAUGAUGUAGUGGCAGAGUGUGAACACCGGCUAACAAAGUAAAAGCAUAAGCAAGAAUGUAAAGUCGGUGAGAACACGUACUCCCCCAAGCUUAGGCUUUUGGCCUAAGUUGGUCUACUCCCAAGGAGGGAAAUAACCAGCUCCGAGAUACUCCGGAGUGGACUGUGGAUGCCACUACUGUGUGAGCUCCUCUGGCUCCCACUGAUAAACUGGCAUCUGGUACUUGACUGGCGGCUCGGGCACGAGCACCUGUGGUUGGGCUAGGCCCCAAUAUGCGUAGAUGUCCGAGGGCAUAAUAGUGUACCUACCUGCAUGAAGAUUGAUCAAAGAAGGAGCAGGCAAAGUAAUAGUCUCACGAGUACCCUGACUAAAUACCAGGUUAUAAAUCAUCAUUACACCUAUAUCUCUAUCAAGAAAGUCACGGCGAACCAUGCUAUCAUAAUCUAGAUAUCUCUCGGGAAGAAGAACCUCUUCUUCUUCCUCCAGUCUAAUGGGUAUCUCAAAGUGUCUGGCAAGACGGGUAGCAUAGAUACCUCCAUAUACAACACCUUUAGAACGGUUCAGGUUCAACCGUUGAGCUACUAUAGCGCCCAAGCUAUAAAUUUUAUCGUUAUAAAGGGCUUCGCGCAAUACCACAAGAUCUGGGGAACUAAUGACCCAGCUUUCCCACGACCAAUCAAACAUUUUCCCACAAAAAGUGAGAAGUACCGAAGCACGGGAAAAUGAAUGCUAGCAGCUCUAGCGCAAGACACUCCUCUCUCCUCUCCUACAACAAUUGUACCGAUAAAAGCUUCCAAGUCCCGUGGACGAGGUUCAUGAAUAUCCCCAACGUAAGGUAAUUUGCAAACAUUGCAAAAGUCCUGGAGUGACAUGCGCUGGGGGAUAUCAUAAAGUUUGAACUAAACCAUAGGAGGAUUCUUCCUCAGAUAGAAGUUAAAGCUUUGUACGCAGAUAUUAGUGAGGAGUAAGUAUUGCAAACACUUAUCUUCAACGAAGGCGGUAAGGCAUGCGUUUUCCACGAAGUGAUAAAAGUCCUCAUAAAUUCCAGCGGCGCGUAAGAACACGUCGCUUGGCCACUCGCACGCUCGAACUUCCACGACUCGAGGGACCGUAUACUUGGGCUUCUUCUCACUCCCAUCAUCCUUGGGGUCACGGCUUGACGAGCCUCUCAAGAACCUCCUCAUCUUUUCCCUUUUCUAUCUCUGAAAAUUUCUGAAAUUUUUAGUGACUCUACGAAAAAGUGAAUAAGGCUCAACGAAACUCGUAGCAACUACUCCCACAAGUGCCUAGAGGCCAUAUUAUGCAUCGAAACUACUUGGGACCAGCUAGAAUAAGCAUGCAAAGCUCAAGAACAUGGUCACCAAGACAACAAAAAUACGCGGAGUAUAAGUAACUAGAGCAAAAACUAAUUGGACCAAUGGAGGAGUCACUUACCAAGGAGUAAUUUCCCCAAAACAGUUAGGAGAACGGUGAUUUGAGCAAAGAGAUCAAAAAUCCCAGCAAGAGGAGCAAGAACACGGGUUUGAGCUGCGAAACGAUUUUUUCUAGAGGUAGGAGAAGGGGAUGAGAGCAAGAAUGAGUGGAGGGGGUGCCUGUGGGCCCCACAAGCCUGGAUGGCGCGGCCAGGGGGGUGCCCGCGCCCCUAGGGCUUGUGGCCCACUGGUGUGGCCCCCAGACAGACUCUUUAUCCCGGUAUUUUUCAAAUAUUCCAGAAAAAAUCAUACUAGAUUUUCACAGCGUUCGAAGAACUUUUAUUUUCGGGGUACUUUUCUACUGGAGCUAAAACAGAAAACAGGGAAAACUAAAAUAAACCUAUCAUUUUUCUUCUAAGCAACCUAAAGUGAAAGCUUGGAACAGAGGUUUGUGACUCCUCGCUUCAUCCAUCUCAUGGUCAUCGAAAGAAAUCCGUCAAUGGGGUUGAUCAAAUCCCCUUGACAAAAUUUUCUCGAAUCGCAAAAGAGAAUGGAGAAUUUUCGAAUAGUCACUAAGUCACCUCAAUGGGGAUGUGUAUCUCCCCAACAAGCAAAUCAUACUUCAUCUUGACACGAGGAAUAGGGCAUUCAAAGCUCCCAAUAAGAAUUGAUGAAGUUUUUUCGAUAGCAUUGAUGCAAUGUACUCGAUAUUGUUUCUUCGGAAAGUGCACCGUAUGCUCAUUACCGUUGACAUGGAAAGUGACAUUGCCUUUGUUGCAAUCUAUAACAGCCCCUGCAGUGUUUAAAAAGGGUCUUCCGAGGAUGACAGCCAUGGCAUCGUCCUCACGAAUAUCGAAGAUAACAAAGUCUGUUAAGAUAGUGGUGUUAGCAACCACAACAGGCACAUCCUGGAAAAUGCCGAUAGGGAAAACAGUUGGUUUGUCGGCCAUUUGCAAAGAGAUUUCAGUGGGUGUCAACUUAUCUAGUUCAAGUCUACGAUAAAGAGAGAGAGGCAUAACACUAACACCGGCUCCAAGGUCGCAUAAAGCAGUUCUAACGUAGUUACCUUUAAUGGAGCAAGGUAUAGUGGGCACAGCGGGAUCACCUAGUUUCUUAGGAGUUCCACCCUUGCAGGUGUAAUUAGCAAGCAUGGUGGAAAUCUCAACCUCAGGUAUCCUCCUCUUAUUAGUCACAAUAUCCUUCAUGUACUUAGCAUACGGAGACAUUUUGAGCAUAUCUGUCAAACGCAUUUGCAGAAAGACAGGACUGAUCAUUUCAAAAAAUCGCUCAAAGUCCUCAUCAUCCUUUUUCUUGGAUGGUUUGGGAGGAAAGGGCAUAGGUUUCUGAACCCAUGGUUCCUUUUCUUUACCAUGCUUCCUAGAAGUGAAGUCAUUCUUAUCGUAUCUCUUAUUCUUAGGCUGUGGGUUAUCAAGAUCAACAGGUUCAAUCUCCACAUCCUUCUCAUUGCUAGGUUGAGCAUCUUCAUGAACAUCACUAUUGAUAUCAUCAUUAGGCUCAUGUUCAUCACCAGAUUGUGUCUCAGCAUCAGAAACAGAGGCAUCGUUUGGACUCUCAGGUGUAGCAGCAACAGGGUUGCUAGCGUGCACAUCCCUAUCAUCUUUCUUCUUCUUUCCAGGAUGACUAGGUGCUUCAGUGCUAACUCCUUGAGAAUCUUGUUCAAUUCUCUUCGGAUGACCCUCAAGAUACAAAGGUUCCUGGGUCAUUCUACCGCCUCUAGUAACGACUCUGACAGAAUUGUCAUUCAACUCAUUGAGUAAGUCAUUCUGAGCUUUAAGUACUUGUUCUACUUGAGUAGUAACCAUAGAGGCAUGUUUACUCAGAAGCUUAAGAUCAUUGACAUUUCUGUCCACACAAGCACUUAAAUGGCUAAGCAUACGAGCAUUCUUUUCCAGUUGUCUGCUAACAUAAUCAUUGAAACUUUGUUGUUUAGCAACGAAGUUAUCAAAUUCAUCCAUGCAUAAGCUAGCAGGUUUAUAAAAAGGAAUAUCACUCUCAUCAAACCUACGAAGAGAAUUUACUUCUACUACCUGUAUCGGGUUAUCGAGACCAUGGAUCUCUUUGAUAGGUGGUAGAUUUUUGACAUCUUCAGAUUUAAUUCCUUUAUCUCGCAUAGAUUUCUUGGCUUCUUGCAUAUCUUCAGGACUGAGGAAUAGAAUACCUCUUUUCUUCGGAGUUGGCUUAGGAGGUGGUUCGGGAAUAGUCCAAGCAUUCUCAUUGCACAAGAUGUUAUUCAGCAGAAUUUCAGCUUGUUCUACAGUUUGUUCCCUAAAAACACUACCGGCACAACUAUCUAGUUGGUCUUUGGAAGCAUCGGUAAGUCCAUUAUAGAAGAUAUCAAGUAUUUCAUUCUUCUCAAGAGGGUGAUCAGGCAUAGCAUUCAGUAGCUGGAUAAGCCUCCCCCAAGCUUGUGGGAGACUAUCUUCCUCAGCUUGAGCAAAGUUGUAUAUUUCCUGCAAGGCAGCUUGCUUCUUAUGGGCAAGGAAAUAUUUUUCAGAGAAGUAGUAGACCAUAUCCUGGGGGCUACGCACACAACCAGGAGCAAGAUAAGUGAACCAAGUCUUAGCAUCAUCCUUUAGCCAGAAAGGAAAUAGCUUGAGCAUAUAGUAGUGGCGGAUCUUUUCCUCAUUAAUGAUUAGGAUUGCUAUAUCGUGCAGUUUGGUAAGAUGGGCUACAACCGUUUCAGACUCAUAACCGUGAAAGGGAUCAGAUUCGACCAGAGUGAUUAACUCAGGGUCGACAGAGAAUUCAUAAUCCUCAUCGGUCACAAAGAUAGGCGAAGUGGCAAACUUCGGGUCAUAUUUCAUCCUAGCGUUCACAGAUUUUUCUAUCCACUUGCGCAGAAGUUUCUCAACAUCAUAGCUAUCCUUACACGCAAGAAAAUCAUCAGCUAUCUCUCCCUCCAUAACAUAGCGCGUAUCAGGCAUAACAGGCAAUUCAGGCAUAGUAGCAGGUUCUACUUCAAUAGUAUCAGCAGUUUCAGAAGUAUCAUCACGUCUAGCAGCAGCUCUAGCAAUAUGUGCAUCAAGGUAUGCACCAAGUGGCAAAGCAGUAUCAGGCAUAGCAGGCAUAGUAUCUAGCAUAGCAUCAUCAGGCAUAGUAUCAAGCAUAGCAUCAUCAGGCAUAGUAUCAAGCAUAGCAUCAUCAGGCAUAGUAUCAAGCAUAGCAUCAUCAAGCACAGGCUACAUAUCAAGAUUUCUAGCAGGAGGCGAAGUCGCAAACUUACUCAAAACUGAAGGUGAAUCAAGUGCAGAGCUAGAUGGCAGUUCCUUACCUCUCCUCGUAGUGGAAGGUAGGAUUUUAGUUCUUGGAUCUUUCGGAUUCCUCAUAGUGAUCACCAGACGUCAAUCCCAAGUGACUCAGAGAAUAUAGUUGUGCCUCCCCGACAACGGCGCCAAAAAAAGCCUUGAUGUCCCACAAGCGUAUGGGAUCGCAGCAGUUUUCGAGGGUAGAGUAUUCAACCCAAAUUUGUUGGUUUGCACGACGGGAAGCGAAAGAAUAUUCUCAAGUAUUAGCAGCUGAAUGUGUCGGAUUCAACCACACCUGAAAGAUUAGUGUCUGCAAGCAAAGUAUCAGUACCAAAGUAGUAUGAUAGCAACGGUGCCAGAAACGAUCUAUUGACGGCAGACUAUUCCUAACCGUUGUAUCAAUGGCGCCAGCACGUUGACGAGGGAUUAUUCUUGAGAAGAAUGCUUCCCCGGCUACGGCUCCAGAAAAGUCUUGCAACAAGUAACAGCAGAGUAGCAAGGGGGGGGCAGCAGCAGCAAAGUAACAGCACUAGCAACAGUAGCAGCAAAGUGACAGCAGUAGCAACAGUAGCAGCAAAAGGCCCAAUCCCUUUUGUAGCAAGGGACAAGCCUAGACAAAGUUACAUAGCGAGAACCAUUAGUAAAAGACUUGUAGGCAGUGGAUUGGUGAUGGAUGAGUAUGAAGGAUGUGACUCAUCAUGUAACAGCUAUAACAUGGAGAGAUAAGUAACUAGCUCCCGUUCGUCAAUCUAAUGUAGGCAUGUAUUCCGUAUGUAGUCAUACGUGCUUAGGGAAAAGAACUUGCAUGACAUCUAUUGUCCAUCCCUCCCGUGGCAGCGGGGUCCUAAUGGAAACUACGAGAUAUUAAGGUUCUCCUUUUAAUAAAGAACCGGACCAACGCAUUAACACGCGGUGAAUACAUGAACUCCUCAUACUAUGGUCAUCUCCGGGAGUGGUUCCGGCUAUUUUCACUCCGGGGUGGCCGGGUCAUAACACAUACUAGGUGACUACAACUUGCAAGAUAGGAUCUAAAACACACAUAUAUUGGCGACAACAAAAUAGGUUCAGAUCUGAAAUCAUGUCGCUCGGGCCCUAGUGACAAGCAUUAAGCAUAGCCAAGUAGUAGCAACAUCAAUCUAGAACAUAGUGGAUACUAGGGAUCAAUCCCCAUCAAGAACUAACUCGAUUACAUGAUAGAUCUCAUCCAACUCAUCACCGUCCAGCAAGCAUACGAUGAGAUUACUCACGAACGAUGAAGAGCAUCAUGGAAUUGUCGAUGGAGAAAGGUUGAUGAUGACGAUGGCGACGAUUUCCCCUCUCCGGAGCCCGAACGGACUCCAGAUCUACCCUCCAGAUGAAGAACAGGAUGUGGCGGCGCCUCCGUAUCGCAAAACGCGAUAAAACCUUCUCUCUGAUUUUUUUUCCAGGCGAAACGGAAGAUAUAGAGCUGAGUUUGGGGCGGUGGUGCCAUGUGGGCCCCACAAGCCUGCACGGCGCGGCCACUGGCAUGCCCCCUCCGGUGAAUCUUUGCGCAGGUAUUUUUCUUUUAUUCCAGAAAAAAUCUCCGUAAAUUUUCAGGACAUUCCUAGAACUUCUAUUUCUGCACAAAAACAACACCAUGGCAAUUCUGCUGAAAACAGCGUCAGCCCGGGUUAGUUCCAUUCAAAUCAUGCAAGUUAGAGUCCAAAACAAGGGCAAAAGAGUUCGGAAAAGUAGAUACGACGGAGACGUAUCAAUCUACAUAAAGAUCAUGGAGAACUUUGUAUUGAAGAUCCAAGAGAGAGAAGAAGCCAUCUAGCUACUGAUGACCCACAAGUAUAGGGGAUCAAUCGUAGUCCUUUCGAUAAGUAAGAGUAUUGAACCCGACUAGGAGCAGAAGGAUCUGACAAGUGGUUUUCAGCAAGGUAAAAUCUGCAAGCACUGAAACUGUCGGUAACAAGUGAUUGUGUGGUGAGAUGAUUCGUAGCAAGCAACAAGUAACAAAAGUAGCAAUGGUGCAGCAAAGUGGACCAAUCCCUUUUGUAGCAAGGGACAAGCCUGGACAAAGUCUUAUAGGAGGAAAAACGCUCCCGAGGACACACGGGAAUUUCUGUCAUGCUAGUUUUCAUCAUGUUCAUAUGAUUCGCGUUCGUUACUUUGAUAGUUUGGUAUGUGGGUGGACCGGCACUUGGGUACUGCCCUUACUUGGACAAGCAUCCCACUUAUGAUUACCCCCUCUCGCAAGCAUCCGCAACUACGAAAGAAGAAUUAAGACAAAGUCUAACCAUAGCAUUAAACUAGUGGAUCCAAAUCAGCCCCUUACGAAGUAACGCAUAAACUAGGGUUUAAGCUUCUGUCACUCUAGCAACCCAUCAUCUACUUACUACUUCCCAAUGCCUUCCUCUAGGCCCAAAUAAUGGUGAAGUGUUAUGUGGUCGACAUUCAUAUAACACCACUAGAGGAAAAACAACAUACAACAUAUCAAAUUACCGAACGAAUACCAAAUUCACAUGACUAUUAUUAGCAUGACUUAUCCCAUGUCCUCAGGAACCAAAGUAACUACUCACAAAGCAUAAUCAUAUUCAUGACCAGAGAGGUAAUGAGUAGCAUCAAGGAUCUGAACAUAAACUCUUCCACCAAACAAUCCAACUAGCAUCAACUACAAAGAGUAAUCAACACUACUAGCAACCUUACAAGUACCAAUCGGAGUCGCAAGACAGAGAUUGGUUACAAGUGAUGAACUAGGGUUUGGAGAUGAGAUGGUGCUGAUGAAGAUGUUGAUGGUGACGAGUCCCCUCCGAUGAGAGGAGUGUUGGUGAUGACGAUGGCGACGAUUUCCCCCUUCGGGAGGGAAGUUUCCCCAACAGGAUCGUCCUGCCGGAGCUCUAGAUUGGUUCUGCUCAAGUUCCGCCUCGUGGCGGUGGCGAAAGCAAGAAAAAGCUCCUCCCCGAUUUUCUCCUGGACGAAACCCUCCAUAUAGCAAAAGAGGGGAGCAAGUGGGCCAGUGGGCUGCCCACAAGCCCUCAUGGCGCGGCCUGGGGGUGGCCGCGCCGUGCAGGCUUGUGGGCACCCCCUGGUGCCCCUCUGGCACUUCUUCAGCCCAGUAUUUUUGAUAAAUCAGGAAAAAAAUCCUCGUUGAUUUUUACGGCGUUUGGAGUUGCGCAGAAUAGAUAUCUCAAUGGUGCUCCACUUUCAGGCCAGAAUUCCAGUUGCCGGCAUUCUCCCUCUUCAUGUAAACCUUGCAAAAUAAGAGAGAAAAGGCAUAAGAAUUGUACUGUGAAGUGAAAUAACAACCCAAGAAGCGAUAAAUAUCAACAUGAAAACAUGAUGCAAAAUGGACGUAUCAACUCCCCCAAGCUUAGACCUCGUUUGUCCUCAAGCAAAAGCCUAGCUCAAUAAAUAUGUCCACAUGUUUAGGGAGCAAGGUGUCGACAAAACAAGAUACGAACAUGCAUGCAUCAUGAUCAAGAUUAGAACAGCAAUACCAACAUAUAAUCUCUCAUGCUAAAGUGAUAAUUCCUUCACAAAGUAAAGCAUGGAUCAAGAACCUUACCGAGAAGUAACAACCGAUAGCCUUUAGUCAUGGAAGCAAUUGCAAUUUAUCACAACAUCAGAAAGAGUCAAAUAAGAUCUUGUAAAGCAAAUCCACAUACUCAAUCAUUCUUUCGUUCUCUACAAUUGCUACAACUCACGUGGUACUCAUGAGAUCAAAGUUUCAGCUAGACACAGAGAAAGAUAGGGGCUUACAGUUUUGCCUCCCAACUGCUUACCUCAAGGGUAAUGUCAACAACAAUAAUUCAUGAAUACUUACCUCCAAGUUGACAUAUGAAUAUAGAUCUUUCCCAAGCAUGUGACGAUAGCCAAGAUAAAGGCGAGAUAAGGAAUUGGUCAAGAUCACCAUGACUCUUUCAAGGGCAAAAAGUAAAGGUACAAGAUAAGCCCUUCGUAGAGGGAAGCAGAGGUUGUCAUGCGCUUUUGAGGUUUAGAUGCGUGUCCUCUUAGUGUGGAGGAACGUCACUUUAUAUUGCCCCCUGUGAUAAAGAACUUUAUUAUGUAGUCUGUCGCUUUUAUGUCUUCCUCAUCAGAGGUUCGUAUAAAGCUUAUUUUUCACACACUAAUAGAUCAUACAUAUUAGAGAGCAAUUUUUAUUGCUUGCACCGAUGACAACUUACUUGAGGGAUCUUAUUCAAUCCAUAGGUAGGUAUGGUGGACACUCAUGGCAAAACUGGUUUGAAGGUUUAUGGAUGCACAAGUAGUAUCUCUACUUGGUGCGGGAGUUUUGGCUAAUAUGAGGUGGAUGUAAUCGUCACAUGCUAAGGGAUCUCUAAUCAUAUAACAUUGUCCAGAGCCAAGCAAACACAAUUCAUUACGUUGUCUUCCUUGUCCAACAUCUACUUCUAGGCAUGCAAUAGUUUAGUGAGUGUUCACAAUCAUAGAUGGUGUCAAAGAUGAUAUAUUUAUAUGUGAACCUCUCCUUCUUUAUCACUUCCUAUUAAUUGCAACAAUGAUCAAGGUCUAAGUUUUCCUACCCUCAACAAGUUUCAAUCCUCAUUCUUUUUAUAUGUGAAGUCGUCACUUCCCAUAAGAUCAUUACAUGAUCUUUCAUGUUUUUGUUCUAUUCUCACUCUUUUGAUCAUGGCAAGAGGCAAAGCCCUUCAACUAAGACACUGUUUAUUAUAUGGCUCACGAGCUCGAAUACAUCGGGGGUGACACAAAGCAAAACUCAAGACUAAAAAACUAAGACUUUUAAUCUACUAGAGAAAGAGAAAACUAAAAAGGAAAACUAAAACAAAGGUAAAGGCAAAAGAUGUGAUGGUGAUACGAUACCGGGGCAACUCCCCCAAGCUUGGCACAAACCAAGGGGAUUGCCCAUAUCAAUGCUCAGUUGUCUUCCUUUGGUGGUGGUGGAGGAGUAGUUGCAACAUGGGUUUGAUCCUCCGUCGUCCAAGGCAUAGGUGCUCUAGAUCUGCAACAGAAAACAGGCUCGAAACGAAAACAGAGGAAAUCUACGUGAUGCAGGGGUCAGACCAAACGGAAGUAUAUAUAAUUUUUUUUCAGACCAAAAGGAGUACCCUACACGAAAACGGAGUCCGGGAGGCGCACGAGGUGGCCACAAGCCCUCACGGCGCGGCUAGGGGGUGGGCCCGCGCCGUGCAGGCUUGUCGCCUCCUCGAGCACUUUCCGGACUACUUCCAAUUUUUGUAUUUUUUCAAAUAUUGCAAAACGGAGAAAAUUUCCUACUGGAAAAGUUUUGGACUUUGUUUUCUUACCGAAUCACAUACCUCUUCGUUUUCGGAGUCUGAAAUAGGCUGAUAAACAUCCCUUAGGUAUUCCUCCGGAGUUAUGGUAUUAAUGAUAUUGCUUUCAACAUUUAUGGGAGUACCUGAGAUAUAAUGCUUGAUUCUCUGCCCAUUUACCACUCUUGGACAAUUACCUUCCGUGUUGUUGAUCUUGAUAGCACCGGAACGAUAUACUUCCUCAACAACAUAGGGACCUUCCCAUUUAGAGAGAAGCUUGCCUGCAAAGAAUCUUAAACGAGAGUUAUAUAGCAAGACAUAACCACCUACAUUGAACUCACGCUUUUGUAUCCUCUUAUCAUGCCACCUCUUAACCUUCUCUUUGAACAGCUUGGCAUUCUCAUAUGCCUGAGUUCUCCAUUCAUCAAGCGAGCUAAUAUCAAAUAACCUCUUCUCACCGGCAAGUUUGAAAUCAAAGUUGAGCUCUUUGAUUGCCCAAUAAGCUUUAUGCUCUAGCUCAAGAGGUAAAUGACAUGCUUUACCGUACACCAUUUUGUACAGAGACAUGCCCAUGGGAUUCUUAUAGGAAGUUCUAUAAGCCCACAGUGCAUCAUCGAGCUUCUUAGACCAAUUCUUUCUAGACCUGUUGACAGUCUUUUGCAGAAUUAGUUUAAUCUCUCUAUUGCUUAGCUCUACUUGACCACUGGACUGAGGGUGGUAGGGAGACGCAAUUCUAUGGUUGACAUCGUACUUAGCAAGCGUUUUACGGAAAGCACCAUGAAUGAAGUGUUAACCACCGUCGGUCAUUAGAUAUCUAGGGACUCCAAAUCUAGGGAAGAUAACUUCUUUCAGCAUCUUGAUAGAGGUGUUGUGAUCAACACUACUAGUGGGGAUAGCCUCUACCCACUUAAUGACAUAAUCAACAACAACUAGGAUGUGAGUAUACCCAUUGGAUUUUGGAAAAGGUCCCAUAUAAUCAAAGCCCCAAACAUCAAAUGGUUCAAUGACAAGUGAAUAGUUCAUAGGCAUUUCCUGACAUUUGCUAAUAUUACCUAUUCUUUGACAUUCGUCACGAGACAAGACAAACUUACGGGCAUCCUUGAAGAGAGUGGGCCAAUAGAAACCUGAUUGCAAUACCUUGUGUGCAGUUCUAUCUCCCGCAUGGUGUCCUCCGUAGGCCUCGGAGUGACACUUCUGUAGGAUCUGUCCCUGUUCAUGUUCAGGUACACAAUGUCUAAUAACACCAUCUACUCCUUCUUUAUAAAGGUGAGGAUCAUCCCAAAAGUAGUGUCUCAAGUCAAAGACGAAUUUCUUCUUUUGCUGGUACGUGAAACUAGGUGGUAUGUAUUUGGCAACGAUAUAGUUUGCAUAAUCAGCAUACCACGGUGCACUAUGUGAAGCAUUGAUGACAUUCAGUUGCUCAUCGGGAAAGCUAUCAUCAAUAGGUUGUGGGUCAUCAAGAACGUUCUCCAACCUAGACAAGUUAUCUGCUACUGGGUUAUCAGCACCCUUCAUGUCAACAACGUGCAAAUCAAAUUCUUGUAGCAAGAGAACCCAUUUGAUAAGUCUAGGUUUAGCGUCCUUCUUCUCCAUGAGGUACUUAAUAGCACCAUGAUCAGUGUGAAUAGUGACUUUGGAAUCAACUAUGUAAGACCUGAACUUUUCACAUGCAAACACGACUACUAAAAAUUCCUUCUCCGUAGUAGCAUAGUUUCUUUGGGCACUGUCUAGAGUUUUACUAGUGUAGUGCAUAACAUUCAACUUCUUAUCAACUCUUUGCCCUAGAACAGCACUAACAGCAUAAUCACUAGCAUCACACAUGAUUUCAAAAGGUAAGUUCCAAUCAGGUGGUUGAACAAUAGGUGGAGUUAUCAAAGCCCUCUUAAGUAUUUCGAAGGCUUCCUCACAAUCAUCAUCAAAAACAAAAGGAAUAUCCUUUUGCAAGAGAUUGGUAAGAGGCCUAGAAAUCUUAGAGAAGUCCUUAAUGAACCUUCUAUAGAAACCAAUAUGACCAAGGAAACUUCUUAUACCUUUGAUAUCUGUGGGGUAUGGCAUUUUCUCGAUUGCAUCAACCUUAGCCUUAUCGACUUCAAUACCUCUUUCAGAAAUUUUAUGUCCUAAGACGAUGCCUUCAUUAACCAUAAAGUGGCACUUCUCCCAAUUCAAGACAAGGUUGGUGUCUUUACAUCUCUGCAAGACUCGAUCAAGGUUGCUGAGGCAAUCAUCAAACGAUGACCCGUAAACGGAGAAGUCAUCCAUGAAAAUCUCGACAAUCUUUUCACAAAAGUCAGAGAAUAUAGCCAUCAUACAUCUUUGAAAGGUGGCAGGUGCAUUACAUAAGCCAAAAGGCAUACGUCUAUACGCAAAGGUACCGAAAGGGCAGGUGAAAGUGAUUUUCUCCUCAUCAGAUUGUGCAACCGGUAUUUGGGAGAAACCAGAAUAACCGUCUAGAAAGCAGAAGUGUGUGUGUUUAGACAGCCUUUCUAGCAUUUGGUCGAUAAAAGGCAGAGGGUAAUGAUCUUUCCUAGUGGCCUUAUUCAGUUUCCUGAAAUCGAUCACCAUCCUAUAGCCAGUAAUAAUCAUGCGUGGGAUCAAUUCAUCCUUAUCACUAGGGACAACGGUAAUGCCUCCCUUCUUGGGGACGCAAUGCACCGGACUCACCCAAUUGCUAUGAGCAACAGGAUAGAUAAUACCCGCUUCCAGGAGCUUUAGUAUUUCUUUUCUUACUACUUCUUUCAUCUUAGGAUUCAAUCUCCUUUGAUGAUCAACAACUGGUUUCAAAUCAGGAUAUAUUUUAAUCUUGUGCUGGCAUAGAGUGGGACUAAUGCCCUUAAGAUCAUCAACAGUAUAUCCGAUAGAAGCACGAUGCUUCCUCAGAGUUUCUAGUAACUUCUUUUCAUCAAGCUCCGAGAGGCUAGCACUAAUAAUAACAGGAUAUAUCUCUUUUUCAUCAAGAUAGGCAUACUUAAGAGGAUCAGGCAACUGUUUAAGCUCGAACACAGGAUCACCCUUUGGUGGGGGUGGAUCCCCAAGCAGUUCAACAGGCAGAUUAUUCUUAAGGAUAGGAUAUUGUUCUAAGACAACUCUAUCUAUCUCAUCCCUUUCAUCCAUAUGCAUAUCAUUUUCAUGCUCAAGCAAGUAUUGCUCUAAGGGAUCACUAGGAGGCACGGCAAUAGAAGCUAAGGCAAUAGUUUCAUCCUUACUAGGAAACUCCUUUUCAUGAGGUUGUCUAUCAAACUUAGAGAAAUUGAACUCAUGUGACACACCUUCAAAGCCAACAGUGAUGGUUUGCUUCUCACAGUCAAUAUGAGCAUUGACGGUAUUGAGAAAAGGUCUGCCAAAUAUGAUGGGACAAAAGCUAUCUUGAGCGGUAGCAAGAACGAGGAAAUCAGCAGGAUACUUUGUUUUUACCACACAAGUCUUCAACAUCCCUAACAAUUCCCACAGGGUAGAUAGUAUCUCUAUUGGGAAGCUGAAUAGUGACAUCAAUAGGUUCUAUCUCAACAGGUGCAAUCUCAUCUUUGAUUUCAUCGUAUAAGGAUUGAGGUAUUGCACUAACACUAGCACCCACGUCACAUAAACCAUGAUAACAAUGAUCUCCUAUCUUAACAGAAACCACAGGCAUGCCAACAACAGGCGUAUGUUUGUCUCUAACGUGAGGUUUAGCAAUUCUAGCAGCAUCUUCACACAAGUGAAUAUUAUGUCCCUCAACUUCUUCAGACAGAAGAUCUUUGAUAAUAGCAAUGCUAGAUUCAACUCUAAUUUUCUUAGGGGGUGUAGGUGUUCUAAUAUAGCCUCUACGUAUCACAGUUGAAGCUUUAGAAUGAUCCUUUAUCCUAAUAGGGAAAGGUGGUUUCUCAAUGUAAGCACUGGGAACCACAGGAUCAUUAUAGGCAAUGACUUUCUCUUCAACUGGAGUGGGUUUAACUACAUUGAAUUCUAAAGGAGGGUGAUAUUUAAACCACUUCUCUUUGGGGAGAUCAAUAUGAGCAGCAAAUGAUUCACACAAUGAAGCUACUAUCUCAGAGUCAAGUCCAUACUUAGCGCUAAAGUCACAAAAAGUAUUUGUCUCAACAAGGAAUUAACGCAAUCAAACAUGAAAUUCAUACCUGACUCCUUACCUUAUUCAAGCUCCCAGUCUUCAAAGUUGCAUUUAAUUCUCUCCAAUAAAUUCCAUUUGAAGUCAAUAUCUCUCUUCAUAAAAGAACCGGUACAAGAAGUAUCAAGCAUGGUGCGAUCAUCAUGAGAAAGCCGAGCAUAGAAGUUCUGAAUGAUAAUUUCUCUCGAGAGCUCAUGAUUGGGGCAUGAAUAUAGCAUUGAUUUAAGCCUCCCCCAAGCUUGAGCGAUGCUUUCUCUGUCACGAGGCCAAAAAUUAUAAAUAUAAUUCCGAUCACGAUGUACUAAAUGUAUAGGAUAAAACUUUUGAUGAAAUUCCAAUUUCAACCGAUUGUAGUCCCAUGAUCCAGUAUCAUCACAUAGCCUAUACCAUGUCAACGCCUUAUCCUUCAAAGAUAAAGGAAAGACCUUCUUCUUCACCUCAUCCUCGGGCACGCCUGCAAGCUUAAAUAAACGACAAACCUCAUCUACAUAGAUUAGAUGCAAGUCUGGAUGUGAUGUUCCAUCUCCUAUAAAAGGAUUAGCCAGCAAUUUCUCAAGCAUACCCGAAGGAAAUUCAAAGCAAAUAUUUUCAGUAGGUGCAGCAGGUUGAGGAGCAAAUCUUUGUGCUUCUGUUCAAGGUGAAGAUGCCCCGAACAAGCCCCUCAAAGGAUUAGUAUCCAUAGUGACAAGUGACAAUAAAUUUCAGCACACUAUAUGAAUGUUUCCUUACCAAGUUCCACUUACCAAAGGCGCUUCACUCCCCGGCAACGGCGCCAGAAAAGAGUCUUGAUGACCCACAAGUAUAGGGGAUCAAUCGUAGUCCUUUCGAUAAGUAAGAGUGUCGAACCCAACGAGGAGCAGAAGGAUCUGACAAGUGGUUUUCAGCAAGGUAAAAUCUGCACGCACUGAAACUGUCGGUAACAAGUGAUUGUGUGGUGAGAUGAUUCGUAGCAAGCAACAAGUAACAAAAGUAGCAACAGUGCAGCAAAGUGGCUCAAUCCCUUUUGUAGCAAGGGACAAGCCUAGACAACUUAUAGGAGGAAAAACGGUCCCGAGGACACACGGGAAUUUCUGUCAUGCUAGUUUUCAUCAUGUUCAUAUGAAUCGCGUUCGUUACUUUGAUAGUUUGAUAUGUGGGUGGACCGGCACUUGGGUACUGCCCUUACUUGGACAAGCAACCCACUUAUGAUUAACCCCUCUCGCAAGCAUCCGCAACUACGAAAGAAGAAUUAAGACAAAGUUUAACCAUAGCAUUAAACUAGUGGAUCCAAAUCAGACCCUUACGAAGUAACGCAUAAACUAGGGUUUAAGCUUCUGUCACUCUAGCAACACAUCAUCUACUUACUACUUCCCAAUGCCUUCCUCUAGGCCCAAAUAAAGGUGAAGUGUUAUGUAGUCGACGUUCACAUAACACCACUAUAGGAAAAACAACAUACAACAUAUCAAAUUACCGAAUGAAUACCAAAUUCACAUGACUAUUAUUAGCAUGACUUAUCCCAUGUCCUCAGGAACCAAAGUAACUACUCACAAAGCAUAAUCAUAUUCAUGACCAGAGAGGUAAUGAGUAGCAUCAAGGAUCUGAACAUAAACUCUUCCACCAAACAAUCCAACUAGCAUCAACUACAAAGAGUAAUCAACACUACUAGCAACCUUACAAGUACCAAUCGGAGUCGCGAGACGGAGAUUGGUUACAAGUGAUGAACUAGCGUUUAGAGAUGAGAUGGUGUUGAUGAAGAUGUUGAUCGUGACAAGUCCCCUCCGAUGAGAGGAGUGUUGGUGAUGACGAUGGCGACGAUUUCCCCCUCCGGGAGGGAAGUUUCCCCGGCAGGAUCGUCCUGCCGGAGCUCUAGGUUGGUUCUGCUCAAGUUCUGCCUCGUGGCGGCGGCGAAACCACGAAAAAGCUCCUCCUCGAUUUUUUCCUGAACGAAACCCUCCAUAUAGCAAAAGAGGGGAGCAAGUGGGCCAGUGGGCUGCCAACAAGCCCUCAUGGCACGGCCUGGGGGGGUGGUCGCGCCGUGCAGGCUUGUGGGCACCCCCUGGUGCCCCUCUGGCACUUCUUUGGCCCAGUAUUUUUGAUAAAUCGGGAAAAAUCCUAGUUGAUUUUUACGGCGUUUGGAGUUGCGCAGAAUAGGUAUCUCAACUUUGCUCCACUUUUAGGCCAGAAUUCCAGUUGCCGACAUUCUCCCUCUUCAUGUAAACCUUGCAAAAUAAGAGAGAAAAAGCAUAAGAAUUGUACCGUGAAGUGAAAUAACAGCCCAAGAAGCGAUAAAUAUCAACAUGAAAACAUGAUGCAAAAUGGACGUACCAGCUACUAGCUAUGGACCCAAAGGUCUGUGGUGAACUACUCACGCAUCAUCGGAGAGGCAAUGGUGUUGAUGAAAGAGCCCUCCGUGUCUGAAUCCCCCUCCGGCAAGGCACCAGAACGGCCCCGAGAUGGGAUCUCACAGAGACAGAAGCUUGCGGCAGCGGAAAAGUAUUUUCGUGGCUCUCUCUGGAGGUUUCAGGAUUUUUGGGAAUUUAUAGGCGGAAGAGGUAGGGCAAAGGAGGCAAGGGGGCCCACGAGCCUGCUAGGCGCCCCCCUAGGACGCGCCUAGGGGGCUCGUGACCUCCCACGAGACCUCCUGCCUUGGUUGUCAAGGCUUCUGGGUAUCUUCUGUUAUGGAAAAAUCACCCCACAUGUUUUAUUCUGUUUGGACUCCGUUUCAUAUUCUUUUCUGAAAAAGGUCAAAAACACGGAAAAAGCAGAAACUGGCACUAGGCACCGAGUUAAUAGGUUAGUCCCAAAAAUGAUAUAAAAUGGCAUAUAAAUGCAUAUAAGAUAUCCCAAGUUGAUAAUAUAAUAGCAUGGAACAAUCAAAAAUUAUAGAUACGUUGGAGACGUAUCAAGAUCCCACUCACUUUCUUGUAAAUACAAGAUUCUCCAACCACUUGUAUAAACCCAAAUGCUUUGAUCACCUCAUCAAAGCGCUUAUUCCAACUCCGAGAUGCUUGCACCAGUCCAUAAAUGGAUCUCUCGAGCUUGCACACUUUGUUAGCAUUCUUUGGAUCGACAAAACCUUCGGGUUGCAUCAUAUACAACUCUUCCUUAAGAAAACCAUUAAGGAACGCCAUUUUGACAUCCAUCUGCCAAAUUUCAUAAUCGUAAAAGGCAACUAUUGCUAACAUGAUUCGGACGGACUUAAGCAUCGCUACCGGUGAGAAUGUCUCAUCGUAGUCAACUCCUUGAACUUGUGAAAAACCCUUUGCCACAAGUCGAGCUUUAUAAACAGUCACAUUACCGCCUGCAUCUGUCUUCUUCUUAAAGAUCCAUUUGUUCUAAAUAGCCUAGCGGCCUUCAGGUAGUACUUCCAAAGUCCACACUUUGUUCUCAUACAUGGAUCCUAUCUCGGACUUCAUGGCCUCCAGCCAGGGGGGGGGGGAAUCCAGGCUCACCAUUGCUUCUUCAUAAUUCGCAGGUUCAUUGUUGUCCAACAACAUAAUUGAUAAGAUAGGAUUACGUACCACUCAGGAGUAGUACGUGAUCUUGUCGACCUGCGAGGUCCGAUAGGAACUUGAUCCAAAGUUUCAUGAUCAUCAUAAUCAACUUCCUCCUCAAACGACGCCGUAGCAACAGGGGUUUCCCCUUGCCCUACACCACCAUCUAGAGGGAUUAGAGGUUCGACAACCUCAUCAAGUUCUAUCUUCCUCCCACUCAAUUCUCUCGAGAGAAACUCCUUCUAAAGAAAAGCUCCAUUUUUAGCAACAAACACUUUGCCCUCGGAUUUGAGAUAAAAGGUAUACCCAACUGUCUCUUUUGGGUAACCUAUGAAGACGCACUUUUCCGCUUUGGGUUCCAGCUUUUCAGGUUGGAGCUUUUUGACAUAAGCAUCACAUCCCAAACUUUAAGAAACGAUAGUUUUGGUCUUUUGCCAUACCACAGUUCGUAUGGUGUCAUCUCAACGGAUUUUGAUGGUGCCCUAUUUAAAGUGAAUGUAGUUGUCUCUAAUGCAUAACCCCAAAACGACAACCUCAAAUUCGUAAGAGACAUCAUAGAUCACACCAUCUCUAAUAAAGUACAAUUAUGACGUUCGGACACACCAUUACGCUGUGGUGUUCCAGGCAGAGUCAACUGUGAAACAAUUCCACAUUGUCUUAAGUGAGCACCAAACUCGAAACUCAAAUAUUCACCCCCACGAUCAGACCGUAGGAACUUGAUCUUCUUGUUACGAUGAUUUUCGACGUCACUCUGAAAUUGCUUGAACUUCUCAAACGUUCCAGACUUGUGCUUCGCCAAGUAGACGUAACCAUAUCUACUCAAAUCGUCAGUGAAGGUGAGGAAAUAACGAUAUCCGCCGCGCGCCUUGAUACGUCUCCAUCGUAUCUACUUUUCCAAACUCUUUUGCCCUUGUUUUGGACUCUAAUUUGCAUCAUUUGAAUGGAACUAACCCGGACUGGCGCUGUUUUCAGCAGAAUUGUCAUGGUGUUGUUUUUGCGCAGAAAUAAAAGUUCUCGGAAUGACCUGGAAAUUUACGAGGAUUUUUUGUGGAAUAUAUAAAAAAUACUGGUGCAAGAAUUACCUGGAGGGACGGAGCCAGGAGCCCACAAGCCCAGGAGGCGAGCCCCCCUGGCCGCGCAUGGCGGGAUUGUGAAGCCCUCGUGGCUCCGCCGCCUCCAACUCCAGCUCUAUAUAGUCUCUCUCGCCCAGAAAAAAUUAAGAGAGAAGAGUUCAUCGCGUUUCAUGACACGGAGCCACCGCCACCACCUGUUCUUCCUUUGGAGGGCAGAUCUGGAGUCCGUUCUGGGCUCCGGAGAGGGGAAAUCGUCGCUGUUGUCAUCACCAACCAUCCUUCAUUGCCAAUUCCAUGAUGCUCUUCAUUGUUCGUGAGUAAUCUCAUCGUAGGCUGGCUGGACGGUGAUGGGUUGGAUGAGAUCUAUCAUGUAAUCGAGUUAGUUUUGAUGGGGUUUGAUCCCUAGUAUCCACUAUGUUCCAAGAUUGAUGUUGCUACUACUUUGCUAUGCUUAAUGCUUGUCACUAGGGCCCGAGUGCCAUGAUUUCAGAUCUGAACCUAUUAUGUUUUCAUCAAAUAUAUGUGUGUUCUUGAUCCUAUCCUGCAAGUUGUAGUCACCUACUAUGUGUUAUGACCCGGCAACCCUGGAGUAACAAUAGCCGGAACCACUCCCGGAGAUGACCAUAGUAUGAGGAGUUCAUGUAUUCACUAAGUGCUAAUGCUUUAUUCUGGUUCUCUAUUAAAAGGAGACCUUAAUACCCCUUAGUUUCCAUUAGGACCCCGCUGCCACGGGAGGGAUGGACAAUAGAUGUCAUGCAAGUUCUUUUGCAUAAGCACGUAUGACUAUAUACGGAAUACAUGCCUACAUUACAUUGACGAACUAGAGCUAGUUACAUAUCUCCCCAUGUUAUAACUGUUACAUGAUGAAUGGCAUCCAACAUAAUUAUCCAUCACUGAUCCAAUGCCUACGAGUUUUUCCUACUGGUCCUUGCUAUGUUACUUUACCGCUACUGCUGCCAUUGUUACCGCUACUGCUGUCACUAUUGCUACUGUUACCGCUGCUACCAUUACUAUCACGCUACUUUGCUACUGAAACUUUGCUAUAGAUACUAAGUCUUUCAGGUGUGAUUGAAUUGACAACUCAACUGCUAAUACUCGAGAAUAUUCUUUGGCUUCCCCUUGUGUCGAAUCAACAAAUUUGGGUUGAAUACUCUACCCUCGAAAACUAUUGCGAUCCCCUAUACUUGUGGGUUAUCAAGACUAUUUUCUGGCGCCGUUGCCCGGGAGGCAUAGCUCUAUUCUCUGAGUCAAUUGAGAUUUACGUCUGUUGAUCACUAUGAGGAAUCCGAGAGAUCCAAAAACUAAAGUCUUUCCCUCAACUACGAGGACAGGUAAGGAACUGUCGUCUAGCUCUGCACUUGAUUCACCUUCAGUUAUGAGUAAGUUUGCGAGACCACCACCUACUAGAAAUUCUGAUGUGUCGCUUGUGCUUGAUGAUGCUACUUCUGCUAUCCAUUAUGCUUAUGAUGAUUCUUUGCUUGAUACUGCUUUGCCACUGGGUGCAUUCCUUGAUGCACAAAUUGCUAGAGUUGCUGCUGAAUGUGAUGAUACUUCUAAAACUGUUGAAAUUAUUAAAGUAGAACAUGUUGUUUCACCUGUUAGAACUAUCUCUCCUAGAUAUGAAUUGUCUGAUAUACCUGAGGGUUAUGUUAUGGAAGGAGAGGUAGCUGGGGACUUUCUUGCUUGUAAGGAUAGCUAUGAUCUUGAGAAUUUAUUGCGUAAGUGGAAAGAAAAAUCUCUGAAUGCUAGAAUGAAAUACGAUCCUAAGUUUGCUACUUCACCCAUCUUUGUGACUGAUAAGGAUUAUGAAUUCUGUGUUGAUCCUGAGUUGAUCACUUUGGUUGAAUAUGAUCCUUUUCAUGGUUAUGAGUCUGAAACGGCUGUAGCACAUCUUACUAAGCUGAAUGAUAUAGCCACCCUAUUCACGAGUGAGGAAAAGAUUCGCCAUUACUAUAUAAUUAAGUUGUUUCCUUUCUCUCUAAAGGGUGAUACUAAGACUUGGUUUACUUCUAUUGCCCAUGGUUGUGUGCGUAGUCCCCAGGAUAUGAUCUACUACUUCUCUGAGAAAUAUUUUCCUGCCCAUAAGAAACAAGCUGCCUUGCAGGAUACAUAUAACUUUGUGCAAGUUGAAGAAGAGAGUCUCCCACAAGCUUGGGGGAGGCUUGUCCAGUUACUGAAUGCUUUGCCUGAUCACCCUCUUGAGAAACAUGAAAUACUUGAUAUCUUUUAUAAUGGACUAACCCAUGCUUCUAGGGACCACCUAGAUAGUUGUGUUGGUUGUGUUUUCAAGGAACGAACUGUGGAACAAGCUGAAAUUCUAUUGAAUAAUAUCUUGAGCAAUGAUAAUGCUUGGACUAUUCCCGAACCAUCUCCAAAGCCAACCCCGAAGAAAAGAGGUAUUCUAUUCCUCGGUCCUCAAGAUAUGCAAGAAGCCAAGAAAUCUAUGCAAGAGAAAGGUAUUAAAUCUGAAGAUGUUAAGAAUCUACCACCUAUCGAAGAAAUACAUGGUCUUGAUAACCCGACACAGGUAGUAGAGGUAAAUUCUCUUUGUAGAUUCAAUGAGAGUGAUAUUUCUUAUGAUAAACCUGUUAGCUUAUGCUUAGAUGAAUUUGAUAACUUUGUUGCCAAACAACAAAGUUUCAAUGAUUAUGUUAGCGGACAAUUGGAACAAAAUGCUCGCAUGAUUAAUCAUAUAAGUGCUUGUGUGGAUAGAAGUGGCAAUGAUCUUAAGCUCUUGAGUAAACAUGCCUCUAUGGUCACUACUCAAGUAGAACAAGUACUUAAGGCUCAAAAUGACUUGCUCAAUGAGUUGAAUGACAAUUAUGUUAGAGUUGUCACUAGAGGUGGUAGAAUGACUCAGGAACCUUUGUAUCCUGAGGGCCAUCCUAAGAGAAUUGAACAAGAUUCUCAAGGAGUUAGCACUGAGGCACCUAGUCAUCUUAGUAAUAGGAAGAAAAAGAAAGAUGAUAGGAACUUGCAUGCUAGCAAACCUGUUGCUGUUACACCCGAGAAUCCAAAUGAUGUCUCUGUUUCUGAUGCCAAAACACAGUCUGGUGAUGAACAUGAGCCUAGUGAUAAUAUUGAUAGUGGUGUUCAUGUUGAUGCUCAACCUAGUAAUGAUAAGGAUGUGGAGAUUGAACCUAGUGUUGAUCUUGAUAACCCACAACCUAAGAACAAGAGAUACGAUAAGAACGACUUCAUUGCUAGGAAGCAUGGUAAAGAAAGAGAACCAUGGGUUCAAAAACCCAUGCCCUUUCCUCCCAAACCAUCCAAGAAAAAGGAUGAUGAGGAUUUUGAGCGCUUUGUUGAAAUGAUUAGACCUGUCUUUCUGCAAAUGCGUUUGACAGAUAUGCUCAAAAUGUCUCCUUAUGCUAAGUACAUGAAAGAUAUUGUGACUAACAAAAGGAAGAUACCUAAGGUUGAGAUUUCCACCAUGCUUGCCAACUACACUUUUAAGGGUGGGACUCCUAAGAAACUAGGUGAUCUCGGAGUGCCCACUAUACCUUGCUCCAUUAAAGGAAAUUAUGUUAGAACUGCUUUAUGCGAUCUUGGAGCUGGUGUUAGUGUUAUGCCUCUCUCUUUAUAUCGUAGAAUUGAAUUGGAUAAGUUGAUGUGCCUGUUGUGGUUGCUAACGUUACUAUCUUAACGGACUUUGUUAUUUUGGAUAUUCCCGAGGAUGAUGCCAUGGCGGUCAUCCUUGGAAGACCCUUUUUAAACACUGCAGGGGCUGUUAUUGAUUGCAAAAAAAGGCAAUGUCACUUUCCAUGUUAAUGGUAAUGAGCACACGGUGCACUUUCCGAAGAAACAAUAUCGAGUACAUUGCACCAAUGCUAUGGAAAAAACUUCAUCAAUUCUUAUUGGAAGCUUUGAAUGCCCGAUACCUACUGUCAAGAUGAAGUAUGAUUUACUUGUUGGGGAUAUGCACAUCCCCGUUGAGGUAACCUAGUGAUUAUUCGAAAAUUCUCCGGUUUUAUGCGAUUCGAAAAAAGUUUGUCAAGGAGACUUGAUCAACCUCAUUGACGGAUUUCUUUUGAUGACCAUGAGACGAAUGAAUCUAGGAGUCACAACCCUCUGUUCCCAACUUUUACUUUCUGUUGUUUAGAAGAAAAAUGAUAAAGUUAGCUUUAUUUUCCUGUUUUCGGCUUUUUGCGUCCCUUAGAAAAGUAUCUCGAAAAUAAAAGUUCUUCAAAUGCCCUGAAAUUCAAGUAUGAUUUUUUCUGGAAUUUUUGAAAAAUUCUGAGAUAGAGAGCUAGUCAAGGGGAUGCACUAGUGGGCCACAAGCCCAGGAGGCGCGGGGACCCCCUGGCCGCGCCUGGCAGGCUUGUGGGCCCCACAUGGCCCCCCUCCACUUAUUCCAGCUCCCAUCUCCUUCUUCUACCUCCAUAAAAAAUCAUUCCACAGCUCAAACCCGUGUUCUUGCUCUUCUUGCUGCAUUUUUCGAUCUCCUUGUGCAAAGCCCCAUCCACCAAACUGUUUUGGGGGAAUUGUUCCUUGGUAUGUGACUCCUCCAUUGGUCCAAUUAUUAUUUUCUCUAGUGCUUUAUUCGUUGCAUAUUUUUGCUGCCUUGGUGACCCUGUUCUUGAGCUUUGCAUGCUAAUUUUAGCUAGUUCCAAGUAGUUUUGAUGCAUGAUAUGGCCUCUCGGCACUUGUAGGAGUAGUUGCUAUGAAUUUGUUGAGCCUUUUUCACUUUUCUUUUGAGUCACUAAAAAUUUCAGAAAUUUUCAGAGAAAGAAAAAAGGAAAAGAUGAGGAGGUUCCUAAGAGGCUCUUCAAGCCGUGACCCCAAGGAAGAUGAAAAUGAGAAGAAGAAACCCAAGUAUCCGGUCCCCCGAGUUGCAGAAGUUCGAGCGUGCGAGUGGCCAAGCGAUGUGUUCUUACGUGCCGCCGGUCUUUAUGAGGAUUUUUAUUACUUGGUGGAGAACGCAGGCCUUACCUCAUUUGUCGAAGAUAAGUGUCCACAAUACCUCCUCCUCACUAAUUUUUUUGUGCAAAGCUUUAAUUUCUAUCCAAGGAAGAGUCCUCCUAUGGUUGAGUUCAAGUUAUAUGAUAUCCCCCAGCGCAUGUCACUUCAGGAUUUUUGCAAUGUUUUCAAAUUACCUUAUGUUGGGGAUAUUCAUGAACCCCGUCCACGGGACUUGGAGGCUUUCAUUGAUACUAUUGUUGUAGGAGAGGAGAGAGGAGUGUCUUGUGCUAGAGUUGCUAGUAUACAUUUUCCCGUGCUUCGGUAUCUCUCAUUAUUUGUGGGAAAAUGUUUGAUUGGUCAUGGGAAAGCUGGGGCUUUUAGCUCCCCAGAUCUUGCGGUUUUGCGUGAAGCUCUUUGUAAUGAUAAAACUUAUAGCUUGGGCGCUAUAGUAGCUCAACAGUUGAACACGAACUGCACUAAAGGCGUUGUUUAUGGAGGUAUCUAUGCUACCCGUCUUGCUAAACAUUUUGAGAUACCUAUUAGACUGUACGAGGAAGAAGAUAUGCUUAUUCCCGAGAGAUAUUUAGAUUAUGAUAGCAUGGUUCGCCAUGACUUUCUUGAUAAAGAUAUAAAUAAGAGGAUGAUUUAUAACUUGGUAUUUAGUCAGGGUACUUGUGAGACUAUUACUUUGCCUGCUCCUUCUUUGUUCAAUCUUCAUAUAGGCAGGUACAUUAUUAUGCCCUCGGACAUCUACGCAUAUUGGGGCAUAGCACCACCACAGGUGCCCGUGCCCGAGCUACCAGUCGAGUACCAGACAUCAGUUUAUCAGUGGGAGCCAGAGGAGCUCACCCAGCAUUGGCACCCUCAGUACACUCCGGAGUACCCCGGAGACGGUUAUUUCCCUCCAUGGGAGUAGACCAACUUAGGCCAAAAGCCUAAGCUUGGGGGAGUAUGUGUUUCUCACAGACUUUAUAAUCUUGCUCACACUUUCACUUUGAUAGUCGGUGUUCACACCUUGCCAUUGUAUCAUCCAUGCUAGUUUAUUUGUUUUUCUCGCUUUCUUCUCGUGUGUUUGUUUAGAUUGAGAAAAACAAAACAAAAAUAGUUGUAAGUUUACUUUCCAACUUGCUUAGUGGUGUUUAAAAAAAAGAAAAUCCAAAAAGAUUUUCCGUUCUUCUUUUGCUUGUUGGGAGCUUUCCCGUGUAAAUAGUUUUCUUUUUCUUUGGGUCAAGGUAGAAGACCAUGGUUAAAAUGUUUAGUGGCUCUCACAUGCAUAUCUAUUUAUCCGUCAAAGAGCCAUAUUACUUUGUCUUCUCCUUUGAGUUUGUUUGCAGAUUCCAGCUUAGUCCAAUGCACGAACACUCUCAUUAUUAUUCACAUCAUUCGGUCAUGCAAGUGAAAGGCAAUAAUGACGAUAUAUGAUGAAGUGACUGAGCCUGGAAAAGCUGGUAUGAACUCGACCUAUUUUGUUUUUGUAAAUAUGACUAGCUCUUCGUUCCUAAUUCAGCUUUGUUAUGAGAGAAACAUGUUUGCAAUGACAACUUAGAGAUCAUACUUUCUAAUGCCAUGCUUAAUUAGCUAGGAGCUUAUAAUGGUUUGUCUUGGAUGCCAACAUGAAUUUCAAGAUGAUUAUGAUGUAGUAUGAUAGGAUGGUAUCCUCCUUUGAAUGAUUCAAGUGGCUUGACUUGGCGCAUGUUUACGCAUGUAGUUGAAACAAAAUCAACAUAACCUCUAUGAUAUUCGUGUUUAUGGUGAUUUAUGUCCUACUCAUGCUUGCACUCAAUGUUGGUUAAUUUCAAUGCAUAUUGAUGACUGUUGUCGCUCUCUAGUUGGUCGCUUCCAAGUCUUUUGCUAGCCUUCACUUGUACUAAGCGGGAAUACUGCUUGUGCAUCCACUUCCAUAAACCCAAAGUUGUUCCAUAUGAGUCCACCAUACCUACCUAUAUGCGGUACCUACCUGUCGUUCCAAGUAAAUUUGCAUGUGCCACUCUCUAAACCUUCAAGUAAUAAUCUGUUUCGUAUGCCCGAACCGCUCAUGUGGCGACAAGGGGCGGUCAGUAUCUUCCAUGCUAGGCGUGUUAUCCUCAAUACGUUUUAUUCACUAUCACUCACGAGAAAGGGGUCGGUAAUCGGAAUGCCCAGUUCCAUGCUCAAAUCGAAAAUAUAAAUGCAAACAAAACUCCCCCUGGAUUGUUGUUGGUAUGGACGGCACCUGAGGAUUCGGCUAGUCAUAGAGUGUGAUUGAUUGGUGGUGGGGGAGUCAAAACUUUACUUUUCUGUUUGGGAACCGCCUAUAAUAUGUGUAGCAUGGAAGAUGGUGAAAACUCUUGGUCAUUGCUUUGACAAUGAGAGCAUACUACUCAAAAUUAUUUGUCUCUCUUGAGCUCUGGCACCUCUGCAAAUCAAUGCUUCCCUCUGCGAAGGGCCUAUCUAUUUAUGUUUCUGUUGAGUCAUCCUCUCCUUAUAAAGGCACCAAUUAGAGAGCACCUCCGUCAUUUUUAUGCUUUACUAUUAAUUGGUAUUGAGUAUGACUGUGGCUGGAUCUUCUUUGCCAUAAAUUACAAUGUUCACUCAGCCCUUGGUCUUUGAAGGUGCUCUGCAUUUAUGUUUUGCGGUCUCAGAAAGAGCUAGCGAGAUACCAUCUGUUUGUAUUGCUUCAUGAUUGCUUUGAUUGAAGUGUUGACAUUUGAAACUUACUAUUAUUGCUCGCUAGUUGAUUAUGCCAUUGAUAUGAGUACAUCAUGAGACCUAAAUGUCAUUGCUUAUGUGGUUAGAUUAUGAUAUUGCUGAAAAUCUGAAUAUGAGUUAGACAUAAUUACAACAACAAGAUCAAACAAAGUUCGUAAAAGUUUUUCUUUUGUCUCUUUCAGUUUGUCAACUGAAUUGCUUCAGGACAAGCAAGGCUUUAAGCUUGGGGGAGUUGAUACGUCUCCAUCGUAUCUACUUUUCCAAACUCUUUUGCCCUUGUUUUGGACUCUAAUUUGUAUGAUUUGAAUGGAACUAACUCGGACUAACGCUCUUUUCAGCAGAACUGCCAUGGUGUUGUUUGUGCGCAGAAAUAAAAGUUCUUGGAAUGACCUGGAAAUUUACGAGGAUUUUUUGUGGAAUAUAUAAAAAAUACUGGCGCAAGAAUUACCUGGAGGUACGGAGCCAGGAGCCCACAAGCCCAGGAGGCGCGCCCCCCCUUGCCGCGCCUGGCAGGAUUGUGAGGCCCUCGUGGCUCCGCCGCCUCCAACUCCAGCUCUAUAUAGUCUCUCUCGCCCAGAAAAAAUUAAGAGAGAAGAAUUCAUCGCGUUUCACGACACGGAGCCGCCGCCACCACGUGUUCUUCCUCUGGAGGGCAGAUCUGGAGUCCGUUCUAGGCUCUAGAGAGGGGAAAUCGUCGCCGUCGUCAUCACCAACCAUCCUUCAUUGCCAAUUCCAUGAUGCUCUUCAUCGUUCGUGCGUAAUCUCAUCGUAGGCUUGCUGGACGGUGAUGGGUUGGAUGAGAUCUAUCAUGUAAUCGAGUUAGUUUUGAUGGGGUUUGAUCCCUAGUAUCCACUAUGUUCCAAGAUUGUGUUGGGGAACGUCGCAUGGGAAACAAAAAAAUUCCUACGCACACGAAGACCUAUCAUGGUGAUAUCCAUCUACGAGGGGGAUUUCAGAUCUACGUACCCUUUUAGAUCGCACAGCAGGAAGCGUUAAUAAACGCGGUUGAUGUAGUGAAACAUCCUCACGUCCCUCGAUCCGCCCCGCGAACCGUCCCACGAACCGUCCCGCGAUCCGUCCCACGAUCUAGUGUCGAACGGGCGGCACCUCCGCGUUCAGCCACCUACAACUCGACAAUGAUCUUGGCCUUCUUGAUCCAGCAAGAGAGACGGAGAGGUAGAUGAGUUCUCCGGCAGUGUGACGGCGCUCCGGAGGUUGGUGGUGAUCUUAUCUCAGCAGGGCUCCGCCCGAGCUCCGCAGAAACGCGAUCUAGAGGAAAAACCGUGGAGGUAUGUGGUCGGGCUGCCGUGGCAAAGUUGUCUCAAAUCAGCCCUAAUACCUCAGUAUAUAUAGGAGGGAUGGGAGGGGCCUUACCUUGAGGCUCAAGGAGCCCCAAGGGGUUCGGCCGAAGGGGGGGAGGAGGAAUCCUCCUCCAAUCCUAGUCCAACUAGGAUUGGAAGGUAGAGUCCUUCCCUUCCUUCCCACUUCCCCUCUCACGCAAUACAUGAGCGUGAGCCAUGGUUAUAGCACUAUAGAUGGUGUGGAAUGUGGUGGAGGUUGCAAGACAAAAAGGAGAAGAUAGUCACAUUAACUAGGCAUAUCAAUGAGCUGUGGAGAUGCUCAUCAAUAGAUAUCAAUGUGAAUGAGUAGGGAUUGCCAUACAAAUGAUGCACUAGAGCUACGAGUAUGUGAAAGCUCUUAAAGAAAACUAGUGGGUGUGCAUCCAACUUGCUUGAUCACGAAGAUCUAAGGCAAUUUUGAGGAAGCCUAUCAUUGGAAUAUACAAGCCAAGUUAUAUAAUGAAAAUUUCCCACUAGCUAUAUGGUGGUGACAAAACGAGAGACUCUCAAUCAUGAAGAUCAUGGUGCUUAAUAUGCACAAGUGUGGAAAAAGUGGUAGCAUUGUCCCUUCUCUCUUUUUCUCUCAUUUAUUAUUAUUAUUUUGGUGGGCUCUUUGGCCUCUUUUUUUAUAUUUUGGUGGGCUUCUUUGGCCUCUUUUAUUUCCUCACAUGGGACAAUGCCCAUUAAUGAUGAUCAUCACACUUUCAACUCAAAACUUAGAGCAACUAUGACUCUAUAUGGAAUGCCUUCGGUAGUGUACCGUGGCAAUGAUCUAGCAUGGCAUAGACAUCAAUGGAAACAUCAUGCUAGCUAUCUUACGAUCAUGCAAUGGCAAUGUAGACGUGGUGGCACAUGUAGUGGUGGUAGUUGCAUGGCAAUAUAUCUCGGAAUGACUUUGAAAACGCCAUAUUAGGUAGGUAUGGUGGCUGUUUUGAGGGAGGCUAAUGGUGGGUUUUGUGCACCGGCCAAAGUUGCACGGCACUAAGAAGAUAGUGAUGGUGGAAGGUGAAAGUGCAUUUAAACCAUGGACUCAACAUUAGUCAUGAAGAACUCAUAUACUUGUUGCAAAAGUUUUAUUAGUAAUCGAAACAAAGCAUUCAACGCAUACUCCUAGGGGAAGGGUUGGUAGGUAUAAACCAUCGCGCGAUCCCGACCGCCACGCAAAGGAUGACAAUCAAUAUACUAAUCAUGCUCAGAUUUCAUCACAUAGCGGUUCAUCAUACGUGCAUGCUACGGGAAUCACUAACUUCAACACAAGUAUUUCUAUAUCCACAACACCUUACUAGCAUGACUUCAAUAUUACCAUAACCACAACUCAAAACUAAUUGAGAUGAAUCAAACUUCUCUAACUAUUCAAUGCACAUGAAGGUGGAAGUUUUCAUAUCCCUUUGGAUAACUACCCCUUUUGAGACUACUUUCAAAGCAUAGAUCAACUACCAAGCCACGCACCGUUGUGCUCUAAAAGAUAUAAGUGAAGCACAUAGAGCAAAAGUAUCUAGCUCAAAAGAUAUAAGUGAAGCACAUGUGAGCUGAAUUGUCUACCAAAAGAUAUAAGUGAAGGUCGAAAAAAUCACGGUGAGUGCAUGUCUCUCUCUCUAGGUGUGCAGCAAGGAUGAUUGUGUAACAACAAAAAUAAAAGACUCCUACGAUACAAGACGCUCCAAGCAAAAACACAUAUCAUGUGGUGAAUAAAAAUAUAGCCCCAAGUAACGUUACCGAUGGAUUGAAGACGAGAGAGGGGAUGCCUUCCCGGGGCAUCCCCAAGCUUAGGCUUUUACGGCAUCCUUGAAUCUCUUGGGGUACCUUGGGCAUCCACAAGCUUGAUCUCUUGCCACUCUUUAUCUUUUUGUCCAUAAGAACUUCACCCAAAACUUGAAAACUUCACAACACGAAACUUAAACAGAAACUCGUGAUAACAUUAGUAUGAGAAAGCAAACCACCACUUCCUUAGGUACUGUAGCAAACUUAAAUUCUACUUGUGACGAUGUUGGGUUACUGUAUUUUCAAUCUUCCAUGGCUAAUACCCCCGAUACUAUCGAUAGUUUCAUCAAAAUAAGCAACCAACACAAUAAAAACAGAAUUUGUUAACAGCAGACCAGUCUGUAGCAAUCUGUAUAUUUCGUAUACCUCUGGUACUUCAAAAAUUCUGAAAAAUUACGACAGUCUUAAGAAUUUGUGUAGUAAUAAGAAGAAAAAGAAUCAACUCAAAAUAUCUUACAGAAAAAAAAACGAAAAUUCUUUUCGUGAGCAGAAAGUUUCUGUCUUUUCCAGCAUGACCAAACGAUCAUCCCCAAGACUAAUCAUAACGGUUUUGCUUGGCACAAACGCAAAAAGAAACACAAAAAACACAAUCAUAACAGAAUUAUGAAAGUGUGGAAAACACAAAACAGAAAGAAAAAGGAUAGAUUCGUUGGGUUGCUUCCCAACAAGCGCUUUUGUUUAACGCCCUUAGUUAGGCAAAAAGUGAUGGAAUCACGUAUAGUCAUCUUUGGUGCUCAAACCAUAAGUAGCCCUCAUCAUAGAUUCAUAAGGCAAUCUUAUUUUAUUUCUAGGAAAGUGCUCCAUGCCCUUCUUCAAAGGAAAUUGAAAUCUAAUAUUCCCUUCCUUCAUAUCGAUGAUAGCACCAAUAGUCCUUAGGAAAGGUCUACCAAGAAUAAUGGGACAUGAAGGAUUGCAAUCUAUGUCAAGUACAAUGAAAUCCACGGGUACAUAGUUCUUAUUUGCAACAAUAAGAACAUCAUCGAUCCUUCCCAUGGGUUUCUUGACAGUAGAAUCCGCAAGAUGCAAAUUAAGAGAACACUCUUCAAUCUCAUGAAAACCAAGAAUAUCACAUAAAGACUUUGGAAUCGUGGAAACACUAGCACCCAAAUCACACAAAGCAUUGCACUCAUAGUUUUUGAUCUUGAUUUUUAUAGUAGGUUCCCACUCAUCAUGGAGUUUUCUAGGUAUAGAGACUUCUAGUUCGAGCUUCUCUUCAAGAGAUUUCAUCAUAGCAUCUACGAUAUGCGCGGUAAAGGCUUUGCUUUGGCUAUAAGCAUGUGGAGAGUUUGCAAUGGAUUGCAUCAAAGAAAUGCAUUCAAACAAGGAGAAAUUAUCAUAAUUGAAUUCCUUGAAAUCCAAAGUGGGAGUUUCAUUACUACCUAAAAUUUUGACCUCUUCUACUCCACUCUCCACACCUUUAUCAUCAAGAUAGGUGGACUCCGAAUCAUUGGGGCGUUUUUCAACCAAAGUGGAUUCAUAUCCAGCCCCUCCAUAAAUAGGUUUGACACGCGAAAAAAAAGAUUCAAGAGGAGACACACCAAGCACUUUAAGAUCUUCGUGGUUUGCAUCACUAGAACACACCCUUUUAAACCAUUCAUGCCUAGCGCGAAUUUGGGCGGUUAUUUCUUUGCUCUCAUUCAUGGAGACACGCAUAGCUUUCAAAGUUUCAUCCAAGUUGACCUUGGGAGGAGCGCAUCUAACUUUCAAAGCAUCAAUAUCACAAGACAUCCUAUCAACGCUCUUAGCCAAAUCGUCUAUUUUGAGUAGUUUUUCCUCUAUGGACGCAUUAAAAUGUUUUGAGAGUUGAUGAACUCUUUGAUAUUACUCUCUAAAUCAGAGGGUAAUUUGUUGUGAUUCCCAUAAGCGUUGUUGUAGGAAUUGCCAUAAUUGUUAGAGGAGUUACUAGGAAAAGGCCUAGGAACAUAGUUUCCUCUAAAAGCAUUGUUGUUGCCAAAAUUGUUCCUACCAACAAAGUUCACGUCCAAACUAGCGUUGCUACUCUCAAUCAAGGAAGAUAGUGGCAUGUCAUUAGGAUCUACGGUAGCGUUUCUACUAGCAACCAAAUUCAUCAACUCGUAGCACUAAGCGAGUUAAUUUCUUCUAUAGCGUGCACCUUUUUGCUAGCAGGCGACCUUUCAGUGUGCCACUGAGAGUAGUUGGUCAUGAUAUUGUCUAGGAGUUUUGUAGCGUCUCCUAACGUGAUUUCCAUGAACGUUCCACCUGAGGCGGAGUCCAAGAUAUUGCGAGAAGCGGAAUUCAAGCUAGCAUAAAAGAUUUGUAUAAUCAUCCACAAACUCAAGCCAUGAGCGGGACAAUUUCUAAUCAUAAGCUUCAUCCUCUCCCAAGAUUGUGCAACGUGUUCAUGAUUAAGUUGCUUGAAAUUUAUGAUAUCGUUACGUAAGGAGAUGAUCUUAGCCGGCAGAAAAUACUUGGAUAUGUAAGCAUCUUUGCACUUAUCCCAAGAAUCGAUAUUAUUUUUAGGCAAAGAAGAAAACCAAGUUUUUGCGCGAUCUCGCAAUGAGAAAGGAAAAAAGCUUCAACUUAAUCACGUAAUUAUCCACAUAUCUUUUCUUUUGCAUAUCACAAAGCUCAAUGAAGGUAUUGAGAUGGGAUGCGGCAUCUUCACUAGGAAGGCCAGAGAAUUGCUCUUUCAUAACAAGAUUCAGCAAAGCUGCGUUGAUUUCAUACGAUUCCGCACUAGUGGCGGGGGGGGGGAUCGGAGUACUAAUAAAAUCAUUAUUAUUACUGCUCGAGAAGUCGCAAAGUUUGUUGUUUUCAGCCAUGAUGACUUCAACAAACAAACAAGCACACAAGCAAGCCCCAAGGGGUUCGGCCGAAGGGGGGAGGAGGAAUCCUCCUCCAAUCCUAGUCCAACUAGGAUUGGAAGGUGGAGUCCUUCCCUUCCUUCCCACUUCCCCUUUUUUUCUCUUUGAUUUUUCUUAUCUCCUGCGCAGGGGCCUUCUUGGGCUUGCCCACCAGCCCACUAAGGGCUGGUGCGGCACCCCUAAGGCCUAUGUGCUUCCCCGGGGUGGGUUGCCUCCCCCCGGUGAACAUCUGGAACCCAUUCGUCACUCCCGGUACAUUCCCGGUAAUGCCGAAAACUUUCCGGUAAUCAAAUAAGGUCAUCCUAUGUAGCAAUCUUCGUCUCCGGACCAUUCCAGAAACCCUUGUGACAUCUGUGAUCUCAUCCGGGACUCCGAACAACAUUCGGUAACCAACCAUAUAACUCAAAUACGCAUAAAACAACGCCGAACCUUAAGUGUGCAGACCCUACAGGUUCGAGAACUAUGUAGACAUGACCCGAGGGACUCCUCGGUCAAUAUCCAAUAGCGGGACCUGGAUGCCCAUAUUGGAUCCUACAUAUUCUACGAAGAUCUUAUCGUUUGAACCUCAGUGCCAAGGAUUCAUAUAACCCCGUAUGUCAUUCCCUUUGUCCUUCGGUAUGUUACUUGCCCGAGAUUCGAUCGUCGGUAUUCGCAUACCUAUUUCAAUCUCGUUUACCGGCAAGUCUCUUUACUCGUUCCGUAAUACAAGAUCUCGUGACUUACAAUAAGUCACAUUGCUUGCAAGGCUUGUGUGUGAUGUUGUAUUACCGAGUGGGCCCCGAGAUACCUCUCCGUCACACGGAGUGAUAAAUCCCAGUCUUGAUCCAUACUAACUCAACGGACACCUUCGGAGAUACCUGUAGAGCAUCUUUAUAGUCACCCAGUUACGUUGUGACGUUUGAUACACACAAAGCAUUCCUCCGGUGUCAGUGAGUUAUAUGAUCUCAUGGUCAUAGGAAUAAAUACUUGACACGCAGAAAACAGUAGCAACAAAAUGACACGAUCAACAUGCUACGUCUAUUAGUUUGGGUCUAGUCCAUCACAUGAUUCACCCAAUGAUGUGAUCCAGUUAUCAAGCAACAACACAUUGUACAUAGUGAGAAGACCCUGACUAUCCUUGAUCAACUAGCUAGCCAACUAGAGGCUUGCUAGGGACAGUGUUUUGUCUAUGUAUCCACACAUGUAUCUAAGUCUUCAUUCAACACAAUUAUAGCAUGGAUAAUAAACGAUUAUCUUGAUACAGGAAUUAUAAUAAUAACUUAUUUAUCAUUGCCUCUAGGGCAUAAUUCCAACAGAUUGAUGUUGCUACUACUUUGCUAUGCUUAAUGCUUGUCACUAGGGCCCGAGUGCCAUGAUUUCAGAUCUGAACCUAUUAUGUUUUCAUCAAUAUAUGUGUGUUCUUGAUCCUAUCCUGCAAGUUGUAGUCACCUACUAUGUGUUAUGACCCGGCAACCCCGGAGUGAAAAUAGCCGGAACCACUCCCGGAGAUGACCAUAGUAUGAGGAGUUCAUGUAUUCACUAAGUGCUAAUGCUUUGUUCCGGUUCUCUAUUAAAAGGAGACCUUAAUAUCCCUUAGUUUCUAUUAGGACCCCGCUGCCACGGGAGGGAUGGACAAUAGAUGUCAUGCAAGUUAUUUUCCAUAAGCACGUAUGACUAUAUACGGAAUACAUGCCUACAUUACAUUGACGAACUGGAGCUAGUUACAUAUCUCCCCAUGCUAUAACUGUUACAUGAUGAAUGUCAUCCGACAUAAUUAUCCAUCACCGAUCCAAUGCCUACGAGUUUUUCCUACUGGUCCUUCUACGUUACUUUACCGCUACUGCUGUCACUAUUGCUACUCUUACCGCUGCUACCGUUACUAUCACGCUACUUUGCUACUGCAACUUUGCUGCAGAUACUAAGUCUUUCAGGUGUGGUUGAAUUGACAACUCAACUGCUAAUACUCGAUAAUAUUCUUUGGCUUCCCCUUGUGUCGAAUCAACAAAUUUGGGUUGAUUACUCUACCCUCGAAAAUUGUUGCGAUCCCCUAUACUUGUGGGUUAUCAUGCCUCUACACUCAUCGGACCGCAUACAUCGGUAUGUAUAAUUUCCAACAAGUCACUUGCACGCUCCAUUGUUCCGGAGAACGGAGUCUUAGUCAUCUUGCCCAUGAGGCAUGGUUCGCACGUGUCAAGUGAAUCAAAGUCAAGUGACUCCAAAAGUCCAUCGGAAUGGAGUUUGUUCAUGCGCUUUACACCAAUAUGACCUAAGCGGCAGUGCCACAGAAACAUGGCGCUAUCAUUGUUAACUCUAACUCUUUUGGUGUCAAUGUUAUGUAUAUGCGUAUCAUUGCUAUCAAGAUUCAAGAUGAACAAUCCUCUCACAUUGGGUGCUUGACCAUAAAAGAUAUUACUCAUAGAAAUAGAACAACCAUUAUUCUAUGACUUAAACGAGUAACCGUCUCGCAAUAAACAAGAUCCAUAUAUAAUGUUCAUGCUUAAUACAGGCACUAAAUAACAAUUAUUUAAGUUCAUAACUAAUCCUGAUGGUAAUUGAAGUGAAACUGUGCCGACGGCGAUUGCAUCAACCUUGGAACCAUCUCCCACGUGCAUCGUCACUUUAUCCUUCGCCAGCCUUCGCUUAUUUCGCAGUUCCUGUUUCGAGUUGCAAAUAUGAGCAACAGAAAUGGUAUCGAAUACCCAGGCACUACAACGAGAGAUGGUUAAGUACACAUCCAUAACAUGUAUAUCAAAUGUACCUGAUUUUUUCCUUGGCUGCCUUCUUAUCAGCCAGAUACUUGGGGCAGUUGCGCUUCCAGUGACCCACCAUUACAAUAAUAACACUCCGUUUCAGGCUUAGGUACAACUUUGGGUUUCUUCGUCGGAUUGGCAACAGGCUUGCCGCUCUUCUUGGAAUUACCCUUCUUUCCUUUGCCGUUUCUCUUGAAACUAGUGGUCUUAUUCACCAUCAACACUUGAUGCUCUUUACGGAGUUCUGACUCUCCGACUUUCAGCAUCGCGAAUAACUCGCCGGGUGAUUUGUUCAUCCCUUGCAUGUUAUAGUUCAACACAAAGCUCUUGUAGCUUGGUGGCAGUUAUUGAAGAAUUCUGUCAAUGAUAGCCUCUUGCGGGAGUUCAAUCCCCAGCUCAGCUAGACGGUUUGAGUACCCAGACAUUCUGAGCACAUGUUCACUGACAGACGAAUUCUCCUCCAUCUUGCAAGCAUAGAAUUUAUCGGAGAUCUCAUACCUCUCGAUCCGGGUGUUCUUAUGAAAGAUAAACUUCAACUCCUGGAACAUCUCAAAUGCUCCAUGACGCUCAAAGCGACGUUGAAGUCCCGGCUCUAAGUCAUACAAGACUGCACAUUGAACUACUGAGUAGUCCUCCUUGCGUGCUAACCAGGCGUUCUUAACAUCUUGGUCAGCCGCGGCGGGUGGUUCAUCUCCUAUCGCAGCAUUAAGGACAUAAUCCUUCUUCCCAGCUUGCAGGAGCAACUUAAGAUUAUGAGCCCAGUCUAAAAAGUUGCUUCCAUCAUCUUUCAACUUAGCUUUCUCUAGGAACGUAUAAAAAUUUAGGGUGACUGUCGCGUGAGCCAUUGAUCUACAACACAAAUAUUUCAAAGUGGACUUAGACUAUGUUCAAGAUAAUUAGAGUUUAACUAAUCAAAUUACUUGCUAAACUCCCACUCAAAAAGUACAUCUCUCUAGUCAUUUGAGUGGUACAUGAUCCAAAUUCACUAACUCGAGUCCGAUCAUCACGUGAGUUAAGAAUAGUUUCAGUGGUAAGCAUCUCUAUGCUAAUCAUAUCAACUAUACGAUUCAUGCUCGACCUUUCGGUCUCAUGUGUUCCGAGGCCAUGUCUGCACAUGAUAGGCUCAUCAGGCUUAACCCGAGUGUUCCGCGUGUGCAACUGUUUUGCAACCGUUGUAUGUGAAUGUUGAGUCUAUCACACCCGAUCAUCACGUGGUGUCUCGAAACGACGAACUGUAGCAACGGUGCACAGUCGGGGAGAACACAAUUUCGUCUUGAAAUUUUAGUGAGAGAUCACCUCAUAAUGCUACCGUCGUUUUAAGAAAAAUAAGGUGCAUAAAAGGAUUAACAUCACAUGCAAUUCAUAAGUGACAUGAUAUGGCCAUCAUCUUGUGCUUCUUGAUCUCCAUCACCAAAGCACCGACACAAUCUUCUUAUCACCGGCGCCACACCAUGAUCUCCAUCAACGUGUCGCCAUCGGGGUUGUCGUGCUACUUAUGCUAUUACUACUAAAUCUACGUCCUAGCAAUAUAGUAAGCGCAUCUGCAAAUACAAAUGUUAGUUUAAAGACAACCCUAUGGCUCCUGCUGGUUGUCGUACCAUCGACGUGCAAGUCGAUAUUAACUAUUACAACAUGAUCAUCUCAUACAUCCAAUAUAUCACAUCACGUCAUUGGCCAUAUCAUAUCAUAAGCAUACCCUGUAAAAACAAGUUAGACAUCCUCUAAUUUGUUGUUGCAUGUUUUACGUGGCUGCUAUGGGUAUCUAGUAUGAUCGCAUCUUACUUACGCAAAAACCACAAUAGAGAUGUGCAAAUUGCUACUUAACCUCUCCAAGGACCGCCUCGGUCAAAACCAAUUCAACUAAAGUUUAAGAAACCGACACCCGCCAGUCAUCUUUAUGCAACGAGGUUGCAUGUCAAUCGAUGAAACUAGUCUUUCGUAAGCUUAUGAAUAAUUUCGGUCCGGGCCACUUCAAUCCAACAAUACCGCCGAAUCGAGAAAAUACUAAGGAGGGCAGCAAAUCGAAAUCACCGUCCACAAAAACCCUUUGUGUUCUACUCGAGAUAACAUCUACGCAUGAACCUAGCUCAUGAUGCCACUGUUGGGGAACGUUGCAUGGGAAACAAAAAAAAUUCUACACACACGAAGACCUAUCAUGGUGAUGUCCAUCUAUGAGAGGAGAUUUGGAUCUACGUAUCCUUGUAGAUCGCACAACAGGAAGCGUUAAGAAACGCGGUUGAUGUAGUGGAACGUCUUCACGUCCCUCGAUCAGCCCCACGAACCGUCCCACGAACCGUCCCGCGAUCCGUCCCACUAUCCGUUCCGAUCUAGCGCCGAACGGACGACACCUCCGCGUCCGGCACACGUACAGCUCGACGAUGAUCUCGGCCUUCUUGAUCCAGCAAGCAAGACGAAGAAGUAGAUGAGUUCUCCGGCAGCGUGACGGCGCUCCGGUGGUGGUGACGAUCUACUCAUGUAUGGCUCCGCCCGAGCUCUGCAGAAAUACGAUCUAGAGGAAGAACUAUGGUGUCUAGAUCUGAGUUGCACGUGGCAAAAGUUGUCUCAAAUCAGCCCUAAAUCACCACUAUAUAUAGGAGGGAGGGGGAGGAGGCUUGCCUUGAGGGCCAAGCCCUCAAGGCAAGCCGACUAGGAGGAGAGGAGGAAUCCUACUCCAAUUAGGAUUGGAAAGUGGAGUCCUUCUCUUCCUUCCCACCUCCCUUUUUUUCUCUUUGGUUUUCCUUCUCUUGGCGCCAAGGCCCUCUUGGGCUGUCCCACCAGCCCACAAAGGGCUGGUGCGCCACCCUAAGUCCAUUGGGCCUCCUCCGAGUGGGUUGCCCCUCCCGAUGAACUUCCGGAACCCAUUCGUCACCCCUGAUACAAUGUCGAUAAUGCCCGAAAACCUUCCGGUAACCAAAUGAAACCAUCCUAUAUAUCAAUCUUCGUUUCCGUACCAUUUCGGAAACCCUCGUGACGUCCGUGAUCUCAUCCGGGACUCCGAACAACAUUCGGUAACCACACAUAUAACUCAACUAUACUAAAACAUCGUCGAACCAUAAGUGUGCAGACCCUGCGGGUUCGAGAACUAUGUAGACAUGCCCCGAGGCACUCCUCGGUCAAUAUCCAAUAGCGGGACCUGAAUGCCCAUAUUGGAUCCUACAUAUUCUCCCAAUAUCUUAUCGGUUGAACCUCGGUGUCAAGGAUUCAUAUAAUCCCGUAUGUUAUUCCCUUUGUCCUUCGGUAUGUUACUUGCACGAGCUUCGAUCGUCGGUAUCCGCAUACCUAUUUCAAUCUCGUUACCGACAAGUCUCUUUACUCGUUCCGUAAUAUAAGAUCCCGUGACUUACACUUAGUCACAUUGCUUGCAAGGCUUGUGUGUGAUGUUGUAUUACCGAGUGGGCCCCGAGAUACCUCUCCGUCACACGGAGUGACAAAUCCCAGUCUUGAUCCAUACUAACUCAACGGACACCUUCAGAGAUACCUGUAGAGCACAUUUAUAGUCAGCCAGUUAUGUUGUGACGUUUGAUGCACACAAGGUAUUCCUCCGGUGCCAGUGAGUUAUAUGAUCUCAUGGUCAUAGGAACAAAUACUUGACACGCAGAAAACAAUAGCAAUAAAACGACACGAUCAAUAUGCUACGUUCAUAGUUUGGGUCUAGUCCAUCACAUGAUUCUCCUAAUGAUGUGAUCCAGUUAUCAAGUGACAACACUUGCAUAUAUCGAGAAAACCUUUAUCAUUGAUCAACUGGCUAGCCAACUAGAGGCUUGCUAGGGACAUUGUUUUGUCUAUGUAUCCACACACGUAUCUAUGUUUUCAUUCAAUACAAUUAUAGCAUGGAUAAUAAACGAUUAUCUUUAAACAGGAAAUAUAAUAAUAACUAUUUAUCAUUGUCUCUAGGGCAUAUUUCCAACAUUAUCCACUAUUGUUGUAAGGACUACAUCUAGUCUUUUGACAAGAUGACUACCUUCAAAGUGUUGUUGUAAAAUGUAGUAUGACACAUAGGUAAUGGGCAUAUGAACAUCUACUGGUCAAAACCAGAUUAUGCUCUCCAUUACUAUGAGAUCUACACCGCAAUGGUGACUAUCUUCAAGGUGACCACGGAUCUCGCCUCUAAUGAAACAAAUAAAAGCAGACACAAUGACAUGCAGGUUCAUCCUUGCCAUUUUUCUUACCUUCUCUUGUCCUUCCCCUGUCCUUUCCCGUGAUGGCUCUGUGUCUCUCUCGGCAGAGGCAAUGCUGAUAACGUGUUAAACAAUGAAAUGAUCGAAGAAAACUUGUGUAUUGCAUUGAUCCCGAAACUGGGUAUUUAUACAUGGGUAAGUGUCUUUUGGAGACACCGGUUACAAGAGUUACGACUGUUCGCAAUGUCGGUAAAUAGAAGAGGCGUUUUUACACGAAAGGAAGCGUCCGUACGAACACAUGGGUCCGUAUGGCGUUUUGGGUAAACAGUAACUGCCUAUGGCACUUAUAUUCUAUUUCUAACAACGACUAAAGUGAGCCGGCCGGUUUGUUUUUGCCACGCUGGACAGACAAAGGUCCACUCCCCUCCUUUUGGGAAACAGAGAGAGAGGGUAAUGGGCCCAAUGGGGUGGGUCCCGCGACCAUGCCGGACGGACAGGCGUCGAGACUGGGGUUCGGNNNNNNNNNNNNNNNNNNNNNNNNNNNNNNNNNNNNNNNNNNNNNNNNNNNNNNNNNNNNNNNNNNNNNNNNNNNNNNNNNUUGUUGUUGUUGUUGUAUACUACUCUCUCCGUCCCAAAAUUCUUGUCUUAGAUUUGUCUAUAUAUGAAUGUAUCUAGUCACGUUUUAGUAUUUUGAUACAUCCAUUUGUAGACAAACCUAAGACAAGAAUUUUGAGACAGAGGAAGUACUUUUUAUUUAGAAGUCUUAUAUAACAAGCUAACAACAGAAUAGCAUGUAUCGAUUACAUCUCGAGGAGAAAUGACUUCUAAAGAAGGGCCCUUAACGCCUUAUUAUUCUGUCUCAUCUUGUUCACCACCUCAUAUGAGAACAAUACUAAAUAGGUUGCAAAGCCACAGUCAAACUUCAGCCUCUGCCUUCUUCCAUGUCACGAGCUUUUGAAGAAAUUCUUGCACCUGAAUCAAAAGUUAAAAUAUUAGUAGUUAUUUUAUUGGGUACAACUAACAAGACCACAAUGCAAUGCAUUUGAGGUUGAAUACAUUACCUGGGCCGGGUCCUCCAGUGAGUACGACGCUUUAGUCCACUUGCGCUCCUUGCUGACAAGGAUCCCCAAUCCGCCGUCUCGUCCACGAAGCACCUAAUUGCAAAAAAAGUGGAGAGAUAGAUUAAAUAAUGAUUUAGCAAGAUUAUGUUUCCGUGUUUAGAUGAAAUUGUAAAGAAUUCCACCUUGAAUGCAUCUUCAUCUGUCCUAUCAUCGCCGAUAAAGAUGGCUACCACCUGAGAACUGUCCCAAUUAUUUUUGCGGGCUAGCUGCUCGAGUAGAUACUUGACUGCAUACCCCUUGUUGAAUUCAGCAUUAGGACCAACCUCUAAAACCUAUAAAAUGGCAUACAAGUGUACAUGUGAUGAAUAUGAUCAAAGUUAAGCUUCAUGCACUAGCCAACGCAACCAAAAGUCCGAACUGGUGGAAAGGGCUAGGCAAUCCACAUAUACACUUUAACACCCCCUCUCGCGUGUACACUUGAGAUGGGGUGUUUAAGUGUACAUGUGGAUUGCCUAGCCCUUUCCAUUAGUUUGAAAUUUUUGUUGUGUUAGCUAGUGCAUGAAGCUUGACAAUCAAAACAUUUAAACUUGAUUGAUGUCCAACCAAAUCUACUUACCUUGUCACCAUCAGUUACUCUGAGCUCAGGAAAACCUUUAAUGGUUUUCUUGACAAGCUUCUUAACCAGUUCCUGUUUCUGCAAAGAAAUAAAAAAACGAACGUUAGGAAAAUUAUUUCAAUAUAGCAAAGAGGUGGAAGAACUCGAAUUUCUAAUUACUCUCCCACAAAAAACCGUGGCUUCCUAAGAUGGAGUUUCCUCGAUUCGAGGGUGAUGGGGUGCGAAUUUGGUUGGAUAACUGUGAAGUGUAUUUCCAGCUGUAUCAAAUUCCGGAAGGAUUCAAGGUGAUGUCGGCAUCUCUGCGUUUGCACGACAAUGCAGCUCACUGGUAUCAAACAAGUAAACACACUGAUUCUUGUGCAGAUUAGCCACAGUUCAAAGCAGCUAUCCUGCAAAAGUUUGAUGUUAACAUGCACCGCAACUGUCUGUGAGAGCUGUUGUUGUUGAAACAAACAGAGAAAGUGCAGCAAUACCGCACACUGUUUAAUCAGCUGGUGUAUCAGGUUCGACUGUAUGACUCGACUAUCAGUGAGACUAUGUUGGUGACACAACUUGUGCUAGGGUUGAAGGAGGAGAUCUGAGCUGCAGUCGAAAUUCAGCUACCCAACAUUGUUCUGAUCGCAGCAGAAUAUGCUCUGGUUCAGGAAGCUGUGUUAGAGAGACAGAGACUGCAAAUUUCCAAGGGCCCAAGACAACUACCUGUCACCUAGUUUACAGCACAUCGUCAGGGAAAUCCUUCUAAACCACAAUUUGUGGCAGGUGACCUCUGGCGUGCAAAACAAUUCAGAGUUCAGAAGAGCCAAUGGACUUUGUUACAGCUGUGGAGGCAAGUACAGCCAGGGCCACGUAUGUCCCAAUAAACCACAACUUCAACUCAAAGCAUUAGAAGGGCAUGAGAUUAAGGGCACACUGACAGAUGAAAUUUUCAACACACUUACUAUAGAAGAAGCUGUUGAGGAUGUAGCAGCUUACUUAUCAGUGAAUGCUCUGGCUGGGUCUGAAAAUCCCAAGACUAUUCGACUGAGGGAUUUAGUGGAAAAUAAGGUCAUGUUGUUGCUGGUGGAUUCAGGAAGUUCUCACACUUCCAUUGAUAAGCAAUUGACUGACAAACUUCAACAUAAAGCUACUGCUCUCAACAAACCUUUGCAAGUCAAAGUGGCAAAUGGUGAACAAUUGCAGCGUGACUCUGAACUGAAAGAGUUGCAGUGGUGGAUCAAUGGUCAUACAUUCACAUCUGACAUGAAGGUGAUUGAUCUAGGGGGGUCUGAUGCAAUAUUGGGCAUGGAUUGGUUGGAACAAUGGGGAGCUAUGACAUGUCAUUGGGAAGAAAACUGGCUCCAGUUUGACAAGCAAGGGCAACAAGUGAAUUACAAGGCAUUGUGGAGAAAACACAGGCUGAGCUCCAGGCCAUCACUAUGGAUCAAAUGUUUAAGUGGCAGAAAGACAAUGAUAUAUGGGCCACAGCAGUGCUCUCACUCUCUCUCCACACUGAAAAACAUACAGUGCCUUAGUGCAUAGCAAAAACCCUGGCUGAUUUUGCUGAUGUUUUUGAAGAUCCAAAGCAACUACCUCCUCGCAGAGUUUUUGACUGCAAUUUCCCUACUGCCAGAUAGUGCUCCCUUUAAUGUCAGACCCUAUAGAUAUAACCGUCAACAAGAGGAUGAGAUUGAGAAGCAAUUGACUGAGAUGUUGGCCUCUGGGUUGAUAAAACCUAGCAUGUCCCACUUUGCAUCCCCUAUCCUGUUGGUCAGAAAGAAAGAUGGUACACGGAGAUUUUGUGUGGACUACAGGAGAUUGAACACUGUAACAGUUAAGAACAAGUUCCCUAAAUGGUUCUCUAAACUAGAUUUGAGAGUUAGAUAUCACCAGAUCAGAAUGGUGGAAACUGAUGAGGAGAAACUGCUUUUAAAACCCAUCAUUGGCAGUACCAAUUCAGGGUCAUGUCCUUUGGUUUGACAAAUGCUCCGGCAACUUUUCAAUGUUUGAUGAAUGUGAUCUUUGGUAGAUAUGUCAGAAACAUUUUGUUGGUUUUUAUGGAUGAUAUCCUAAUCUUCAGUGAGACUCUAGAAGAGCAUCAGCAACACUUACAGCAAGUACUUCAGAUAUUGACGGAAAAUCAGCUAUAUGCUAAGCCGAGCAAGUGCCCAUUUGCCAACCAGGAGUAAAGCUACCUAGGCCAUAUCAUUUCUGACAAAGGAGUGUCUACAGACCCUGAGAAGACUAAAGCAAUGGAACAGUGGCUACAACCAAUUUCCUUUACAGAGUUAAGGGGCUUCCUGGGCCUCACUAGGUUUUACAGAAAAUUCGUACAACAGAAUGGCAUGAUGGCCAAACCAUUAACUUCUUUAUUACAACAGAAAGUGUUCCAGUGGACACCUUCAGCUCAGGCUGCAUUUGACAAAUUGAAAUUGGCAAUGGCAUCUACUCCUGUGCUGGCCCUACCUGACUUCUCUCAGCCCUUCAGUAUUGAAACUAAUGCUUGUGACACUGGCAUAGGAGCUGUCUUGAGCCAGCAAGGACAUCCAGUGGCCUACUACAGCAAAGCACUUGGAGUUAACAGCCAAAAGCUGCCCACUUAUGAGAAGGAGUUCUUGGCUAUUAUGAUGGCAGUUGACAAAUGGAGAUCCUAUCUCAACAGAGGGCCUUUUGUCAUUAAAACAGACCACAAAAGCUUGUGUAAUUUGGAAGAUCAAGUACUCCACAUUGAACUACAGAAGAAAGCCAUGGCUAAGCUAGCUGGUCUGCAAUUCAAAUUCCAGUACAAUAAAGGCUGUGAAAACAAAGCAGCAGAUGCUCUUUCCAGAGUGGGGUAUGUUUUUGCAAUACAGGCAGUUUCCACUGCUCAGCCUUUGGCUGCAAGAGGUCAUCAAUUCCUACAGUGUGGACACCAGGGCACAGGAGUUGCUCACAAAAUUGGCAGUUUUCCAGGGGCAGAACAAAGGUAUACCUUAAGACAGGGCCUGAUCAGAUAUCAGGACAGUAUUUGGGUGGGAGCUAACUCAGGCCUCCACACUAAACUAAUUGAGUCCUUCCAUGCCUCUCCUGUUGGGGGCCACACUGGCAUUCAAGCAACAUACCAGAGGGUCAAGAAACUGUUUUAUUGGGAAGGGAUUAAACAGGAUGUCCAGAACUUUGUGCAGCAAUGUCAAAUAUGUCAACAGGCCAAGCAUGAAAACUGCAAAUACCCAGGUCUUCUCAACCCCUUGCCCAUACCUACUAAAGCCUGGGAAGAUGUCACCAUGGAUUUUGUUGAAGGACUACCUAAAUCCAACGGUUUCAAUGUGAUUUUAGUAGUAGUGGACAAAUACACAAAAUACAGUCAUUUUAUACCUCUGAAACACCCCUAUACAGCUGCAACAGUGGUUCCAUUUAUGCAAAAUAUAGUCAGGUUAAAUAGCAUGCCUCUGACUAUUACUUCAGAUAGAGAGACUGUUUUUACCAGCCAUUUUUGGAAUGAAUUACUGGCCAUAUGGGGCCCCAAGCUAGAGAUGUCCACUGGCAGACAUCCUCAGACUGAUGGACAGUCAGAAAGGGUGAACCAAUGUCUUGAAAUGUAUCUCAGGUGUGCUGUGCGUGAUUCUCCAACAAUGUGGCACAAUUGGUUAGCCCUGGCAGAGUUCUGGUACAAUACAUCACACCACUCUUCUUUGGGAUGUUCCCCCUUUAAAGCUUUAUAUGGCCAAGAACCGCAGAUGGGACAGUUUUCUGUGGGAGAGUUGGUAUUUCUGAAACUUCAACCUCAUGGACAACCAUCCUUGAUCAACAGACCUUGUCCCAAGCUGGCCUUCAAAUAUUUUGGCCCUUUUCAGAUCAUGGAGAAGAUGGGUCCAGCAGCUUACAAAUUGGAUUUACCAGCAGAAGCUCAGAUCCACCCAGUCCUCCAUGUUUCCCAGCUCAAGCAACAUGUGCCAGACCAUACUCCAGUCUUCAGAUCUAUCCCCAAACCACCGACAAUGGACACUGAAGGUUUAUGCUGUCAGCACCUCACCUCCGUUGGGUGCUGCAGAACCAGGUAACCGCAAGAUGAAGAAGAUAGGAGACAGAGUGGCUAAGUGUGGUGUGCCCGUGGGCUGUGUGUGAGCCUUGUUGGGCCGUGGGCCGUGCGUUAAAGUGAGUGGCGUGUGUGAGUAGAGCAGUAUAUAAGCUCGCAUUCCUGUAGCUGUUCGGCAUCGGCAAUUAUAUGAAAUGAAAUAGUUUCUCCUUUCUCUCUUGUGCUCUGCUUUCUUCCCCAAGUCGCCACCAACCCCUGAUCCCAAAUCCUAGGGUUCAUCCCCAAGGCAAGGACGUGACAGUCUGGCCCCACAUAACAAGAGACAAAAACAAUGAAACUUUAGCUUUAGUUAUACCUUCUUCUCAAAAACCCUGUAGUGCACUGAAAUGCAAAAUUGUUUAUUUUCAACACUAGCACCCUUUAUGUCUCUGAUAACCUCCUCCAAACGCUCUCUCGCCUGUCAUGCAAGUAAUGCAUUAGCAUUUCCAGAAUGUAAUGAAAUUGAAUAACAGAUAUGCGGAUUAUUAUAGUUCGUUGUAUUUUAUACCCCGUUUAUAACAGGUUCGUACUCGCUGGUAGGUUGGUAGGCUUCUGCUUCGUCACUCUGCAGGUAAAAUCUUUACGUAAAUUCUGAACACGUCAAAGAGAAAGGAUAAACUACAUAUAGCAAUUGCUCAAUUUAAUAAUGGCUUACGAGUUUGAUGUCUGCUCCGUGGCUCCCUGCAUAGUGCAGAUUUUCAAGCAUAAUGAAACUUUUCACCUGUAGAUGAAUAGCAAAACAAGUGAGUCACUAAUUACUGUUAGGAAAGCAACUUAUCAUUAUUGAAGGCCCAAGGGGCAUAUAUAUAUAUUACACAAAACUUGAGGUGCAAGGAAAGUAAACAUAGACUAAUAAGGACUCCUAGACUAAUACUAAUACUUCCUAACACCCCCCUCAAAUGCAAAGCGUAUGCAAUAGCAUUGCAUUUGAAGAAGUGUAAUACUAAAAAAAUGAUAAUCCAAAUCCGCGUCUUGAGAGUGUCGUCGUAGCAUGAAGAGUCUUCAAAACUUGUCGAGUCGCCGAAGAAGAUAACGAAGAGAUGACACAUCAGAGGUAGACACCGCAUCACUUGAAGAUACAAGAGAAGUAUCAAGAGAAGAUGGGUUGUCAAAAGAAGAUGGCACAUCAAGAGAAAGACACCGCAUCACUUGAAGAUACAACAUAAGUAUCAAGAGAAGAUGGGUUGUCAAAAGAAGAUGGCACAUCAAGAGGAAGACACCGCAUCACUUGAAGAUACAACAUAAGUAUCAAGAGAAGAUGGGUUGUCCAAAGAAGAUGGCACAUCAAGAGAAUAAAGCAUUGCACGGAAAAUUAUAGUCCACGACAACCGUCGGCGAAAGAAGUUCGGCGGAUAAGACACGAUGGGCGUAGAUCGACAAUACAAAAGAAUUACAGAAAAUCCUAUAGAAAACAACAAGGGCAAAUAGGCCACAAAAGUUGUAUAAAAAAAGGAUCUAGAACGGAAGAAAGGCUGACGGACAAAGGUAUGAUGGACUCGCAUGGCAUGAGAAAACAAAAAUAUCAAUGGAUUUGGUGGACGUAGCGGAAAACAAGGAAGCUAAAAGCUAGGAAGCAUACACGACACAAAGAUGCAAAAUCCAUCGUGUAUGCAGAAGACAUUGUACUUUUUUUUUAUUGUUGUUGAAAUCAAAAUAGGAACGGAGCAGAAGCUAGCACGCCACCAGCCACGUACGUGACGGAAAGGCAGCAGCUAGCAUGCAUGAGCGAAUGCAGCACCACGCAGCAAGAGGAACCAGGUAGCAGCAGGUACACCGGACGAAGAUCGCGAACGCAACACCACACAGCAAGAGGAAACAGGUAGCAGCAGGUACACCGAACGAAGAUCAUCACGCAGCAGCGACCAAACCCAGACAGACCAACACAACAACGAAGAACAACUGGGUAGCACGUCAUAGUGUCACCAAAUUCUGGGCAGCAGGUGCCCACGCGCCACGAGCGAAGCAGCUGGGCGGCAGGCGGCCACGCAGCUUGAUGGAUCUCGCGGGGAGCAGUCAAUGUGCAUGCAACGGUCAUACGUCUGGCCAGGAGGUGGCAUCGGCCUUGAGAUGGACGAGGCGACCUCGAUUUGGAUUGGAGUGGGAUGGGGCGGCGCCUCGUUCUGGAUCAGGAGCCGCCGCGAGUUCUCGUUCUGGAUCAGGAGCCGCCGUGAGUUCUCGUUCUGGAUCAGGAGCCGCCGCGAGUUCUGGAGCCACCGCGAGACCUGGAUCAGGAGGCGCUUGACCUGGAGCCGCCACGAGACUGGAGCCGCCGCAAGACCUGGAACCGCCGCGAGUUAGAGCGGGGACGAGAUCCGAUCCAGGCAGCAGGUGGAGCGCGGCGAGAUCGAGAUACGAUCCAGGCAGCAGUCGGGACGGAGCGAGAUCCAGGCGACGUGAACGGCGGCUGGAGUAGAUCGAGGCGGACGGGAUCCAGCGGGGGCAGGAGCGGGAACAAGAUCCAAACCGGGGGGGGGCUGGUGCGGGUGUUGGAUCUGGCGGCACAGCAACAGCGGGACGAGAACGAGAGCUGCAGCAGGAGGAGAUCGGGAGCAACAGCUAGACGAACAACGACUGCGUGGAGAAGGAUCGGAGCACGAGUUGCGCGUGCGAAAAAAUAACCUAAGGCUCUAAUACCAUGUUAGGAAAGCAACUUAUCAUUAUUGAAGGCCCAAGGGACAUAUAUAUAUUACACAAGACUUGAGGUGCAAGGAAAGUAAACAUAGACUAAUAAGGACUCCUAGACUAAUACUAAUACUUCCUAACAAUUACAAAUGUAUAGACCAUCCAAAUUAAAAGGCUACUAGAUACCAAUUAGUCGGUAAUACCUUAUCGCGGGCCCUUCCACCGACGACUGAAGUGGCGCACAAGGAGGCAACUUCUUGAACAACAUCGCGCAUCUGAUAAUAUGGAGUCAGGGAUAAGAAAGACCUACAAAUAUCAAGUAACAUGCAAGAAUUUUUCUUUUCAUUAGGCUUACCUCACUGGACAUGUAUGCCUCGUCAGGAUUAUUUACUUUCGGCGACAAUGUUCCGUCGUAGUCCAGGAAGAGGGCUAUCGUCUUGCCCUGCCAGUUGGUUGUGAUUUCAGCAAAGCAAUCAAUAGCGGAAGGGCGUUUAGCCUGCAAUGAAGCAUACAUUAGAAAAUGCUACAAAAGUCAGUCAACAAAUAACUAAAACUUGUGAUUAUGCAAAUGUACACUUUUAGAAGACACACUUUUAUUCAAAUUCAGAAAAUCUUGUUUAAGUGGCUCAAACUUGUGAAAAGGUAAAUAUUGUACUUAAGCAUGUAUUUUAAACAUACUUUUAUUGUGAGGUCAAAUUUUAAAUGUCCACUUCAUCCAUUAGAUGUAAAAAAAUGCUUUCCUCCAUGGGCAUCUGCACGAGGAGGUCUAUAUAGAGGUACUACCCUGGGUUGGGAGAUAGUAAGACAUAUGGGAAGGUAUGCAAACUCAAGAAAUCAUUUUAUGGUUGGAAAUUGUCUCCAGAGGCAUGUUUUGACAACGUGUGGUGUGUGGCAUGGGAUACUCCCAGUGCAGUUGAGAUGAUGCAGUUUUCUAUAUGCAUUGGAAGUCACAUAUCACAAAUUCAUAAUCCUAGGGGGUAUCACGUGGAAAUGUCCCAGGUUAUGCAAAUCUGCAAAUUUCCAUCAGAGCCAUCAGUUUAGCUAUGAAUGGUCAGAUAUCAUGUUGUCCUUUUGCUGCCAUUCAUUUUCUAGAAAAUACCCCUAGAUAUAUGUUCUCCUCUUCUGUCCCCAGUUGAUGGAGCUCUUGAAUGCACUAACAGAAGGCAUGUGCUUUUCAUGUGUGCAUAAUCAAGUAGGAAUAUAUGCUAGCAUGAAGAAUAAAAAGCAAUAAAUUUGAAACAUAAGUUUAACAGAUACCCCCUCCGUCCCAAAAUAAGUGACUCAAAAAUGACUCAAUUUUGUCCGUCCAAAAAUAAGUGACUAAAAAAUGACUCAACUUUGCACCGUGCAAAUUUGAGUCAUUUUUGAGUCACUUAUUUUGGGAAGGAGGAAGUAGUAUAUAACUUAUAACACGAUAAUGGUUUUUCUAAGAGCAUCGAGAACCACAAGCGUGUGACUUUCUGAAAUCAUGUGCAGUUACGUAUGUAACUGCAUUUUUUUUGUAAUUAUUUGAAACACAAGCUCAUCUCAACUUAAAAAGAUAUCCAUAUUCCAAAUUUAGGUUUAUUGAUAUAGAUAUAUGUUCCAGCAUAAUCGGUGUGGCAGUUUUCAAAAUGAAUGGGUUGUAGUUGUAAAAUACGUAGAUUGCCAAAUGCAUUGCUCAAAAGGAAUUGGAUAGUUAAAUAUUUCAGUUGUCCUCUAAUAGAAAACUUGUUGACUGUCAGCCAACUACACUAGUGCUACUUUUGAUGGAAAUCUUGACAGGCCCAAAUGGCACAGGCCCGGGAAGGUCCAGGACCUUGCAUCCACAAAGUGUAACAGCGGGCUGAAUUUUGAAGACAGUCAUUUAAGAAGGGUUUCUUUGCAAACUGAAACAUGUGGUUUGCAGGUAGUUUUCUGCAAAAUGACUGGGGGGGGGGGCUGAGNNNNNNNNNNNNNNNNNNNNNNNNNNNNNNNNNNNNNCAGAUGCUCAAACUGACCACACCGAAAAUUUGCAGAUUUUCAGAAGAUAGUGUGUUUCCACCUGAUGCACCCCGCUAUCCUGGUGGUGUAUGUUGAUGAUAUAAUGAUAGCCAAUGAUGAUGUUAAAGAAAUUAACCUCAAGGAGAGAUUGGGGAAAACAUUUGAAGUGAAAAAUCUUGGGCAACUUCUUACAAGUAUAUACAAAGAGAAAGAAAAGGUAGGGGGUUGUACAAGGGCCUAGGCCAGAGAGUUGAGCCAGCAGCCAAGAGGAGCAGCAAGCUCAGAGGAGAGCCUAAAAGAUAAAGACGUACGUUCCUUUUUAGAGAGGAGAGAACCAGGGUUAGUAUUCUAAAAAAUCUUUCUAUUCCUUCUGCUUCCAAAUGCUCCAGGCAACCAAGAUGAAUACCUCCAUGAAGAAUGGCUUGGCAAAAGCAGCUUUGUCAGCAAUGAUGGCAGGGGUGAUAUCAUAGUUAAUAGAAGAACCAAUGCAUAUCCUAUGUCAACAGGAACUGCGAAAAGGGCAAGACAGGAAGAGGUGAUCUAUAGGUCCAUUAGCACAUAGGACAGCCAUGUGCAUCCUCUCAACAAGAAAGUUCUUUCUGAGAAGUAUGCCUCAGUAUUAGGUCUGUCUUUCAAAAGUAGCCAGGCAGGAUCCUUCAGCUUUGGAGAGCAUUUUGAUGACCGUAUCCAUCUGACAGUUGAAGAGCAAAAGAUAAGGCGUAAAUUUUCUUGGAAGAGAAGCGAUUAUUUGCCCAGGAGUAGGUCCAGUGAUCAUGAAUUUCUUGAGUAAGAUGAACAUUCUAAAGGAGCUUCCUGAAUCUAAAGCCUGUUCUGAAAGAGGGAGGUGAAACAUAUCCAGAAGCUCAUUGUGCCCAGUCACCUGCUUCACAGAGACAGUAUCAUCGUUGGCAAAAGAAUGGAGCAUGGGGAAGAGUUGACUAAGGCAAGGGCUAGAUAGAACUGAGUUUUACUUAUGGACAGAACAGUAGGCAGCAGAAAAAUAGUUGUUGUAAAGCUUGAUAACAUCUAGCUGCCAGAAGGAACCAACCCUUUGAUCAGAGCAAGGGAUAGUGUCAUUUUAAUUUUAAUAAUUCCAGACUAGGCAAGCAAUGUUAUAAGUUUGAGGUAGGAAUUGAGAAGGGAUAUUGGCUUAUAGUGAUUUUAAUUUGAUUAUGAUUGAAUCACCAUGAGAUUGAUAGCUUCUUCAUAAAGGAGAAAAUGGAUGGUGGAAUGCUACAACUUGCUUACGUAAAAUUCGAUGAGCAAUUAGCAGACUGUCUCACUAAGGGGCUAGAAACCUAGUGAUGGUAUGGCUAUUGGUAGCAAGAUGGGCAUGAUUAUAUCUUGAGGGGUGUGUGUGAUAUUAAUAUUGUGCACGUACUAAAAUGAGCAACAACAAACAACAACAACAAAGCCUUUAGUCAUAAACAAGUUGGGGUAGGCUAGAGGUGAAACCCAUAAGAUCUCGCGACCAACUCAUGAUUCUGGCACAUGGAUAGCAAGCUUCCACGCACCCCUGUCCAUGGCUAGUUCUUUGGUGAUAUCCUUUAGAUCUCUCUUUACGGACUCUUCCCAUGUCAAAUUCGGUCUACCCCGGCCUCUCUUGACACUAUCAACAUGCUUUAGCCAUCCGCUAUGCACUGGGUCUUCUGGAGGCCUGUGCUGAAUAUGCCCAAACCAUCCCAGACGAUGUUGGACAAGCUUUUCUUCAAUUGGCACUACCCCAACUCUAUCUCGUAUAUCAUCAUUUCCGGAUUCGGUCCUUCCUUGUGUGGCCACACAUCCAUCUCAACAUGCGCAUCUCCGCCACACCUAGCUGUUGCACAUGUCACCUUUUAGUCGGCCAACACUUAGCGCCAUACAACAUUGCGGGUCGGACCGCCGUCCUAUAGAACUUGCCUUUUAGCUUUUGUGGCACCGUCUUCUCACAGAGAAUGCCAGAAGCUUGGCGCCACUUCAUCCAUCCGGCUUUAAUUCGAUGGUUCACAUCUUCAUCGAUAUCCCCAUCCUUCUGCAACAUUGACCCCAAAUAUCGAAAGGUGUCCUUCUGAGGCACCAUCUGCCUAUCAAGGUAACCCCCCCUCCUCCUUGUGCCUAGUAGUACUGAAAGCGCAUCUCAUGUACUCGGUCUUAGUCCUAGUAAGUCUAAAAUCUUUCGAUUCCAAGGUUUGCCUCCAUAACUCCAACUUCCUGUUGACCCUCGCCCGUCUAUCAUCGACUGACACCACAUCGUCCACAAAGAGCAUACACCAUGGGAUAUCUCCUUGUAUAUCCCUUGUGACCUCAUCCAUCACCAAGGCAAAAAGAUAAGGGCUCAAUGUUGACCCCUGAUGCAGUCCUAUCUUAAUUGGGAAGUCAUCAGUGUCGCCAUCACUUGUUCGAACACUUGUCACAACAUUGUGGUACAUGUCCUUGAGGAGGGUAAUGUACUUUGCUGGGACUUUGUGUUUCUCCAAGGCCCACCACAUAACAUUCCGCGGUAUCUUAUCAUAGGCCUUCUCCAAGUCAAUGAACACCAUAUGCAAGUCCUUCUUUUGCUCCCUAUAUCUCUUCAUAAGUUUUCGUACCAAGAAAAUGGCUUCCAUGGUCGACCUCUCAGGCAUGAAACCAAACUGAUUUUUGGUCACGCUUGUCAUUCUUCUUAAGCGGUGUUCAAUGGCUCUCUCCCAUAGCUUCAUUGUAUGGCUCAUCAAUUUAAUUCCACGGUAAUUGGUACAACUCUGAACAUCCCCUUGUUCUUGAAGAUUGAUACUAAUAUACUUCGUCUCCAUUCUUCUGGCAUCUUGUUUGCCCGAAAAAUGAGGUUGAAAAGUUUGGUUAGCCAUACUAUCGCUAUGUCCCCGAGGCCUCUCCACACCUCAAUGGGGAUACAAUCAGGGCCCCAUCGCCUUGCCUCCUUUCAUCCUCUUUAAAGCCUCCUUGACCUCCGACUCCUGGAUUGACUGCACAAAACGCCUGCUAGUAUCAUCAAAGGAGUCGUCCAGAUCACUGGUAGAGCUCUCACCCUCCCCAUUGAACAACUUGUCAAAGUACUCCUGCCAUCUAUGCUUAAUCUCCUCGUUCUUCACCAGGAGUUGCUUUGCUCCGUCCUUUAUGCACUUGAUUUGGUCAACAUCACCCGUGUUCCUCUCUCGGAUCUUCGCCAUCUUAUAGAUCUCCCUUUUGCCUUCCUUCGUGUCUAACUGUUGGUAGAGGUCGUCAGACGCCCAACCCCUUGCUUCACUCACAGCUCGUAUUGCAACCUUCUUUGCCAUCUUGUACUUAUCUAUGUUGUCUACAUUCCUAUCCAGAUAUAGAUGUCUGAAACAAUCUUUCUUCUCCUUAAUUGCCUUGUGGACAUCAUCGUUUCACCAGCAGGUAUCUUUAGCUUCUCUUCUACUUCCCCUGGACACUCCAAACUCCUCCGAGGCCACCUUACGAAUGCAAGUCGCCAUCUUCAUCCACAUGUUGUCUGCAUCACCUCCUUCCUCCCAAGGGCCCUUCUUAAUUGUUAGGAAAUAUGCAACAUGUGUUCCCAUGAGGCCAUAGGUCGGUAUAUAUACAUGCACAUGUGUGGAAUAUAUGCAGGAAACCCCUUAUACAAUGGGAUAAGUACGAAAGGGUACAUGGCUAUAUUAUAUACUCUAACACCUCCCCUCAAACUCAUGGUGGAUGAACAACACUGAGUUUGGAGAGAUAGAAGCCAUGAUGCGCUCUAGUCUGGGCCUUCAUCAGGAAAUCCGCCAACUGUAACUCGGAAGGCACAUACUGAAGAGCAAUAACCUGGUCCUGCACACUAGCGCGCACAUAGAAAGCAUCAACACCAAUAUGCUUAGUGAGCUCAUGCUUCAUAGGAUCGCGCGCAAUGCUAAUAGCACAUGUACUGUCAGAUAAUAACAUAGUAGGUGUAGUGACAGAAACACAAAAAUCCUGAAGUAACCACCGUAACCAAGUCAACUCAGCCGUCAAAAGAGCCAUAGCUCGCAACUCAGCCUCUGCACUCGAACGGGAAACUGCAGUCUGUUUCUUCGUCUUCCAGGCAAUGAGAGAACCGCCAAGAAAACACAGUAAGCAGAAAGUGAACACCGAUCUGAGGGAUCACUAGCCCACGUAGCAUCCGAAUAAGCCUGAAGCUGUAAAGAACUGGAGCGAGGAAAGAAUAGACGGUGAGAGAUCGUGCCCCGAAGAUAUCGUAGAACACGAAGAAGGUGACUAUAGUGGACCGAAGUGGGAGCGGAGACAAACUGACUCAGAAUAUGAAUCGAUAAGAGAUAUCCGGACGAGUGACAGGUAGAUAGACAAGACUCCCUACAAGAUGAUGAUAACGCGUCAGAUCAGGCAAGGGGUCACCAUCAGUAUCACGGAGGUGGGCAUUGAGCUCCAUGGGAGUCCCAACAAUGUGAUCAUCAGUAAGAUCAGCACGAGCAAGGAGAUCCUGGAUAUACUUUUCUUGAGAUAUAAAAAAGCCAUUAGAGGUAGAAGUGACUUCAAUCCCAAGAAAGUAGCGAAGAGAUCCAAGAUUGGACAUAAGAAACUGCUCAUUAAGACGGGCCUUUACAAAGGCAAUAUACUCGGGGUCAUCGCCAGUGAUGAUCAUGUCAUCGACAUAUAGAAGAAGAAGAGUCCGACCACGAGGUGAAAGAUGGACAAACAAUGCUGGAUCAUGAGCACUUGCUGAAAAACUAGUGGUAGUCACCACAGAGGCAAAAUGUUCAAACCAGGCACGGGGGGCUUGCUUAAGGCCAUAGAGAGAGCGGCGAAGACGAGAUACCAUGCCAUCACGAACCGAAUACCCAGGUGGUGGCUGUGUAUAUACCUCCUCACGCAGCUCACCAUUAAGAAAGGCAUUCUUAGCAUCAAGCUGAGAGACGGACCAGUGGCGUGAAGAGGCCACGACAAGAAGUGUACGAAUAGUUGUCAUAUGGGCCACAAGAGCAAAAGUCUCGUCGUAAUCACGACCAGGGGCGGAGACAGGGGCGAGCAGGGGCUAGAACCCCCCCCCCAACCGAUCGCACCCCCAACAACUAUCAGCGGGCAGUGUGGUACUAUGUACCGCUGCUCCUUUUUUUAGGGAGAAGUAUUAUUGUUUCUCUACUAAUGGCCGGGAGUAAUGAACUUAAUUAGCCCAUGCUUGAUUAACAACGCACUGGAACUAAAGAAGCCCAGCCCAUGUGCCAUUGUGGCUUUGCCUCUCCACGCGUGCUAUGCCAUGCAAAUACAAUCCAUCAGAUCGAACGGUGUUGCCUGCGUAUGGCUGCCAUAGGAGAGUCUAGGUCUAGGGCGCUUCCGUAGUCGCCUUCCUCCCUUCUCACAACCACAUACCACCACAUGGUCGGAGGCUGGAAGAUUGGAGACCUGUUAUGAGUAUUUAUCAAUUUCAACCUGGCCACUUUAUCGCGGCCUGCCGGUGUUGUCGUGGAGUGAACUCUCCGGCUAGAUUGUUUUUAAGGCACAUACAUACAACUAAUGACUAAUCUAUUUCUCUUUGAUGCACCAAUUUCUAAUAGCUUGAUUUAUAGGAAUAUUUGUUAAUUACAUGUAUUGGGAUGAGAUAUAGAUCUAAUUUAUUUGUUGCUUCUAUUUAGCUAUACUAUACCUAUCGGUUUAACCGAACAGAUUAUUAACUCUUCUGAUCUGAUAGAUAAAUGUAUGCAAUGCUAAAAUGAACAAACAGUCUGAAAACAAUUGUUGUUGUGAUUUAUAUAACUUAUAAUAAUUAUACAACUAAUGCUAUUGGAAAUGUGUGUUGCUAUUUGAGUGUGAGACUUGAUUCUUGCUUCUUUGCCCCUCCCCCCUUAUAUUCAAAUCUUGGCUCCGCCCGUGAUCACGACCAUGCUCCUGCUGAAAACCACGAGCCACGAGACGAGCUUUGUAACGCCCAAGAGAACCAUGAGAGCGAGUCUUAACCUUGUAGACCCACUUACAAGUGAUAGGACGAACACCUGGAGGAAGAGAAACAAGAUCCCAUGUACCGGUGCGUUCAAGAGAAGCAAUCUCCUCUGCGAUCGCAAACUACCAUUCAGGAUGAACAAUAGCCCCACGAUAAGAAGUCGGCUCAAGAACAGCAGCACCAGCGGUGGAAAAACCAAGGCGAUCAACAGACGGAAGCGGACGAGGACGCAAGCCAUAGGUAGGCUGAGAGGAGGAGGACGACACAUCACCAAAUGCAUCCACAUGACGUGAACGACGAGUAUAAUGCUGAGGAAAAGAUGGAAGAAUGUGAGGAGGAAUCGUCGAAACAUAAUCGGGGGGUGGAGACGAAGAAGUCACCGAGGAGGAAGGUGCAGAAUCCGGUGACAUGCGAGGUGAGGAAACCGUGGGAGAUGGUGGCGGCAAAUCGACAAGAGGUGGAGAAGCAGAGUGAGCAGGACGGGACGACAAAGGCUCGACGGGGGUGAUAGGUAUGUCAGGAAAAGUGAGGAAAGAGAUAUCCUCCACUGAAAAGGUCGAGGAAGAUGGACGCCGGUAGAAGGGACGAGACUCAUCAAAAGUCACAUCCCGAGAAAUACGCAUCCGACGACCUAUAGGAUCCCAACAACGAUAGCACUACCCUGUAGAGCAGAGGACGACUGGAGAUUGAUGAGAUAGGUGGAGGUGAAGACGCUCGAAAGGAACACUACCCUGUAGAGCAGAGGACGACUGGAGAUUGAUGAGAUAGGUGGAGGUGAAGACAACCUCAGCCCAAAAAUGAGGCGACAGAGAGGUGGCGAUGAUCAAUGCACGAGCUGUCUCAAAAAGGUGACGAUGCUUACGCUCAGCCACACCAUUCUGAGCAUGAGCACCAGGACAAGAGAACUGAGAGAGAGUCCCUGAGCAAGAACACCACGCAACAUCUUGGAAAUAUACUCGCCAACGGAGUCAACAUGAAACACACGAAUAGGUGAAGAGAACUGAGUGUGAACCAUGGCAGCAAAACGCUUAUAUAUAGAUAAAACUUCACUGCGAGAAGUCAUAAAGUAUAGCCAAGUGUAACGAGAGAAAUCAUCUAUGAAAAUAAUAUAGUAUCGAUGACCCCCUUUCGAAGCGAAGGGAGCCGGUCCCCAUACAUCGGAGUGGACUAAAUCAAAAGGACGAUGGGAUACUGACUCACUGGUUGGAUAAGGUAACUGAAUCUGUUUGCCAAGCCGACAACCCUGACACUAUAAAGAGGCAUCUCCUGAGACAGACCCCAGAAGGCCUCGACGAACUAAAGACGACAAACGAGAACCACAAAGAUGACCAGGUCGAUGAUGCCACUGCUGGAAGGAGCCGGUAGCUGAAGCGGAUGAACUGGUGAUAGUGGUGGUAGCGGAAGGAACAUGAAGCCAGUCAAGCUCCCAAAGACCCUCAGAGUCGCGGCGGCGAGGGCCAGCCCCAACCAAAGUGUGCGUUCGACGAUCCUGAACAGAACAAGAGUCAAUUUCAAGGAUGACGCGACAACCAGAAUCAGUAAGUUGACCAGCAGAAAAAAGAUUCAUGGUAAAUCGAGGAACAUGAGCAACAUCAGGAACAGAAUAAGAGGGCGUGGUAAGAUUGCCUCGACUAGCAACAAAAAGAGGAGUACCAUCAGCAGUGAGUACAUGAACCGAAAAAUCAAGUGGUCUAAGAGAGGACAAAUUGGAAGAAUGAGAAGACAUAUGAAAAGAAGCUCCGGAGUCCGGAACCCACGAGGAUGUAUCUAACUGUGUAGAGGGUGGUGGUUGCUCAGUGCGGGAAGCAUCAGUCACAGAACCUGCAGUGCCCGUCGAAGAAGAACCCGAAGCAGCAAGUAGACGCUUAGGCCUCAGAAUAUCCUGCUCAGUCAAGGCCGUGGCAGACGAUGUCGAAGGAGAGUUCCCUGAUGAUGAUGACCGCGCCUUAUGCAGGGGUCGCUUCUUCUGGAAGCACUGAGACUCAACAUGCCCAUCCAUAUUGCAGUAGCCGCAGUGAGGACGAGAGCGACCCUGACCACCUGUAGGAGUAGGCAAGAGCGGUGGAGCACUAGAGCGGGAAGAAGCCGGUGCAGCAGGCGGUAUAGCAGGAACUCGAGGAGCAAGCACAGAGGGAACCUCAAGUAACCCAGUGCCACGUAUACGAGUCUCCUCAGCACGAAUCUCAGAAAGCGCCUCCAUGAGGGAGAUACGACCACGAGCAAACAACUGAGCACGCCGGGGCUCAAACUCCUUACGAAGCCGAGACAGGAACUCAUAGACACGGUGAAACUCCAAAUCAGCCCGCACAGCCUGGCAACACUGACAAGUACGACAACCAGCAGUGCGGAGAGAAUCAAGCUGACGCCAGAUAGCAGAACUCUGUGCAUAGAAAUCAUCAACACUGGAGUCACCCUGCUGAAGAGCAUGCUCCCGACGGACCACAGAGAGGUAUAAGGCAUCACCAGAUGGCUCAUAGCGCUGACGGAGACGAGUCCACAUCUCAAAUACAGUAGGAAGGCCUAGAAACUCAGAGCAGACUGAGGCAGAACACUAGCAGUGAGAACAGCUGCAGCACGAGCAUCAUCAUCAAGCCACUGGGUGUAAACAGCAGAGCACCAUGAUACGUCUGAAGAGCCUCCUCAUAAGUCAAAAACUGCUCAUCAUAAGCACGAACAACGGCCUCAUCAGCAAGUUUAGCUUCAUCCUUCGCGGCCCGAUUAGCAUCCGCGGGAAGAACCGGUGGCUUCGGCGGAGUGGGAGCCACAGGAGGAACCGGACGUGGCGGACAGCGGACCCCGCCAGAAAGAACACCUCACAGACGUAUGCCACUCAUAUGAAUGCGCAUGAAGCCAAUGAACUUGGUGUAGUUAGUGCCAUCAAAAAUCACCGGACAAUGAGGAACAGCAACAUAGCUCGAUGAUGCAGUCAUUUUUUUAGUCACAGCAGCAGCAGGACAGAGAACAGCGACAACCGCAGUCAGGCUUCAGGCGGCAGGGGCGACGAGAACCAGCAGCAGGAGGAGAAGCAACAGGCCCGCGGUAGCCGGUCGGACGAGAGACAAGCAGUGGCGACCGAUGUUGUCAGAGAUGCUUCAAUCCAGAGGGCUUCAGACCAAAUAGGCAAGCGGGACCAGCAGCCUCGAGCGGAACCGCGAGAUCGGGACCUGCAGCCUCGAGAGGAAACGCGAAAUCGAGGCCGGCGGCUUCGAGCGGAACCUAGAGAGCAGGCGGGGCCUCCAGAGCGAGAUAGGCAAGCCCGCGGGCGAGACAAGCUAGAGCGAAAAUGCGAGAACGGAGCCAGCUUCGAGCAGGUCCUCCAGAGCGGGGCCGGCAGCGUCAAUCCUGAGGGCGGCUUCUGUUAGAGUUAUAAUAUAAGUCAUGUACCCUUUUGUAUUUAUCCCAAUAUAUAAGGGGUUUCCUGCAUAUAGUCCAUCACCUGUACAUGUAUAUAUACCGGCCUAUGGCCUCAUGGGAAUACAAGUUGCUUAUUCCUAACAUGGUAUUAGAGCAUUAGGGUUUUUUCUCGCACGCGCGACUCGUGCUCCGAUCCCGUCUCGUCCGCAUCUGGUUCCCGAUCCAGGCGCUACUUCCGUCCCGAUCCAGGCGUGGCUCUCGUCCCAAUCCAGGGGCUACUCUCGUGCGCGGCUCCCGUCCCGAUUCAGGGGCUUCUCUCGUCGCCAGCCGACGUCCCGGUCCAGGGGCCGCUCUCGUCCACGUCCCCGAUCUGGAGUCAAACCACGAGACAAGGAGCAUCCCCGAUCUGGAGUCACACCACGGGACAAGGAGCAGCAGUAACCUGAUCCAGUUCGGUCUGGAGUCCAACUAGUCUGCAUCUUCUCUGGACUCCACCUGCCACCGCUGAUUUUGUUCCCGAUUUGGAGUCCAACUAGUCAGCCCUUGCACCGCUGAUCCUGUCGCCCAGAUCGUCACCAGCUCCCGANCGCUGUCCGGUGAUCUUUGAUGGCACUAACUACACCGAGUUCACUGGCUUCAUGCGCAUUCACAUGCGUGGCAUCCGUCUAUGGGGUUUUCUUUCUGGCGAGGUCUGCUGUCCGCCCUGUCCGGUUCCUCCAGUGGCUCCCACUCCGCCGACCCCACCGGCUCUUCCUGCGGAUGCUCCUCAGGCCGCAAAGGAUGCGGCUAAGCUUGCUGAUGAGGCCGCUGUGAGUGCUUAUGAUGAGAAGGUCUUGGCUUAUGAGGAGGCUCUUCAAACGUAUCAUGGUGCUCUGUCUGCUUACACCCAGUGGCUUGAUGAUGAUGCUCGUGCUGCAGCUGUUCUCACUGCUAGCGUCCUGCCUCAGUUUGCCUCUGAGUUUAUGGGCCUUCCUACUGUGUUUGAGAUGUGGACUCGCCUUCGUCAGCGCUAUGAGCCCUCUGGUGAUGCCUUAUACCUCUCUAUGGUUCGCCAGGAGCAUGCUCUUCAGCAGGGUGACUCUACUGUUGAUCACUUCUAUGCACAGAGUUCUGCUAUCUGGCGCCAGCUUGAUUCUCUCCGCAGUGCUGGUUGUCGUACUUGCCCCUGUUGCCAGGCUGUCCAGGACGAUUUGGAGUUUCAUCGCGUCUGCGAGUUCCUGUCUCGGCUCCGUAAGGAGUUUGAGCCCCGGCGUGCUCAGUUGUUUGCUCGUGGCCGUAUCUCUCUCAUGGAGGCGCUUUUUGAGAUUCGUGCUGAGGAGACUCGCUUACGUGGUGCUGGUUUACUGGAGGUUCCCUCGAUGCUCACUGCUCGAGCUCUUUCUACGCCACCUGCUGCACCGCCCCCUUCUCGCUCGAGUGCUCCCCUGCUCUUGCCCACUCCUUCUGGAGGCUCAGGUCGCCCCCGUCCACAUUGUGGCUACUGCAACAAUGAUGGUCAUAUUGAGUCCAACUGCUACACGAAGAAGAAACACUUGCGCAAGGCGCGAUCAUCAUCUACAGCGACUUCGUCAUCCACCUCGACAACUUCAGCCAUUGCUUUGACUGAGCAGGAUAUUCUGAGACUUAAGCGUCUGCUCGUUGCUUCCGGUUCUUCCUCGACAUGUACUGCUGGUUCCGUGACUGAGGCUUCCCGCACCGAGCAACCACCUUCUACAAAGUCAGGUACACCCCAUGGGUUCUGGACUCUGGAGCUUCCUUUCAUAUGACUUCUAAUUCUUUCAUUCUGUCCUCUCUUCGAUCGCUUGAUUCUCCUGUUCAUGUCCUCACCACUGAUGGUACUCCCCUUCCUGUCGUUAGUAGAGGCACUCUUACCACUCCUUAUUUUGUUCCUGAUGUUGCUCAUGUUCCUUGACUUACCAUGAAUCUGUUUUCUGCUGGUCAACCUGCUGAUUCUGGUUGUCGUGUCAUCCUUGACCUUGACUCUUGUUUUGUCCAGGACCGUCGCACGCACACUCUGGUUGGGACUGGUCCUCGCCGCCGUGAUUCUGUCGGUCUUUGGGAGUUGGACUGGCUUCAUGUUCCUUCCGGUACCCACUCUAUCGCCAGUUCUUCCGCUUUGGUCGCCUCGGCUACUGGUUCCUUCCAGCAGUGGCAUCAUCGACUUGGUCAUCUGUGUGGUUCUCGUUUGUCGUCAUUAGUUCGUCGAGGUCUUCUGGGGUUUGUCUCAUGAGAUGCCUCUUUAGAGUGUCAGGGUUGUCGUCUUGGCAAGCAGAUUCAGUUACCAUAUCCACAUAGUGAGUCAGUGUCUAAGCGUCCUUUUGAUUUAGUUCAUUCCGAUGUAUGGGGUCCGGCUCCCUUCGCUUCGAAAGGGAGUCACAAAUACUAUAUUAUUUUCAUAGAUGACUUCUCUCGUUACACAUGGCUUUAUUUCAUGACUUCUCGUAGUGAGGUGUUGUCCAUUUAUAAGCGUUUUGCUGCCAUGGUUCAUACUCAGUUCUCUUCUCCCAUUCGUGUGUUCCGUGCUGACUCCGUUGGCGAGUAUAUCUCUAAGAUGUUGCGUGGUGUUCUUGCUGAGCAAGGGACACUCUCUCAAUUCUCUUGUCCUGGUGCUCACGCUCAGAAUGGCGUGGCUGAGCGCAAGCAUCGUCAUCUUCUUGAGACGGCUCGUGCAUUGAUGAUUGCUGCCUCUCUCCCGCCUCAUUUUUGGGCUGAGGCCGUCUCCACCUCCACCUAUCUCAUCAAUUUCCAGCCUUCCGCUGCUCUUCAGGGUGGUGUUCCUUUCAAGCGUCUUUUUUAUCGUUCUCCCGAUUAUUCGAUGCUUCGCUUGUUUGGUUGUGUUUGCUAUGUUCUUGCCCCCCGCGAACGCACCAAACUGUCUGCUCAGUCUGUUGAGUGUGUCUUCUUAGGCUAUAGUGAUGAGCAUAAGGGCUAUCGUCGUUGGGAUCCUAUCGUUCGUCGGAUGCGUAUCUCUCGGGAUUUGACUUUUGAUGAGUCUCGUCCCUUCUACCCACGCCCAUCUUCCUCGACUUUUUCAGUGGAGGAUAUCUCUUUCCUCACUUUUUCUGACACACCUAUCACACCAGUCGAGCCUUUGUCUAUUCGUUCAGCUCCCUCUGCUUCUCCACCUCCAGUCGAUUUGUCGCCACCAUCUUCCACGGUCUCCUCGUCUAGCAUAUCACCGGAUUCUACACCUUCAUCUCCGGUGACUUCUUCGUCGCCACUCCCCGAUUCUAUCUUGGCGAUUCCUCCUUCCAUUGUUCCAUCUUUUCCUCAGUGUUACACUCGUCGUUCACGUUCUGUGGAUGCCUCUGUGGAUGUGUCGUCAUCCUCGUCUCAGCCUACUUAUGGCUUGCGUUCUCGUCCUCGUCCGCCUGUUGAUCGCUUUGGAUUUUUCACUGCUGGUGCUGCUGUUCUUGAGCCGACUACUUAUCAUCAGGCUGUUAUUCAUCCUGAAUGGCAGUUUGCGAUGGCCGAGGAGAUUGCUGCUCUUGAACGCACUGGUACGUGGGAUCUUGUUUCCCUUCCUCCCGGAGUCCGUCCCAUCACUUGUAAGUGGGUCUACAAGGUUAAGACUCGCUCCGAUGGUUCUCUUGAGCGUCACAAAGCUUGUCUUGUGGGUCGUGGUUUUCAGCAGGAGCAUGGUCGUGAUUAUGACGAGACUUUUGCUCCUGUGGCUCAUAUGACCAUUGUUCGUACACUUCUUGGCGUGGCCUCCACACGCCACUAGUCUAUCUCUCAGCUUGAUGUUAAGAAUGCUUUUCUUAAUUGUGAGUUGCGUGAGGAGGUGUAUAUGCAGCCACCACCUGGGUAUUCCGUUCCUGAUGGCAUGGUAUGUCGUCUUCGUUGCUCUCUCUAUGGCCUUAAGCAAGCCCCCCGUGCCUGGUUUGAGCGUUUUGCCUCUGUGGUGACUGCCGCUGGUUUUCACCCAGUGUUCAUGAUCCAACAUUGUUCAUUCACCUUUCUUCUCGUGGUCGGACUCUUCUUCUUCUCUAUGUUGAUGACAUGGUCAUCACUGGGGAUGACCCCGAGUAUAUUGCCUUUGUCAAGGCCCGCCUUAGUGAGCAGUUCCUUAUGUCCGAUCUUGGAUCUCUUCGCUACUUUCUUGGGAUUGAAGUCUCUUCUACCUCUGAUGGCUUCUUUAUAUCCCAGGAAAAGUAUAUCCAGGAUCUUCUUGCUCGUGCUGCUCUUACUGAUGAGCGCGUUGUUGAGACUCCUAUGGAACUCAAUGUUUACCUCUCUGCUACUGAUGGUGAUCCCCUGCCUGACCCGAUGCGUUAUCGUCAUCUUGUUGGCAGUCUUGUUUAUCUAGUUGUCACUCGUCCGGAUAUCUCUUAUCCGGUUCAUAUUCUGAGUCGGUUUGUUUCUGCUCCCACAUCGGUUCACUAUAGUCAUCUCCUCCGUGUUCUCCGAUAUCUUCGGGGCACGAUCUCUCACCGUCUAUUCUUUCCUCGCUCCAGUUCUUUACAACUUCAGGCCUAUUCGGAUGCUAUGUGGGCUAGUGAUCCUUCAGAUCGCCGUUCACUUUCUGCUUACUGUGUUUUUCUUGGUGGUUCUCUCAUUGCCUGAAAGAUGAAGAAACAAAUUGCAGUUUCCCGUUCGAGUGCAGAGGCAGAGUUGCGAGCGAUGGCUCUUUUGACGGCAGAGGUGACUUGGUUACGGUGGUUACUUCAAGAUUUUGGUGUUUCUGUCACUACACCGACUCUGCUCUUAUCUGACAGUACAAGUGCUAUCAGCAUUGCGCGCGAUCCUGUGAAGCAUGAGCUCACCAAGCAUAUUGGUGUUGAUGCUUUCUAUGUGCGCGCUGCUGUGCAGGAUCAGGUUGUUGCUCUUCAGUAUGUGCCUUCCGAGUUACAGUUGGCGGAUUUCCUGACAAAGGCCCAGACUAGAGCACAACAUGGCUUUUAUCUCUCCAAACUCAGUGUUGUUCAUCCACCAUGAGUUUGAGGGGGGUGUUAGAGUUAUAAUAUAAGUCAUGUACCCUUUUGUAUUUAUCCCAAUAUAUAAGGGGUUUCCUGCAUAUAGUCCAUCACCUGUACAUGUAUAUAUACCGGCCUAUGGCCUCAUGGGAAUACAAGUUGCUUAUUCCUAACAGCUUCGAGUGGCUUGGAGAGCAGGGCCGGCGGCUUCGAGCGGGGCCUCCAGAGCGGGGCCAGCGGCGUCGAUCUACACGAUCGGGGAGGACAAGAGCAGUCGGUUGACCGACUGCUGGGAUGGGGUAGAAGAAAAAGCAGCAGUGGCGCCACGACGGAUCAAUCGCACGAGUUGCAGCGUGCAAAAAAUUGACCUAGCUCUAAUACCAUGUUAGGAAAUAUGCAACUUGUAUUCCCAUGAGGUCAUAGGCCGGUACAUAUACAUGUACGGGUGUGGAAUAUAUGCAGGAAACCCCUUAUACAAUGGGAUAAGUACGAAAGGGUACAUGGCUAUGUUAUAUAUACUCUAACAUUAAUGACCCUCUCCUUAAACGCUUGAGCUACCUCCGCCUUGAGCUUUCACCACUUCGUUCUAGCGACUUUGGCACGCUUGUCCUGCUGGACACGAAUCCGAAAGCGGAAGUCAGCAACCACAAGCUUAUGCUGAGGGACAACACUCUCUCCAGGUAUCACCUUAGAGUCUAGGCAUCCACGCCUGUCUUCUCUUCUCGAGAGGAUGGAAUCAAUCUGGCUAGAAUGUUAUCCACUACUGUAAGUCAUUAGAUGUGAUUCUCUCUUCUUAAAGAGGGUAUUAGCUACGAUCAUGUCGUAGGCUAGCGCAAAGCUUAAGACGUUUUCUCCUUCUUGAUUCCUGAUGCCAUAGCCAAAUCCCCCAUGCACCCCUUCAAAACUUGUGUUAGAUGUGUUAGAGUUAUAAUAUAAGUCAUGUACCCUUUUGUAUUUAUCCCAAUAUAUAAGGGGUUUCCUGCAUAUAGUCCAUCACCUGUACAUGUAUAUAUACCGGCCUAUGGCCUCAUGGGAAUACAAGUUGCAUAUUCCUAACAUGGUAUUAGAGCUAGGUCAAUUUUCUGCAUGCUGCAACUCGUGCGAUUGAUCCGUCUCUGUCCCGAUCGAAGCUGGUCCUCGAUCUCCUCCUCCCUCCUCCGGUCGAAGCUGCUGGUUCUCGCAGCCGCAGCCAGCCCCGAUCCCAGCAGCCCCGACUCCUCCCGUCGAAGCUACUGUUGGAUCUGGCAUCGAAGGUCCCGCCAGCCCCGAUCCCAGCGGCGACACCGGCUCCCGUGGCCCCGUUCCCAGGCGACGAAGAAGCCGCUGUUGGAUUUGGCAUCGAAGGCCCCGUCAGCCCCGAUCCUAGCGGCUCCCGUGGCCCCGUUACCAGGCGGCUCUCGAUCUGAUCCCGAUCGGAUCCAGUGGCACCCGAUCCCAGCGACGACUUCCCGAUCCGGACUCCACCCGCGCGACUCCACCUGUCGCGACUUGCUCUCUGUUCCCGAUCCGGAUUCCAUCCGCAGGCUUCUUCAAAAUCGACGGCUCCCCUCGAGAUCCCUCCUGAUUUCGUCGCCCCUUGCUGCUAAAUUCGCCGGAUCCAGCGCUGCUCUCGUCCUCCAGUUGCAGCGCCCGCCAGCCGCCCGAUUUGAUCCGGCUCGACUUGCUAUUCUCCGCUAAAAAAAAUGUCUGCUGCAUCUGGCUAUGUUGUCGUCCCUCGCUGUUCAGUGAUCUUCGAUGGCACUAACUACACCGAGUUCACUGGCUUUAUGCGCAUUCACAUGCGUGGCAUCCAUCUCUGGGGAGUUCUCUCUGGCGAGGUCUGUUGUCCGCCACGCCCGGUUCCUCCUGUGGCUCCCACUCCGCCGACCCCACCGGCUCUUCCUGCGGAUGCUCCUCAGACCGCAAAGGAUGCGGCUAAGCUUGAUUAUGAGGUCGCUAUCCGUGCUUAUGAUGAGAAGGCUUUGGCUUAUGAGGAGGCUCUUCAGACGUAUCAUGGUGCUCUGUCUGCUUACACCCAGUGGCUUGAUGAUGAUGCCCGUGCUGCAGCUGUUCUCACUGCUAGCGUUCUGCCUCAGUUUGCAUCUGAGUUUCUGGGCCUUUCUACUGUGUUUGAGAUGUGGACUCGCCUUCGUCAGCGCUAUGAGCCCUCGGGUGAUGCCUUAUACCUCUCUAUGGUCCGUCGGGAGCUUUCUCUUCAGCAGGGUGACUCUACUGUUGAUGACUUCUAUGCACAGAGUUCUGCUAUUUGGCGCCAGCUUGAUUCUCUCCGCAGUGCUGGUUGUCGCACUUGCCCCUGUUGCCAGGCUGUCCAGGCCGACUUGGAGUUUCAUUGUGUCUAUGAGUUCCUGUCUCGGCUCCGUAAGGAGUUUGAGCCCCGGCGUGCCCAGUUGUUUGCUCGUGGCCGUAUUUCUCUCAUGGAGGCGCUUUCUGAGAUUCGUGCUGAGGAGACUCGCUUACGUGGUGCUGGUUUGCUGGAGGUUCCCUCGGUGCUCGCUGCUCGGACUUUGUCUACGCCACCUGCUGCACCGACCCCUUCUCUCGCUCGAGUGCUCCGUCGCUCUUGCCCACUCCUUCUGGAGGCUCAGGUCGCCCCCAUCCACAUUGUGACUACUGCAACAAUGAUGGUCAUAUUGAGUCCCACUGCUGCACGAAGAAGAAACACUUGCGCAAGGCGCGAUCAUCAUCUACAGCGGCUUUGUCAUCUACCUCAACAGCUUCAGCCAUCGCUUUGACUGAGGAGGAUAUUCUGAGACUUAAGCGUCUGCUCGCUGCUUCAGGUUCUUCCUCGACGGGUACUGCUGGUUCUGUGACUGAGGCUUCCCGCACUGAGCAACCACCUUCUUCAUAGUCAGGUACAUCCCCAUGGGUUUUGGACUCUGGAGCUUCUUUUCAUAUGACUUCUAAUUCUUCCACUGUGUCCUCCCUUCGAUCGCUUGAUUCUCCUGUUCAUGUCCUCACCGUUGAUGGUACUCCCCUUCCUGUCGUUAGUAGAGGCACUCUUACCACUCCUUAUUCUGUUCCUGAUGUUGCUCAUGUUCCUCACUCCAGUUCUUUACAGCUUCAGGCCUAUUCGGAUGCUACGUGGGCGAGUGAUCCUUUAGAUCGCCGUUCCCUUUCUGCUUACUGUGUUUUUCUUGGUGGUUCUCUCAUUGCCUGGAAGAUGAAGAAACAGAUUGCAGUUUCCCGUUCGAGUGCAGAGGCUGAGUUGCGAGCGAUGGCUCUUUUGACGGCAGAGGUGACUUGGUUAUGGUGGUUACUUUAGGAUUUUGGCGGAUUUCCUGACAAAGGCCCAGACUAGAGCACAACAUGGCUUUUAUCUCUCCAAACUCAGUGUUGUUCAUCCACCAUGAGUUUGAGGGGGGGGGAGUGUUAGAGUUAUAAUAUAAGUCAUGUACCUUUUUGUAUUUAUCCCAAUAUAUAAGGGGUUUCCUGCAUAUAGCCCAUCACUUGUACAUGUAUAUAUACCGGCCUAUGGCCUCAUGGGAAUACAAGUUGCAUAUUCCUAACAAGAUGUGCCUACAUGGCCAUUGAGGUCUCCUCCUAUAAAGAGCCUCUCGCCAAUCGGUACACUCCUAACCAUGUCCUGCAAGCCUUCCUAGAACUCCCCCUUGGUGUUCUCAUUGUGGCCUACUUGCGGGGCAUACGCGCUGAUAACAUUGAGAACUAAGUCCCCAACUACCAGCUUGACCAGGAUAAUCCGGUCCCCACGUCUCUUGACAUCUACCACUCCAUACUUGAGGCUCUUGCUGAUCAAGAUGUCUACUUCAUUCCUGUUUGCAACCGUCCCCGUGUACCACAGCUUGAAGCCGGUAUCCUCCACCUCCUUCGCCUUUCGUUCCCUCCAAUUGUUCUCUUGGACGCAAAGGAUAUCAAUGCCUCUCCUCGCCGCUGUAUCAACUACCUCCCGAAGCUUACCUGUCAGAGACCCUACGUUCGAGCUAUCUAAGCGAAUCCUCCUAGGCUACCCUACGUACUAAAUUGAGCAAGGGUAAUAAAUGGCAAGGGGUGUCCAGGGUGAAACACAAUACAUCACUAGUUGGAUUAUUAAGAAUUGGGAAGAAAAAUGUACCGGAAACCACCACCAAAGUAGCAAAAAGGCGAUUGUCAGCAUUACUGCACCUCCCACUACACCGAGCACAAUCCAAAGAGUCUUGUGCCCUCCUGUAUGUAGUUGACACAUUAUCCAAGGAAAAGAAUAUUGUUAGGAAAGCAACUUAUCUGUAUUGAAGGCCCAAGGGGCAUAUAUAUAUUACACAUGACUUGAGGUGCAAGGAAAGUAAACAUAGACUAAUAAGGACUCCUAGACUAAUAUUAAUAGACUAAUAAGGACUCCUAGACUAAUACUAAUACUUCCUAACACCCCCCUCAAAUGCAAAGCGUAUGCAAUAGCAUUGCAUUUGAAGAAGUGUAAUACUAAAAAACAAUGAUAAUCCAAAUCCCCGUCUUGAGAGUGUCGUCGUAGCAUGAAGAGUCUUCAAAACUUGUCGAGUCGUCGAAGUAGAGAACAAAGAGAUGGCACAUCAUAGGUAGACACCGCAUCACUUGAAGAUACAAGAUAAGUAUCAAGCGAAGAUGGGUUGUCAAAAGAAGAUGGCACAUCAAGAGGAAGACACCGAAGAGAUGGCACAUCAGAGGAAGACACCGCAUCACUUGAAGAUACAACAUAAGUAUCAAGAAAAGAUGGGUUGUCAAAAGAAGAUGGCACAUCAAGAGAAUAGAAUUGUUAGGAAAGCAACUUAUGUGUAUUGAAGGUCCAACGGGCAUAUAUAUAUUACACAUGACUUGAGAUGCAAGGAAAGUAAACAUAGACUAAUAAGGACUCCUAGACUAAUACUAAUAGACUAAUAAGGACUCCUAGACUAAUACUAAUACUUCCUAACACCCCCCCUCAAAUGCAAAGCGUAUGCAAUAGCAUUGCAUUUGAAGAAGUGUAAUACUAAAAAAAAUUGAUAAUUCAAAUCCGCGUCUUGAGAGUGUCGUCGUAGCAUGAAGAGUCUUCAAAACUUGUCGAGUCACCGAAGGAGAUAACGAAGAGAUGGCACAUCAGAGGUAGACACCGCAUUACUUGAAGAUACAAGAUAAGUAUCAAGAGAAGAUGGGUUGUCAAAAGAAGAUGGCACAUCAAGAGGAAGACACCGAAGAGAUGGCACAUCAGAGGAAGACACCGAUCACUUGAAGAUACAACAUAAGUAUCAAGAGAAGAUGGGUUGUCAAAAUAAGAUGGCACAUCAAGAGAAUAAAGCAUUGCGCGGAAAAUCAUAGUCCACGACAACUGUCGGCGAAAGAAGCUCGGCGGAUAAGGCACGAUGGACGUAGAUCGACAAUGCAAAAGAAGGCCAGAAAAUCCUAUAGAAAACAACAAGGGCAAAUAGGCCACAAAAGUUGCUUAGAAAGGAUCGGGACCGGAGAAAAGGCCGACGAACAAAGGUAUGGUGGACUCGCAUGACGUGAUAACACAAAACAUCGACUAGAAAGCUAGAAGCAUGACAUGACAAAGGUAGCCGGAUUUGAUGGACGCAGCCGAAAAAUAUAGAAAGCUAGAAGCAUAGAAUAAACUCAAGACUAGAUGCAAUAGCAGCGUAAAAAAAAUCAGAGACCAAAACAGAGUAGAGCAGGCCAAGCGAUGGUAAACGGCCAUGGGGAGCACGAGAUGCAGCACACAGCCGGCCAUGUAGAAAGGCAGCAGCUAAUCGAACGCAUUACCACGCAGCAAGAUUGCAAACAGCGCAUGCAAGAAGCAGCAGCAGACAAGCAUGCAGGAACAGAGCAGCAGCCAGCCAGGAGGAGCACAUGCAGGUGGAGCAGCACCACGUAGCAGCAGGAACUGCAUCCCAUGCCGAAGGUAGAUGCAUGAGCAGUCACGNNNNNNNNNNNNNNNNNNNNNNNNNNNNNNNNNNNNNNNNNNNNNNNNNNNNNNNNNNNNNNNNNNNNNNNNNNNNNNNNNNNNNNNNNNNNNNNNNNNNNNNNNNNNNNNNNNNNNNNNNNNNNNNNNNNNNNNNNNNNNNNNNNNNNNNNNNNNNNNNNNNNNNNNNNNNNNNNNNNNNNNNNNNNNNNNNNNNNNNNNNNNNNNNNNNNNNNNNNNNNNNNNNNNNNNNNNNNNNNNNNNNNNNNNNNNNNNNNNNNNNNNNNNNNNNNNNNNNNNNNNNNNNNNNNNNNNNNNNNNNNNNNNNNNNNNNNNNNNNNNNNNNNNNNNNNNNNNNNNNNNNNNNNNNNNNNNNNNNNNNNNNNNNNNNNNNNNNNNNNNNNNNNNNNNNNNNNNNNNNNNNNNNNNNNNNNNNNNNNNNNNNNNNNNNNNNNNNNNNNNNNNNNNNNNNNNNNNNNNNNNNNNNNNNNNNNNNNNNNNNNNNNNNNNNNNNNNNNNNNNNNNNNNNNNNNNNNNNNNNNNNNNNNNNNNNNNNNNNNNNNNNNNNNNNNNNNNNNNNNNNNNNNNNNNNNNNNNNNNNNNNNNNNNNNNNNNNNNNNNNNNNNNNNNNNNNNNNNNNNNNNNNNNNNNNNNNNNNNNNNNNNNNNNNNNNNNNNNNNNNNNNNNNNNNNNNNNNNNNNNNNNNNNNNNNNNNNNNNNNNNNNNNNNNNNNNNNNNNNNNNNNNNNNNNNNNNNNNNNNNNNNNNNNNNNNNNNNNNNNNNNNNNNNNNNNNNNNNNNNNNNNNNNNNNNNNNNNNNNNNNNNNNNNNNNNNNNNNNNNNNNNNNNNNNNNNNNNNNNNNNNNNNNNNNNNNNNNNNNNNNNNNNNNNNNNNNNNNNNNNNNNNNNNNNNNNNNNNNNNNNNNNNNNNNNNNNNNNNNNNNNNNNNNNNNNNNNNNNNNNNNNNNNNNNNNNNNNNNNNNNNNNNNNNNNNNNNNNNNNNNNNNNNNNNNNNNNNNNNNNNNNNNNNNNNNNNNNNNNNNNNNNNNNNNNNNNNNNNNNNNNNNNNNNNNNNNNNNNNNNNNNNNNNNNNNNNNNNNNNNNNNNNNNNNNNNNNNNNNNNNNNNNNNNNNNNNNNNNNNNNNNNNNNNNNNNNNNNNNNNNNNNNNNNNNNNNNNNNNNNNNNNNNNNNNNNNNNNNNNNNNNNNNNNNNNNNNNNNNNNNNNNNNNNNNNNNNNNNNNNNNNNNNNNNNNNNNNNNNNNNNNNNNNNNNNNNNNNNNNNNNNNNNNNNNNNNNNNNNNNNNNNNNNNNNNNNNNNNNNNNNNNNNGACGAGAUCCAGCGGCUGGAGCAGGAACGGGAAAAAAAGUUGGAUCGUGAGGACGAGUUGCGACGUCCGGAGACCUAAACCUAGGCUCUGAUACCAUGUUAGGAAAGCAACUUAUCUGUAUUGAAGGCCUAAGGGGCAUAUAUAUAUAUUACACAUGACUUGAGGUGCAAGGAAAGUAAACAUAGACUAAUAAGGACUCCUAGACUAAUACUAAUAGACUAAUAAGGACUCCUAGACUAAUAUUAAUACUUCCUAACAAAUAUGACCAACAGAAGAAGCAUUCAAUUCUGCAUCUCAUGGUAACUCACCUUUCGUAGCCUUGAAGAACUGAUAAGGCUCCAACCGGUAACUGCACAAUAGGGUAGCCUUUCGCUCACCCAUUUGCCCACCACUCAGGUUUGGUGUAGUGGUCAGAUCUUCCAAACAGGCCUGACACUCAGCAGCUGAAAUUCCAGGUAAACAGUCAGCAUAACUGUACAGUUUGUAUUUGCAGGCACGCUCAUCACGAUCCUUUUCUCCCGUGGCAUGCCUUUGAGGAGAAUCUGCUGCCUUUCUUGCCACGUCUGCAAUAAGUGUACUGGCAUCCUUCUUGAAUGCCUUGCAGUAGGCAGGUAUUGGGGGACCAUCCGCCAUAAGGUCUGACUUCCAAUAUCCAAGAUGAAUUUUGAUGUUCUUCUCAGCGAACCAGAGACUGCACGUGUCAUAGUAGAUAGAAACACUCUUCCUGAAUGUGCAUACAACCCGGGCGUCCUGGAAGGCCCGAGUGAGACAUCUCUCGCAGUCAUACGCCUCUGUGUCACCAUGACAUCUUGCCAGAGCAUGUAUUCUGUCCUGGCUGGAACCAGCUAUCUGCCUGUAAAACAAAGUGGGGGAAGAGGCGACCGCCUCGGGCAGCGUGGUGGACAGUUUUUCAAGGUUCUGCUGGUAUUUGCUGGGCGCAGUGUAGUUGCCAUCGUCACAGAGAUAAUCCCAAUAGCCAGUCAUCGGGCUUGCUGCUGUGACAGUGGUAAGAAGAACCAGUGCAACCAUGACGGCAUGACCUGAAAAAGAUAGAUGAGUACCAAGUUAGUGACAUAUGAAAAGUGAUGCAGUUCAAGAAGCACAAACAUGAACUCAACAAAUUUAGCUAGUAAUCUUGUGAAAAUGAGAUUUUCAGUCAUUCCCUUAUGCUGCUUUCUCAGUUUUAUUCAAAUAGAUUCUAAAUGAUCUAGUUAAACUGGCAGUUUCCACAAUAUUCAGUUCAGUGAACAACAUGAUCACACUACAUAUAACUCCACUCUUCCAGAAACAAUAUUCUUGGCUAUUUAAGAGGCAAUAAUAAUAAUAAUAUUCUUCCAAAGUGAGUCCUAAUUCAGUUUUCCAACGAUGCAAAUUCUACAACUAAGCUUGCAUUCUGCAGUAUCUGCUUUGCUCUGCUCAAGUUGAGGACUGCUUUUGAAGACUGCAACUGAUGUGGUUGUGUUAGUUCAUCUGUGUUGUGUGAAUGCAUAAUGGCUGAAGAAUGUUUUGUCUGAAGAAUGUUCAUCUGUAGCAAGGAAAUAAUUAAAUGUUUUGGCUGCAUGGUAAAUUGCAUGCAGAAUGUGACUUGUGUCAUGAAAUUGUAUCCAGAGUAGCAACUGGCCGUUUUGGAGAGCAAAAAUGAAUGAAAAACAGGGAGGAUGCUGCAGAACAGAAACAGAGGUGGGCUGGAAAUGCAUGCUGCUGCCUGUGCAUGUGCGUUAUUCAGUGUUAGUGCAUGCAGAACUCUCCAACUGGGACUUGGAUGACCAGAAGACAGACUCUGAAGGUAUAAAUGGUGCUGCAGUAGGUUGCAUUCUGCUCCCUCUGUACCAUAAUAAUUAUAGUUGGGGAGAACUAUAAUUAUUAUGGUACAGAGGAAAUACAAGUUUCAGUAUCUGCACAGCAUAUAGGAGAACAUAGACAACCUUCACAACUUUGUUUAUUCGCAAUGCCUGUAAUUUUCCGAGCAAUUCGUCAUGUGCUAACAAUUUUCCCAACCAUUUGUUCUGUUUAAUCAAAUGGCUUCUUUUCCUUACUAAUUACAUAUUGUUAUUUUAUAUGGUAUUCUGGAACUCGAGGAAUUUUACUAUGGUCACUUUAGACAACAAACUAUAUGAUUAUCCAUGCAUGCUUUCUACUAUGAUACUUAAACUACAGAAUACAGGGUGGUCUUGCUCACCUCUAUACAUUUGCGUCCCCAUUUUUUCCCUGCCCUGGUUCACAACCCUGCCUUAGUUCCCAGCCUUCGCCAAAGAUCUGUCUGCAAUUAAACAAUGUUAUAAAAUGAGUCAAAUAAAACUCUCUGAUACCAUGUGAUAAAAAAAUUAAUCAAAAUGAUAAUAAAAGACAACUCCUUUUGCACAAAUACAGUAAUAAAUUAAAGUUGGCUGUUUACCCUGUUGUGUGCGUUAGUGGGCCUAUCUGUUAUGCUAACCAUUUUCAGAGGUACCAAUUAUAUCAAAUUGAUACCAUGUGAUAAAAAUUUGUAUCAAAUUGAUAAUAAAAGACAACUGCUUUCCUCUAUAAUUACUAUUUUGUUCUAAAAAGUGAGGUCUUAGAGCUCUUUUACAAGUAUACCAAUGGAGACAUUCCUUUCUGGUUGACAAGUGUCUAUGCCUUUUUAUUAUUAGCAACUUCUUUCUUUUAUCAUUUCAAACAUUUGCAGUGCCAACCAUUUCAAUCAGACAACUCAUGCUUUAUUUGUGUUAAAGCAUAAACGUGCACAAGGAGUUUGAGCUCACUUGUCCGUACACUCCUGUGCAGCCUAUGUCCACCUCCUUCACCAGCUCCACCGAAAAAUCUAUCUGCAAAUACAUAUAGGAAAAUCAAACAAACUAAAACAUCAAAGUCUAACUUCAACCAGCCAAUUUGAUUGAGGGAAUCAUUUUCGCAUGAUACAUUUCUGUGCUUCCUCAUUUCAAUUCAAUUCAAUUGGUGGAGUUGCUGAUAUAAACCAGACUUGAUUUGACGACCAAACAAGCUUAUGAUAAUAUGUAAAUAAUUCUUGUAUUAAGAGAAAUCAUGCUUGUUAGGAAUCAAGGGGAAAGCUAGUACACCUUCAUAAGUUGCUAACACACACAUCACCGUAGAAACCUCAGAAGGUCACAGAAAUCAUUAAAAAUAAUGACAGAACUAUGAGCCUAAAAUGCAAGACAUUUCAGUAUGCGGAUUAACCCACACUUCGAAAAAUGAAAGAGAAAAGGCCAUGUUGUAAAUAGUAGCAAUUUCAAGUUCUCAUGUGAAUAGUGACUUUGGUUGUUAUUCAUAGUAGGAUAUAUGCAUUAUUGUUUUUUAAGGUGGGAACAGAAUCCAGAUUUACAAAUGAUAGAUACAUCUUUUUGUCAAUAUUAGCAUUUUUCCUAGAAACAAAUCAUGAGUUUUUGGGGUGCUACCAUGCAUGCGUUUUGAGCAUUGUAGCACCUUAAGCACUAAGAGCGGCAAGUACCUUUUCAAGAUAGCUUUGGAGUCAUUUAGUGCCAAUUUUGUAGAAAGUGGGAGAACAGGAAACAAGUUUGGUUUUGAACCCCUUAUAAGCCAUACAAAAAAAUAUUACAAGGAAAACUUGUAUAGCAUUGGUUAGCUAGAAAUUUUGGCUCUACAUAUAUAACAUCAGAACUCUACUCNGUCCUUUUUCCUUGCCAAUAUCCAGACGUGUUACGGAAGUGUACUGAGGACAGGGUUUGGCUAAGCAUGUAUGUGUUCUCUAGUUUAUGAGCUAGUCGAACAGCACCGAGAGCGUUUCUCGGAGUAAACUCCCAUGUGAGCAUGUGGAAAAACAUUUGGCACUUGACAACAAUUAGUCAAGCUAGCUCACCACUACUGGUCUGCAGCUAGUGUAUGCCCCUCCCCCAUGGUGACCUUUCUUGGAGAAGAAUCGGUACCUGUGAAAUCAUUUUAAAUCAGUGAAGCAAAUACUUAGAUCUUAACAAAAAUGUACUGUAUUUCGUAUGAAAACAAGCUUUCUCGGAGACACAAAUAUGACUUCUAUCAGCAAGGGAAAUCUUGUCUGAAUACUACAGCUUUCAUGGCCCUUUUCCUGCUCUGUUUCUUGUUCUGAUCCUGCCCGCUUGGGCAUGUAAAUAACUUUGUUCCUGCCUUUUUAAUACAACAAGACGCAAAGCUUUUGCGCUUUCUCAAAAAUUAAAACACUACAGUUUUCAUGCCAUCAAUGCCAAGAAAAACUGCAAUCAUGGUGUCUAGUCAUUUAUUUAGCAGUAUAUAUAGAUUAUAAUAAUUAGGUAAUAGUGGUAGCAUCUGAGGGACUAUUAGGACACCUUUAGGAAUUUCACGAACUUCGCUGGAACAAGGGGAAAGACGAUAGAAUGAAAAAGAAACUUGCUUGGAGGCCCAGUUUGCCAAAAUAAAAUGGCACACUCGAAGAUAGGUUUAUCUACUUAAUUUCAGUAUGAGCUAUGAGCCUAGCAUGAAAGAAAUUUCAGUAUCCAAAUUUAACCCGUACUUUGGAAAACAAAAGAGAAAUGGCCAUGUUGUAGACAGUAGCACUUUCAAGUUCUCAUGUGAUUGGUGACUUUCUCUAUUAUUCAUAGCAGGGUAUGUAGUUUUGUAAGGUGUGAGUACAAUUUAACUUUAUGCAUGAAAGAUGCAUCAUCUAUCAAUAUUGUCAAUUUUUCCAAAAACAAAUUAUAAAUUUUCAAGGUAUUCAGGACAGGGUUUAGCUAAGAGGGUGUUUGGAUCACUAGAGACUAGAGACUAGAGACUAGUAGUAGUCACCUUUAGUCAGUAAACCUCCAAACACCCCUGACUAAUGGGUGACUAAAACUAGUUUAGUCCCUAGUCACCCCACCCCCAACUAAAAGUGACUAAAGUCUCUUCUCCAAUUAAUGGCUCAUCCUCCCAUGCUGGCACGCCAAUGGAAGGGAGAUAAAUGAGAAUAAUUUAAUACAGAGACAUUUAAUGCUGACUAGUAGUAGUCACCUUCCAAACAGGGCCUGACUAAAAACUUCUAGUCUGACUACUACUAGUCACAUGACUAGAGAGUAUCCAAACACCCUCUAAGCAUUUCCCCCUGCAUUUUGGUCACUACGUGUUAUGUAGUUUGUGAAUAGUCAAAACAGCACCGAAAGCGUUCCUCAGAAUAAACACCCAUGUGAGGAAAAACAUUUAGCGCUUGAGAACCAUUAGUCAAGCUAGCUCACCACUACUGGUCUGCAGCUAGUGUAUGUGGACCGGAUACCCUUGUUGGAGAAGAAUCAGUACCUGCAAAAUCAUAUUAAAUUAGUGGACCGGACACUUUGAUCUUUAAUAGGGAGAGCUAAAGAGCAAAAAUUUGAGGAGGCCAAAUUUCAUGCUCAUUUGUCUGAUAUUUAUCCUUUCAAUUUAAUGUGCAAGCUCACAAUAGCAAAAUAUGUACUCCUAUUUGAUGAGCAAACAAGCUUUCUCGGAGACACAAAUAUGGCCUCUAUGAGCAAUAGAAUCAUGUCUGAAUGCUACUACAGUUUUCAUGCCAUUGAUCCUAACUAUCAAGAAAAAACCCGCAAUCAUGGCCAGUCAUUCACUUGGCAGUAUAUAUAGCUUAUAUAGUAACUAUGUAACAGUACCAGCAUUUGAAAUACUACUAGGACAAUUUUAGGACUUUCACUGGGAUAGGAGAAAAGGCGAUAUAAUGGAAAAGAAAACUUGCUCGGAGGCCCAGUUUGUCAUACUAAAAUGUACUCGCUCUGUAAACUAAUAUAAAAGCGUUUAGAUCACUACUUUACGGAGGGAGUAACACUCAAAUAUGGCCAGUCAUUUUCCAUCACAGUAUCAUAUAGAAGUAUAGAACACAAAAGAUCGUUUUCCUUUACUGAGUUCUUCUUCUGGUAUCUUGCUUUUGGUUCAUAUGUGGCAUAAGAAUGGCAGCCACAAUCGAACACACCAGGUCAUCCCACUAUUCUCCAUGGACUCCACAUUAUUGGUUCCAGACUCCUAGUAAGUAAAAUCGCUCACCACAUGUUCACGACAAAUUAAAGACAAAAGCAAUAUUGACACAAAACUGAUUGUGUAUCCUGCAUCCUUAAAGAGAAGCGAUCCCAUAAAUAAAUUAUUGGAACCUGGGUUAUGAUAUAUAUGAAUAUAGGACCAUGGAACCACAAACACUGAUAACACUGAACAAGGAUAAAUAAAACUAGUGACACAAGACCAUUUUUCAAGGGCUAAUAUAGGGUAGACAUUCAAGUUAGUUUGCUUCUUUUAUAUAUAAGGAAAGAACUUACUCUCGCGUCAUGUGCCGAUACACACACACAAUAAAUUUAAAACAUGAGAAUAAAAUUACAAUAGAAAUGUAGCCAAAAAGAUGUAUAUUUAUUCAAUAAGGUUCUGAUGAGGGUUUUUUUCUAAACGGAUGAGGUGCGAUGGAAGAUUUUGUUGAGUAGAAAUGUAAGUUAACACUUAUAAUACAAAAAAAAUACCAAAUAAAAGUCCAAGUCAUUAUGCAUAUGCAUCGUAUUAUUUUAGUUGAAUAUUUGUAAAUAUUGAAUUAUCACGACCGGUUCAACUUCAAAAACAAAUAGCAUAUUUACAAAGUUAACACCAAACAAUACCACGACAUUUGGUACGGCGGUAGAUAUUUUAUUUCACAUACCGCUUAGGUAACAGACUACAAGCAGAAGAAAGAUUACACGAGACUAUCAAAUAAAUUUGAGACCCCUGCUUAACUAACCAUUUAAUUGGAUCAUUGGCGAUGUUAUCGUCACUAGUCCAGAGCAAUAGUGGCAGCUCACCUGCAGCAGCUGCUAACGAGCUGGCUUAAAUGCGGCCAACUAAAUAGACAAGCCUUGUUUUUAUUUUUUUGCAUAUAUAGAACUAAAAACUAAUUUUGAACAAUAUAUACAAUAAUAAUUCAUAUGUUAUAAAAUAGAAAAUGUUUGUAUAUUAGGAAAGAUGUUCAUGUUAUUAAUUUUGUGUUUUUAUAGAAAAUGCUUCAUGUUAUUUGAAAAAAGUAGGAAAAAGGAAGACGAAAAGAGAAACAAAAAUAGAAUUGAAGGAAAAAUAACAUAUUGCUCUGGCCCCCACCGGUCAUGUCACUCAUGAGGCCACGGAGUUUACACCCACAAGAUAUAAAUAAUAUUUUCCCUUUUGCAUACAUUUAUCAUUAAACAAUUAUGGCAUUAAGAAGGGAUCGUGGCUUGAUUGUAUGGUUUACGAUUCAAAAUAUUGUCAAUAUUUGAUUUAGCAACUUAGAUUUACCUAAACAGUUAUUAGAAAAUAAUCACAGAUAUAGCCUAAUUGCCAUACAUGUGCACGAAUUACGACGUGUUCUUGUUCCUCUAGAAAUGACUCAUAUUUUUGAAAGAGUAAGAACUAACAUGUGUAUACUUGCUAGAAUGGCGAGAUGGAUUUUUUAUUUACUUAUUUUCUGAAAUAUUUGAAUCCUUGAGAACAGAAUCAGCACGCAUAAAUAUGACAUACGGAAAUUAAAGAACACAUUUUUUUGAGAUAAAUUAUUGAAGAAGAAAUAAGAGAAGUAAAAUACACGGAGCAAAAAUCUGUAGGAUUGAAUGAGAUUGGCCCUCUAGGCAGCUUCCAACACAUUGGCUCAUGGAGGAGUUCUUGGGCGUCACGCUUCUUGCCAUUGCCUAGGAUCGGCCCUGCCUCACACUUUUUGGCCUUUUUGCCAUGGCCUGGGGUCGGCCCCGCCUCACACUUUUUGGCCUUUUUGCCAUGGGCUAGGGUAGGCCCUGCCUCACACUUUUCGGCCUUUUUGCCAUGGCCUAGGGUCGGCCCUGCCUCACACUUUUCGGCCUUUUUGCCAUGGCCUAGGGUCGGCCCUGCUUCAGACACUUUCUGGCCUUUUUGCCAUGGCCUAGGGUCGGCCCUGCUUCAGACACCAGAUGUAGCAUCAUUCGUUCAAGUGCAGCAUCUAUAUACCUCUAAAUGGAGUAUAAAUAAUUACAUCUCUUGUUCUUUUGCCAAGAAUGGGCAAACAUCACCACCAGGCAUCAGUAAAUAAAAACAAAAUUAAAAUACAACAUAUAGCAUUGUGGGCUCCUCUACCUCGUCUCUUCUUCUUUUGCCAAGAACGGGCAAACACCAUGGAUGGGUGCACUCAUGACUUGGGUGUCUCUUCUUCUUUUGCCAAGAACGGGCAAACGCCAUGGGUGGGUGUAGUCAGCAUGAUUGGAUGGGCGCAUGAACGCCCAUUGGAUGGGCGCAUGAACGCCCAUCCCAAACAGCUUGCUCUCAAGAGGCAUCCUUCAUGGCAGCUGGCUGGACCAUGGCGAAAGGUGCGGCGGCCUAGGACCCAUCCAUAGGAUUGAGUGGAGGCUGCUGGCUGCUGUCACAGCAUGCCGAAGCACCAGCAUCGCCAUUGGACAUUAUAUUGAUGAUGACUUGCCUGCAAUUUAGGAAGGCAAAGUUUCUGAACUAGCAAACAGAGAAAAAACUAAAGCUUGAGAUCCAACUUGCACACCUUGCUGGUAGUGCUAGUGAUGGUAAAGUCCAACCCAUCAGCCCUUCAGAACCCUGUAAGUAAGGGCUGCUUAUGGGCAGCCUAGGGCCCAGUGGCGGAGCUAUGUGCAAUGCUGAGGGGGCCACUGCCCCCUUGCUGGUAGUGUAGUGAUGGUAAAGUUCAACCCAUCAGCCCUUCAGAACCCUGUAAGAGGGCUGCCUAUGGGGCCAGGGCGAUAAGUGUGACAGCCUAGGGGCCAGUGGCAGAGCUAUGUGCAAUGCUGAGGGGGCCGCUGCCCCCCCCCCCCUGGUGGAGCAUGGCUGAAGAAUCUUCAUCAAGUUCCGCCACUGAGUGGUGGAGCAUGACUGAACAAUCUUCAUCAAGUUCCGCCACUGAGUGGUGGAGCAUGACUGAACAAUCUUCUUCAAGUUCUGCCACUGAGUGGUGGAGCAUGACUGAACAAUCUUCUUCAAGUUCUGCCACUGAGUGGUGGAGCAUGACUGAACAAUCUUCAUCAAGUUCCGCCACUGAGUUGUGGUGCAUGACUGAACAUUAAUUGCCUGAAGUGAGAACAAUGAAACUUGAGGCUCUUUGUUGUGGAGGAGAUCGUCAACGACGUUGUCGCGAUCCAUUGCAUGCAUCCACCACACAGGCUCAAGAAAGCCGCCAUGUUAUUUGCAGAAGCAGAUCGAUGUGAGAACCGGAGCCUCACAUGUGCUUGUUGAUCCCUAAUUUUGGAUCUUGGUUUUUAAUUCUGCUUGGUUUGUUUGAAACUACAGGUGUUGUGCCCGGGAUUGACUUCCGCGAACUUAGACCUGAAGACUAAAAGAUUGAUGUGGUAAGAUGACAUUCAAUUUGUUUAGUGAUGUACUUGUUUGUUCUCUUUAUUUGUGUCUUCCUCUUGUAGAUGUGAUCGUUGUUGUGAUGAAGAUAUUUUCUUUUUGAAAAGAUAGGAGUGUCUGUGAUUUUUUGUUGAUGUCUUUCGGUUUCGAGUAUGGUUCUUGUAGCCUAGGAGUGAUAAUACUCGCAGGGAAUGGGAAACAGACAUGUAGUGUACAUGUUUUAAAUUAUGAAAUAGUUUCAUUAAAACUAAUCUAUGACAGUGUUUGGUUCAGGUUGCUUCAAAAACUUCUAGAGUAUGAAACAUUAUUGGGGUUCUGCAUUUCUUGAGGACAUUUAAAUGUUUCUUGAAGGAAAUGGACUACAAAGGAAUAUUUUAACUUGUUUCUUUUCUUCUGGCAGAUUCUAACUUGCUUUAACAUAAGAUUCAUGCCCAUUAUUAAAGGGACAUUCUUAUAAUGCGAUGUGAAACUAUGUGUUUUCUUGUAAAGUUAUCAUGUGGCCUUUUUAGAGUUUGGAUGAAGGGGAAUAAAAUUCAUAUCAAUUUGCAGGUUUUAACAGUUAUAAAAUAUAAUUAAUAUAUUAUUGGUAAAACCAGUGCUUAAAUUUAUUCAAGAAAAACAAGCGGUCAUGGAAAUAGGGAUGGAGGAGUAACAUGCUUUUCCAUUGUAAAAAGGACAACUCUUCAUCCCCAAGAGAAUAUUCUUCUAUUCAUAGUACUGGACGGAAACCUUUGCUGAAGGCCAUAGGAAGGUAGCUUUUUCAACAAUAAGGUCAAUCGCGGUAGCGAAAAGGGGAGGGCGGAGGGAAUGCGGGCGUGUUUUGUUAGGACCCCGAUAACGCACGAACGUUCGGGAUUUGACGAUGGCAAAUCAAAUGUUUUCAAUGGCAAUUUUAGUGACGCGAGCAUUGUAACUCCGUGCUCAGUGUAUUUUUUGCCAGAAAAUUGCCGUGUGUGUCAACUAAACUUGCCAUCCUCGCAUCACUAAAACUGCCAUCGAAAAAGUUCGAUUUGUGAUGGUCAAAUCCUGAACGUUUGGGAUUUAUCAUUUCCACUUUGUUAACAUGCUGAUGGAAAUGGGUAGUGUGGAAACAUAUAACUUAUUCUUGGGGACUAUCUGUACUAUAUUUCUCCUUGAUAUGUUACUUUGGGACUGAAGGUUUAUGUUAGGGUUUGGAGACAGUGCCAACUAAGGUAUGCAACUAUGACAGGGUAAAACAUUUUUUACUUCCAAGAUGAUAUCAACUGAAAUAUUUCUGUGGGCUGAAAACAGACAGGAAAAGGGGGGAACCUGACAGGGAAAGUAUUUCCUAUCGGUCGCCCGUCAGGAAAAGACGACAGGGAUAGCUUGACAGGGAAAUUCGCUUUUGCCUGUCAGUCGGGCUUAUUGAAGAGUAAAUGACAAAGGCAUGCUAACUUAUAGCAAUCAAACCAGCAAUGCUUCCACCCGUAUUGAAGAGUAAAUGCUUUGGAAUCACUCAUGCAUUCGUGGCAUGCUAGCUUGCCAUGGGUACCCCACCCAGCAAACAUACCAAAGGCGGGAAAGUCGUGGACUGACCAUAGAAAUGCCUCUUUCAUUGGAAAGUUUACCUUGUGAUAAGUAUCCCAUGUUUCAAGCCCCGCCCACAACUGCAUCAGUUCAUCAGCUAAAGGUUGCAUUAGGACACUCAAAUUUUUACCAGGAUGUUCACGACCAGGCAUAACAAGGCUAAGGAAUAAAUACUCUGGUUUCAAGAGAAUACCAGGUGGAAGGUUUAAUGGAGCUACAAAAACAGGCCAGCAAGUAUAUGUACCAUCAUUCAACUUGUAUGGUGUAAAACCAUCACCAGCUAUGACAAGACGGAUAUUUCUACAAUCUUCGGCAAAUUCUGGGAAGUCCUUGUCAAACCCUUGACAAGCUUCACCAUCAAUAGGGUGCCUUUAGGGGGGGGGGGGGUAUCUCAAGAUUUCACCACUUCAUGUGGGCCUUUAUUAACGAAAAAGGCUUUCGCCCCGCUUUAUAUAUAAAGCAACUAUCAACAACAACCCGGACAAAUGCACGCCACCACAACACACGCACACACCCAAUGCAGGAUACAUAAGCGCUGAGCACAGCAACACCACCCCUAGCACUACAAGAGCAACCAGGGGUUUCAACCGUGAACACGCCAUCACGAAGAAAUGACCCGAUCUGAGGAUCAGAAUUUUCCCUGGAGCAACACGAAAGGCAAUGAGAGCCGCAACGACGCCUUCAAGAAGGGAACGAGCUUCGCCGCCGCCAAUCCGUCCGCGGCCAACACUCACCGCCAUCGAACGCCACACCCCGGCUACCAUGCCGCCCACAUGGCCAUGGCCAUCGGGCUGCACCAAGCCACUAGCUUUGCCCAUGAGCACCGGGCUACCACCACCAGGCCGCUUCCCUAGCAUCCAAGACCUUGACACCACCUCACCCGAGACCCGCCGCCACCCCAACCAAAGAGACGAGCGGAAAGGUCCUGCCUUUCGCACCCCUGGGCGGCCCCAGCACCAAGACCCAAUAGGCUGGCCAAAACUGGCCUCCAUCGACCCAUCCUGCAGCACCGGGCACAAGACGAGCUCGGUCUUGUUGCAUCGGGCGCGAGACAAGGUCAGACAUGCAACAGCGAGACGAGGUCGGUCUUGUAGUACNNNNNNNNNNNNNNNNNNNNNNNNNNNNNNNNNNNNNNNNNNNNNNNNNNNNNNNNNNNNNNNNNNNNNNNNNNNNNNNNNNNNNNNNNNNNNNNNNNNNNNNNNNNNNNNNNNNNNNNNNNNNNNNNNNNNNNNNNNNNNNNNNNNNNNNNNNNNNNNNNNNNNNNNNNNNNNNNNNNNNNNNNNNNNNNNNNNNNNNNNNNNNNNNNNNNNNNNNNNNNNNNNNNNNNNNNNNNNNNNNNNNNNNNNNNNNNNNNNNNNNNNNNNNNNNNNNNNNNNNNNNNNNNNNNNNNNNNNNNNNNNNNNNNNNNNNNNNNNNNNNNNNNNNNNNNNNNNNNNNNNNNNNNNNNNNNNNNNNNNNNNNNNNNNNNNNNNNNNNNNNNNNNNNNNNNNNNNNNNNNNNNNNNNNNNNNNNNNNNNNNNNNNNNNNNNNNNNNNNNNNNNNNNNNNNNNNNNNNNNNNNNNNNNNNNNNNNNNNNNNNNNNNNNNNNNNNNNNNNNNNNNNNNNNNNNNNNNNNNNNNNNNNNNNNNNNNNNNNNNNNNNNNNNNNNNNNNNNNNNNNNNNNNNNNNNNNNNNNNNNNNNNNNNNNNNNNNNNNNNNNNNNNNNNNNNNNNNNNNNNNNNNNNNNNNNNNNNNNNNNNNNNNNNNNNNNNNNNNNNNNNNNNNNNNNNNNNNNNNNNNNNNNNNNNNNNNNNNNNNNNNNNNNNNNNNNNNNNNNNNNNNNNNNNNNNNNNNNNNNNNNNNNNNNNNNNNNNNNNNNNNNNNNNNNNNNNNNNNNNNNNNNNNNNNNNNNNNNNNNNNNNNNNNNNNNNNNNNNNNNNNNNNNNNNNNNNNNNNNNNNNNNNNNNNNNNNNNNNNNNNNNNNNNNNNNNNNNNNNNNNNNNNNNNNNNNNNNNNNNNNNNNNNNNNNNNNNNNNNNNNNNNNNNNNNNNNNNNNNNNNNNNNNNNNNNNNNNNNNNNNNNNNNNNNNNNNNNNNNNNNNNNNNNNNNNNNNNNNNNNNNNNNNNNNNNNNNNNNNNNNNNNNNNNNNNNNNNNNNNNNNNNNNNNNNNNNNNNNNNNNNNNNNNNNNNNNNNNNNNNNNNNNNNNNNNNNNNNNNNNNNNNNNNNNNNNNNNNNNNNNNNNNNNNNNNNNNNNNNNNNNNNNNNNNNNNNNNNNNNNNNNNNNNNNNNNNNNNNNNNNNNNNNNNNNNNNNNNNNNNNNNNNNNNNNNNNNNNNNNNNNNNNNNNNNNNNNNNNNNNNNNNNNNNNNNNNNNNNNNNNNNNNNNNNNNNNNNNNNNNNNNNNNNNNNNNNNNNNNNNNNNNNNNNNNNNNNNNNNNNNNNNNNNNNNNNNNNNNNNNNNNNNNNNNNNNNNNNNNNNNNNNNNNNNNNNNNNNNNNNNNNNNNCUCCUAAGGCUGCGUUUGGAACGUUGUUUUUUGCUACCUUUAUAACAUUUUACACUUCUAUUACACUGGCCUACAACCAAAAUACAUGUCAAGGAAUGUAUUUGCAUUCCGCUUCCCAACCUCCGCUUGAAUUGUUGUUUUUCUCCCACCCUUGUAAACUGGCUGCCAUAGCCAAAAAUUUCAAAAGUACAAACUUUCAACAACAGCAAAAUUUCAGCAACACACAGUGCACUUUUAACAACAUACCCAGAUGCUCAGGACUCGUACGAUACUGCAAAGGAUCUCAACCACAUCCAACCAUACCCAGAUGCUCCCCAAAACACAAACAAAGAGAAGCUCAGUCUGCGUUAAGAUUUGCAUAUACAUAUGGACUGAAAAUCCAAAAAACGCAAGGCUUGGCAGCCAGGGAAGCGAUUUGACGAAAAUUAAGGGCAGCACUUCAGCUCCACAAGUUUACUGAAUCGCAUCACGACUGAAAGCGUGCAACAAUCAUAUCAAGUUCAUGAUGUUCGAGGCAAAAAUCUAUCAUCACACCAUAAAAGAGUUAUAUUUCAAGGUUUAUCCGAUAUCAUGGAAACUCUAAACAUCCUCUUCUCCUGCAUUAAAGCAGCUGAUGACUUCCUGACUGUUCGAAUUCACUCGUGCAGGGUGCCCACAAUGUCGUCCUCUCUGUAAAGGAGGUACCUGAAAAAUUUUAGGUGCAUUAGAAGUAGAUUAAUGAUUAUGAAAACAAAGCUGGGAGAGUGCAGUGCUGCUUAAGUAGAUUAAUGAUUAUGAAAGGUGCCCAGGUGUUUUCAGGUGCCCAGAAUUCACUCAUGCAGGGUGCCCAAGGCUGCAAUUUGCUGCUCUAACUACAUCAAAAUAAAAGUAGAUUAAUGAUUAUGAAAGGUCUACAAACUACAGUGAUGCUUAAGUUAAGCCAGUAUCCUUUUCUGGUAUGUGACAAAGGUUAAGUUAAGCUGGGAAAGGAGCAAAUACAAUAGCUUGUUUUGGAGCUACCAUAUCCAUCAAACAAAACAUGGAAACUCUACCCAUAUCCAUAUGUUCUCGUUUAUGUGAGCAUUUUUUUCCCUGAAGGAGUACAUGCACGUUGUGAUUUCCUUCUCGUUUCUUAUGUUUUUUUAUUAUUCUGAAGGAGAUCAACUUGUACAUGAUGCACACAGCCUGAUCUGGCAGCCAACAAUAAUAAAUCUUCUGCUACUAUCAGAUUGUUAGGAGAUGAAGUGCACCAAACUUAUCUGCCAGUUGCCAGUACUGCAUCUAGUAUUUAGGUCAGAUGUAGAUUCAGUAUAAACUAAAAGGAGUUUGGGCAAGAUCUGGUGAGGCUUUUCCACACCAUAUUGAUUAACAUAACUGACCACCCAACUAGACUAUGAAUCCUCGAUUCGUUGAAAAAAGAAAAUCAGGAUUCACAAUCAAACCAACAAGAGAAGAACAAGAGACUCUCUAUAUUUAACCCUCUCUAUAUUUUUCCUUUAUAUACAGAACCGAACUUUAAUUUCCCCGACUCAUGUACGAGUAGCAACUAAACGCAUUCCACUGUGGAUUGAGCUGUGCUAGUUACAGAACAGUGUUGCCACUUGUGCUUAUAGGUGGAAUAUCAUAGAGACAGGGCAGGAAUAUAUGUUGCUGCUUAAUUUAAUUUAAUUUAGCAUCAGAUUCUGGAGAUCAAUUUUGCAUCUUAAUUUAAUUUAGCAUCAGAUUCUGCGCUUCUAGUGAGGCUUUUUAUCUGCAUGUUUUCACGUCCAGCUGAACAACUGAUCUUGAUCAAUGAUAAGCACCCACCUCUACCAAAAAGUAAAGUAACACCUAUUUUCUUCCGCAUCAUCCAGAUUUGGAGCUAGUGAGAUGUUGUAAUGAAUCUUUGAGAGGAGAGGGAGCAAGAACAAUACCUAUGAUCAAAGCACCAGAUUGAUUGAAGGAAUAUCGCCAGGUGAAAACCGAGCUGCAAAGGAAUACUCGCUGAAAUAAGCCUUGGAAACUUAUCUUUAGUGGGGAGAAUAAAUGCAGAAAACCAAGUUUUAUGGGACUUACAAGUAGGAGGCUGAGGACUGAUCUUGUCGACUUCCUUCUUUAACCACAUACCCCGCAGUCUUGAGUUGUAACCGAGGAAAAUCUCACAGUUUGCUGCAUCUUUGAAAACAUCAGAGGCAAAGAUUUUCACCUCGUCGGGCACAUCUUCCAUAUCAUUCAAGAUUUCCAAGCAUUCUGUAAUUGAGGGUUGUUUUCCUUGUUGUGACACUCUCUCCUUCUUAGUAGCUUGCUCUUUCUUGAAAUUCACAUACGCCAUCAUUGAAUCUUCAAGGCGUUGUACAGAUGUGGCACUUUUCUGUUUUUUGGGUCUCCUUCCUUUAGCACUUGAUUCACUUAUUUGUGGAUGGUCUCCAUCAGCAUCUUCACUGCCAAAUUCUUCCUCGUCACGGGCAGUGUUUUCUCUUUCAGCAUCUCCAUCAACAUCAUCCCAUGCAGGAAUAUCAUUGAUGUCAAUUAUCGAAGGAGUCCUCAUGCUGUCAUCGCUUUGAUCUCUUGUAUUUCUCUUGCUGGAACUGGCAACCAUCUUCUCCUUUGCUCCAAAGUUGCUACCUGAUUUUGUGAUAGUCGGAGGCUUCCUUGAUGUGAGACAAUGCCUUCCUUGAGCAAUGUGCCCUUCAUAGAGCACACCCAAUGCCUCAUACAAGGGGAACCUUUUUUCCUUCAUACAUUUUGAGCUUUGAAUCCUCCUAUAUAAUCAAUAGAAAGGUUGAGCAAAUCAUGCAUAGGCAAAGGAAAGUACAUGCACUACAAGGAAUAAAAACUUACCGCAAUGAUCUCCUCCCAUUUUUCAGGUGUUGUGUUAAUCACACAUGCAACAUCAUUCCACGAUAUUCCAGAACGGUUGACUAUGGACUUGAUAUUUUUGUAGUGCUUCUUCAGUUGAGCUUCCUUAUCCUGGACCUGAUCCUUGGUAAAUCUUGCCUCUGGAUAUAAAUUGUUCAAUUCUUUAACAACUUGAUUCCAUCCUUCAGUAGUCCACCCAUUUUGGCCACGAUAAUGAGAUAGAUUGUACUCUGUAAGUAUCUCGACAAGACCUUUCUCAUAUCUUGCUGUCCACUUAGCCCUAUUUUGCGUCAUAUUGAACCUAUGACAAUGUAACUUUAGCAAUAAAUCAACAUCAAGCAACAUAACUCAAACAUUAAGAAAUAUNNNNNNNNNNNNNNNNNNNNNNNNNNNNNNNNNNNNNNNNNNNNNNNNNNNNNNNNNNNNNNNNNNNNNNNNNNNNNNNNNNNNNNNNNNNNNNNNNNNNUCGGCGGCGCGGCGGCCGGCGAAGGCGGCGAGACUGAGACUCGUCUCCCUCGGAGGACAUCCCGCACCCCUCUGGUCUCUCUCUCUCUGCUCCGAGGGAGGGCCACCCCAUCCGGACCCCCGGGGGGGGGGGGGUCCGGGACCGGCCGGCGGCUGGCCUCAGUUACUUCCGGCGGAUAGGUGAGGACCGCGCCGCUCGCUCUCCUCCUUUUUCCCUGCCUUCUCGCUUUAGCCCCCUUCAUUCACUCUGUGGCGCGCAUGAAUUACGUCUUAUCUUACUCUGUGGCGGAUAGGUGUGGACCGCGCCGCUCGCUUUAGCCCCCUUCAUUCACCGUAUUACAUGAAUUACGUCUUAUCUUACUCUAGAUAAGGAGGAAGAACAGAAAAUUUGGUCACCACUUUUAUGUAUUACACACACAAAAGGGCACAACUGUCGUAUAGGCAAAGCAAAAGGGCUUUAGAUAUCGGAUGGAUAAAUAACUUGCCAUGUGUGGAGAAACAAAGAAUCCAUACAGAUCCAACUCAAUUAUGUAGUAUUACUAUUACACACACAAAAGGGCUUUAGUUUAUUUACUUGUACUUUCUCGCUUCUCGUUUAGAUUCUCAGGGUUUUCUGUUGGGUUGCAUGCAUCUCCAGCCUCUAUCCCAACUUGCUUGGAACAUAAGGCUUUGUUGNNNNNNNNNNNNNNNNNNNNNNNNNNNNNNNNNNNNNNNNNNNNNNNNNNNNNNNNNNNNNNNNNNNNNNNNNNNNNNNNNNNNNNNNNNNNNNNNNNNNAGAGCUGGAUGAGGCGGACAGAGAGGCAGCCACUCGGCCCGUUCUAGAGACGUGAGGCCGGCGUUGACCAUAGACAAGAUCCAAGCCGCCUCGAGCUGGAGCCCGAUCUGGCGGCGGACAGCAGCAAAAUUGGCGGCCCCGUGGUGCGCGAAAGUCGCGGGCUUGUUCGGGAGCGAGCAGGAGGACGCCGACGAGGGGGAUUGCAGAGCCAGCGCUGAUCUGCGCGAGGAUGAUGCGGCCCGAGUUCCUGAGCGCCCUUUGCGGCGUGAGCGCCGCCUUCAUCUCCGCGGCCGACGGCACGUUGAAGGCCGCGUCGAGGAGGUCGAGGAACGGAUGCGACGCGUCGGUGUCGUCACCGGCGGCCGCGCCCGCCGCGGGGGACGCGCGACGCGGGUGAGGGGAGGGCCGAGGAGGGGGCACGGUGCCGCGGCGGGGGUUUCUGUCUCCGUCGCCAUGGCUGCUGCUGCGCGGGGGACGGGCGCGCGGCGCGGAUGAGGGGAGGCCGAGGCUGGAGGCAGCGGCGGCUGGAGGCGGAGAAGAGCCCAGGACGAGCCGCCCCUGCUCAGAUCGAGCAGCAGAACGAGCUGCCCCUGCUCAGAUCGAGAGGAGAUCGAGCAGGACGAGGCGGCGGCAGAAGAUUGGGACGAGGCAGGGGCUGGCACGAGGAGGAGCCGUUGCCUGACGGGAACAGGAAAAAAAAUUGGAUCGUGAGGACGAGUUGCGGCGUCCAGAGACCUAAACCUAGGCUCUAAUACCAUGUUAGGAAAGCAACUUAUCUGUAUUGAAGGCCCAAGGAGCAUAUAUAUAUUACACAUGACUUGCGGUGCAAGGAAAGUAAACAUAGACUAAUAAGGACUCCUAGACUAAUACUAAUAGACUAAUAAGGACUCCUAGACUAAUACUAAUACUUCCUAACAAAAACUUGUGCAGAAAAUCAUAGUCCUCGACAACCGUCGGCAAAAGAAGCUCGACGGAUAAGGCACGAUGGACGUAGAUCGACAAUGCAAAAGAAGUCUAGAAAAUCCUAUAGAAAACAGCAAGGGCAAAUAGGCCACAAAAGUUGCAUAGAAAGGAUCAGGACCAAAGAAAAGGCCGACGGACUAAGGUAUGGUGGACUCGCAUGGCAUGAGAAAACACAAAAUAUCAACGAAUUUGGUGGACGCAGCGGGAAAAAAAAGCUAAAAGCUAGGAAGCAUACACGACACAAAGAUGCAAAAUCCAUCGUGUAUGCAGAAGACAUUGUACUUUUUUUACGAGAUCUGACAGAACCCGAAGCAGACGAGAUCCAGCCUGACGAGCACCAGCAACGGAUGAGGGCAGCAGCCGGUAGCAGCAGGUAGUAGCACGCCAGCAACAUGUAGCAGCACACCAAAUACCCCAAUAUCAAAAAAGGUCCCAGCAACUCGAGCGCGUUGACUCCAUCCAGAGUUGAAUCUGAGUUUACUUCGCGAGAUUUGAUUCAACCAAUCGAGAUGGCGCAGGCGAUCGAGGCUCAGAGGGAGGGCGUGGAGGUGUACCACGGCGCGGCGCUGUGUGCGGAGAAGGCGGUGGAGCUGCUGGCCGAGACCAACAUGCCGCUGGGCCUGCUGUCGCUGGCGGACAUGGAGGAGGUGGACUAGAACCGCGCCACCGACUUCGUCUGGCUGCGCCAGAAGAAAGCACUCGCGCACACCUUCAAGCAGAUCGGGCGGCAGGUCUCGUACGCCACCGAGGUGACGGCCUUCGUCGAGGACCGCAAGAUGGCGGCUGGGGGCGCGAGAUCUAGAUGAGGCUGGGGGCGCGAGAUCCAGAUGAGGCGGCGGCGGCUGGAGGCGGCGGCCGCCGGCCGAGGCGAAUAUGGCGGCCGCGGCGCGCCAGGAGGCGCAGACGGCGCGGAAGCUGCGGAGCAGCNNNNNNNNNNNNNNNNNNNNNNNNNNNNNNNNNNNNNNNNNNNNNNNNNNNNNNNNNNNNNNNNNNNNNNNNNNNNNNNNNNNNNNNNNNNNNNNNNNNNCCUGCCCACCGCCCCCCCCCCNUAUAUAGGCGAAAGAUCUAGGUCAGGGGGGCGCCAGGGAGGCCACAAGCCUGCCCCACCGCCCCCCCCCCCCCCGUGGCGAAUGGGGGGCUUGUGGGCUCCCUGUAGCCCUCCUGGAUUGGCCCACAAGCCCCCUGAUCUUCUUUCAUUCGGGAAAAAUCAUUUCGGGGAUUUUAUUCCGUUUGGACUCCGUUCCAAAAUCAGAACUGAAAAGAGCCAAAAACACAGAAAAAACAGGAACUGGCACUUGGCACUCAAUUAAUAAGUUAGUCCCCAAAAAGAUAUAAAAGGUACAUAAAACAUCCAAAGAUGACAAGAUAAUAGCAUGAAACCAUCAAAAAAUUAUAGAUACGUUUGAGACGUAUCAGACACGGCCUACCCCCGUGGUCGCGGGGUGGGGGCUUGUGGGCCCCUGAGGCUCCCCUGCCUUGGCUCCCAAGCUUCCUCAUCUUCUUCCAUUAUGAAAAAAAUCUUUUCGGGGAUUUUCUUCCCUUUGGACUCCGAUUUAAAAUCUCCUCUGAAAGGGGUCAAAAACAUGGAAAAACAGGAACUGGCACUUGGCACUGAGUCAAUAAGUUAGUCCCAAAAAAUAUAUAAAAGGCAUGCAAAACAUCCAAAGUUUGACAAGAUAAUAGCAUGAAACCAUCUAAAAUUAUAGAUACGUUGGAGACGUAUGAAGCAUCCCCAAGCUUAACUCUUACUCGUCCUCGAGUAGGGAAGUGAUAAAGAAUGAAUUUUUGAUGUGGAAUGCUACCUAGCAUAGUUGUCCUUUGCAACUUCUUUCACGUGACAUGAAUGUUCAGAUCCGUAAGAUUCAAAACAAUAGUUUGCUAUUAAAAUGAAAACAAUAAUACUUCAAGCAAACUAGCAAGGUAAUCAUGAACUUUCAAAUAACAAGGCCAAGGAAAGUUAUCCCUACAAAAUCAUAUAGUCUGGCUAUGCUCCAUCAUCCUCACACAACUAAUGUAAAUCAUGCACAACCCCGGUAUUGGCCAAUUAAUUGUUUUCGCACUCUUACUUUCUCAAACUUUUUAUAACUAUCACGCAAUACAUGAGCAUGAGCCAUGGAUAUAGCACUAUAAGUGGAAUAGAGUGUGGUGGUGGUUGUGAGACAAAAAGGAGGAGAUGGUCACAUUGACUCGGCAUAUCAAAGGACUAUGGAGAUGCCCAUUAAUAGAUAUCAAUGUGAAUGAGUAGGGAUUGCCAUACAAGAGAUGCACUAGAGCUAUAAGUAUGUGAAAGCUCAAAAGGAAAAUUAGUGGGUGUGCAUCCAACUUGCUUGCUCACGAAGACCUAGGGCAAUUUUGAGGAAGCCCAUCAUUGGAAUAUACAAGCCAAGUUCUAUAAUGAAGAUUCCCACUAGCAUAUGGUCGUGAAGAACAUGGUGCUAUUAUGUAGCACAAGUGUGGAAAAAAGAUAGUAGCAUUGUCCCUUCUCUCUUUUUCUCUCUUUUCUCUUUUUUUCAUUUGGGCUCUUAGGCCUCUUUUUUUCUCUCUUUUUUAUUUUUGGGCUCUUUGGCCUCUCUUUUUUUAUUUCCUCACAUGGGACAAUGCUCUAAUAAUGAUGAUCAUCACACUUUUAUUUACUCACAGCUCAAAAUAAUGAUGACUCUAAAGGAAAUGCCUCCAGAAGUAUACCAGGAUGUGCAACAAUCUAGCAUGGCGUAUGACGUUGAAAACAUCUCGCUAGCUAUCUUACGGUCAUGCAAUGGCAAUAUGAGAGUGACGGCACAAGUCAUGAGAAGGAACGGUGGGAGUUGCAUGGCAAUAUAUCUCGGAAUGACUAUGAAAAUGCCAUAGUAGGUAGGUAUGGUGGCUGUUUUGAGGAAGGCAUAUGGUGGGUUUGUGUACCGGCGAGAACUGCGCGGCACUAAAGAGGCUAGCAAUGGUGGAAGGUGGAAGUGCAUCUAUACCAUGGACUCACAUUAGUCAUGAAGAACGCACAUACUUGUUGCGAAAGUUUUUAUUAGUAAUCGAAACAAAGUGCUAAACGCAUACUCCGAGGGGAAGGGUUGGUAGGUGUUAACCAUCGCGCGAUCCCGACCUCAACACAAAGGAUGACAAUCAAUAGAUCAAUUAUGCUCCGACUUCCUAACAUAGCAGUUCACCAUACGUGCAUGCUACGGGAAUCACUAACUUCAACACAAGUAUCUCUAGAUUCACAACACCCUACUAACAUAUCUCUCAAUAUUACCGAAUCCACGUCUCAAAACUAAUUGAGAGGAAUCAAAACUUCUCUUUCUACUCAAUGCACAUGAAGAUGGAGGUUUUUGCAUCCUCUUUGGGUACCUAUCACAUUUGGGACUACUUUCAUAGCAUAAGCCAAACUUUACAAAACUCGACGCAACCCCGUCGCUCUAAAAAGAUANAAGUGAAGCACUAGAGCAAAAGUAUCUAGCUCWAAAAGAUAUAAGUGAAGCACUAUGAGCAUUCUAGCAAAAUCAUGAUGAGUGCAUGUCUCUCUCUCUCAAAUAGGUGUGCAGCAAGGAUGAUUGUGACACAACAAAAAUAAAAGACUCCUACGAUACAAGACGCUCCAAACAAAACACAUAUCAUGUGGUGAAUAAAAAUAUAGCUCCAAGUAAUGUUACUGAUGGAUUGAAGACGAAAGAGGGGAUGCCUUCCCGGGGCAUCCCCAAGCUUAGGCUUUUUUGUGUCCUUGAAUUUGGCUUUGGAUGCCUUGGGCAUCCCCAAACUUGAGAUCUUUCCACUCCUUAUCUCAUCUUCCAUGAGAACAUCACCCAAAACUUGAAAACUUCACAACACAAAACUUAAACAGAAACUCGUGAUAACGUUAGUACAAGAAAACAAACUACCACUUCUUUUGGUACUGUAGCAAACUUGAAUUCCAUCUAUAUUGGUGUUGGUCUACUGUAUUCUCACUUUUCCAUGGCUAGUACUCCCCCCCCCCAAUACUAACCAUAGUUUCAUCAAACAAGCAACCAACUCAACAAAAACAGAAUUUGUCAAAAACAGACCAGUCUGUAGCAAUCUGUAUACUUCGUGUACUUCUCGUACCUCAAAAUAUCUGAAAAAUUACGACUGACUGGGCAAAAAGCAUAUCAACCAGCAGCAAAAAAAUCAACUCAAAAGCUCUUUCUGAAUAAAAAUGAAAAAUCAUCUCGUGAGCGAAAAGUUUCUGUCUUUUUCCAGCACGAUCAAACAACCGUCACCAAGACUAGUCAUAAAGGUUUUGCUUGGCUCAAACACAAAAAGAACACACAAAACAGANNNNNNNNNNNNNNNNNNNNNNNNNNNNNNNNNNNNNNNNNNNNNNNNNNNNNNNNNNNNNNNNNNNNNNNNNNNNNNNNNNNNNNNNNNNNNNNNNNNNGGGGGCAGYGGCCCCCUCAGCAUUGCACAUAGCUCCGCCACUGGCCCCUAGCCUGUCACACUUAUCGCCCUGGCCCCAUAGGCAGCCCUCUUACAGGGUUCUGAAGGGCUGAUGGGUUGAACUUUACCAGUCGACUACACUACCAGCAAGGGGGGCAGUGGCCCCCUCAGCAUUGCACAUAGCUCCGCCACUGGGCCCUAGGCUGCCCAUAAGCAGCCCUUACUUACAGGGUUCUGAAGGGCUGAUGGGUUGGACUUUACCAUCACUAGCACUACCAGCAAGGUGUGCAAGUUGGAUCUCAAGCUUUAGUUUUUUCUCUGUUUGCUAGUUCAGAAACUUUGCCUUCCUAAAUUGCAGGCAAGUCAUCAUCAAUAUAAUGUCCAAUGGCGAUGCUGGUGCUUCGGCAUGCUGUGACAGCAGCCAGCAGCCUCCACUCAAUCCUAUGGAUGGGUCCUAGGCCGCCGCACCUUUCGCCAUGGUCCAGCCAGCUGCCAUGAAGGAUGCCUCUUGAGAGCAAGCUGUUUGGGNNNNN
rnacentral:lncRNA from 1 species